UGCUCUUCCCUACUUCUUUAAUAUAUGCCAUUAAUGAAAACUAUCAUAAAAAAGCCUAAGUACGACCUAAAAACGCAGUUCAUCAAAUCCAUAAAUGUUAUUGGGGUAUUAGUCAACCCAAAAGAUGUCACCAGAAACUUGUAAUUACUAUAAUGGGUCUUAUAGGUUGUCUUAGGUAUGCCCUAUAACUCCCCAAAGAUACCCCCUGGAUGUCAUAGGGUACUUAAGACUAUGAAUAGCCCCAAGCUAACCUAUGAUAUCUACUCAGAACUGAAAUCUCAUAAAUGUAAACUUAAAACAUGAGCAAAAACUUAAAAAACAUAUAACUGAGUUCAAAUAUAUGAAUAAUCUCAAACAAAACUCUGUAACUCAAUAACUUUCAAAUUUAUGAAAAACUAAAAGAAAUAUAUAGUCUGACUAGCUUGACAAACCUUUAAUUAGAACUGAAGAGCCACUAGGACAAACUUAAGAUGAACCAAAAUAAAAACCGAAUAACUAAAAUAACUGCAAUAAAUAUCUUGAACCAUCAUAAACUUGGCCCUCAAACUAUGAGGAUUCACCAACUAUCUAAAUGUAGGAAGUGGUACCUGCGGUUAAUCGUGUUGUUGGGACGAACACCAGAACCUACAUUAUGAAACAAUGUAGCCACACAGACAUAUAUGUGGUCAGUACGUCUAGAAUGUAUUAAGUUGUAACACCCCGAAUCUUAUUCCCAGAGCGCUACACGGUGCUCAUGACCCCGAAGGACCACAAGCUAACCCAUGACUGAUAUCUGUACCUGAACACUGCAUAAUAUAUGGUAUAAAUGCAAAAAUAAAGGCUAAAAGGCCAUAAGGUUCAAAACUGAUAAAACAUAACAUCUAAAAGUAUGGUAUAUUAAUACCAAAACAAACUGAAACAAAACUGUCUAAACAUACUGUAGUCUGAAAAACCUCUAAAAUUGAAUUGUCUGAAUAAGGAGUUGAUGGGAAAUAUCCCCAACUAACUCCAACUACUGAAAUACACUAAGUAAUAAAGAAAUAAAGUAAUGACCAUGUCCUCAAAGAAUGAGGACUCACUGCUAACUCUGACUGCUAAAACUGGAAUGCUACUGAUGCUCUGGAGCUCGUGCUUCUAGACCUAUAGUAUAGAAUAAAAUACCAUAGCAUAAAUGCGUCAGUAUAAUUGAAUGUAAUGGUAUGCAUGUGAGGUAGGCGGAAUGAAAAGGGUUCAAAUGCAUGAACAAUGCAAACUGACUGUAUAGCAUGAACAUGAGAAUACAUGCAUGAAUAAGUAACUGUAACUAAACUCGUGAUGGUACCGACUACUGAGUCUGAUUACUGAUAACAUGAGUUACUGAUAAUUGAUAUAACUAAUACUGAGCAACUGUCUUUGACAGUUUAGGUUCUGAUGGAACUAGCUGAGUUUUGUACUGUGCUGAGUUGAUCGUAUCUUACAGUCCUAAAAUUUAAAGAACUAUCUACGUUCUUUUACUAAGACUGAGACUGUGGGAAAUAGUCAUCUAACCGAUAUGCCCCAAAUAAUGCAUUAUAUCUGAGUUUGGGUCUAAUCUGUAACCCCAAUUAGAAGGGUGUCAAUACCGCACCACUGGUAAAGACAAGUUGUGGGUGACCCUCAUCUGGCAGUGUCCCCAAAAAAGAAUGGUGGGACCCUCAUCUGACAGUGCUUAUCUACCUCAUUAACCCUCAUCUGUCAGUGUUGAUGUCUCAACCUAUUUUGGCUACAUAUUUAUGGAAUGUAAGGAUUGCUUUUAAGGAUCACACCCUCAACUUUCAGUGUGUGUCCUUAUCCUUAGGUUCACUCGGUGCUAAAUCCUACUCCCAUUUGAAUAGACACUAAACAUGAUUAACUGAACUUAACUGGAUUGAGUUCAUUCAGUUCCGUUGACUGAUAGAAUACAACUGAGAUUAUUAAAUUUCUGAGCUUUCUAAGAUUACUGGGAUUACUGAGUUUACUUAGUUUUCCUGAGUCACGUAACUGAUUGAAUUCUACUAAUCAUGGCUUGACUGAGGAUAUCAUGAAAACAUAACACUAGCUCUAGGCACAUAGCUAAAUUAUCGGGCACAAGUACCCCUAUGACUCUAUAGGAGAAAACUGAUAAGGCAUGAUAUUCUUGAAUACAUUAUCAACAUCAACAAUUCAUAAUACAAUAAGUUGGGGAUUUUAUGAAGUACAUGGUUAUCAUAAUCUUGUACAUGGUAGGAAUGCAUAUACUCAAUGUCAUAAUUUCAUACUCCAACAUCAUGAGCAUUCCAAUAAACAACUACAUUGCACAUCAAUAGCAUGAGAGUCAUUUGAAUAUAAGGAUAAAACAUGCACUUAUCAUAUGGAUCACAAUUGAGCUAUAAUACACAAUUUCUAUCCUCUUAGGCAUUUUAUCAAACACCUUACAUGCACAACUUAGGGCAUAAGUGUAAUCAUCAAAUUACAAAUCAUAAACAACUCAAUUCAUGGAUUUCAACUUGCAUGCUAACGUAAUUUCAUGAAAAACGCAUAAAGAUUCCAACUUGGGAAUCAUACCACAACAACCACAUGAACAUAAUCAACCCAUAGCAUGAAUAUCAUAAUCCAUAGUUUAAAACUUGAUUCUUGGGCUUCAUGGACAAAAGGAAUCUAUGAAUGAACAGUAUGCAUACCUUAGUUCUUGAUUUUGCAAAGAUUUACGAUGGAAUGUUCUUGAAUUUGAAUCCCCAAUUGAGAACCCUAACUUGUUCUUGAUUGAAUUUUGAGAGAAGUGACUAUAUUUUGGUUGAAUUGGGGAUAAAUCCCGUGUUAUAGGCUUAUAUAGGGGUGGGAAAUACCCAUUCUGCCUUUAAAAUAACUCAAAAAUGGGGUGUUUAUGUCAUUUGGGCCAUAAGAUAUGCGUCGCACAACUUAUUGCGUAAGCUAGGUUGUGCGUCGCACAACUUAUAGCUUAAAUUAGGUUGAGCGCCGCACAACUUAUGGCUUAAGUUACGUUGUGCAUCACACAACUUAUGGCUUAAGUUACGUUGUGCAUCACACAAAUUAUGGCAUAAUUUAGGUUGUGCGUCGCACAAAUUAUGGCAUAACCAUUCCAGUAGCCUUAGGAGAUUUGUUAGGCGACGCAUUCUACUUUGCAAAGCCAUAACUUCUUGCUCGGGUGUCAGAUUUUGGUAAAAUUAGUAUCAUUGGAAAGCUGAUUCGAUCCUCUAUAAGUUUUUGGGUCUAAAUAUGGCAAAAUACCACAUAUACAUAAAUUUAUGCUCAUUCAAAGAUGACUCUUGCAAAAUCAAAUACUAAAACUUGAUGGAUUCAAAAGUUCUUAGCUUGCCUUACUCUAAGUGACUCUUAUGAACACGCUUAACACAUCAUAAGCUCUCUUCUCAAUAGUAUACUCAUUGUAAGUCAUGUUCUCAAAUAUGAAUCACAAGAUAGGAGGUUUCAUACGUAGGAACAAUGGUUCAUUUUCUAGCUUAGAAAUAUAUGAGGUAUUACAUAAGUUUGUGGGGGUGAGUGUAAUAAGUAAAACUAAAGCUGAGCAUAAUUUCAAAUCAUGAAUGCUAAGUGUAAAAAGACUCACCUUGAUCAUAAGUAAGACUGAAAGCUGAAAUCUCUUAAAGAAUGACUCAUAAAACAAUAUCUAAACGGCAACUAAGAGUCAUUAUACUUCAUUUCUGAAAUACUCUUUUCUUUGGGAGAUUCUCAUAACUGACAUAAAUCAUACGAGCAACACGGAGUCAGAUAACUUAAGCCCUCAUCAAAAGAUUAUGAUAAUCUCAAACUUGCAAUAGCCUAAUAUACCUUAACAGGGUAUAAAGUCUAACUAUGGUACAAUAACAACAAUAGACCCAUUAUAUUCCCACCAAGUGGGGUUUUGAGAUGGUAAGUGUAUGCGGUUGUAAUACCCCAUACUUUUCCUAGCUUGAAAAACUUCUCAAGAAUGUUAGAAGCUUUCUUUGAAAGAUAAAUCCACUUUUUUACACGUGGUAUUUUUAAGAUUUUGACUUUUUAUCAUGUGGGGAAUCGAAUAAGCUUUCCAUCGAUACCAAAUUAACCAAAAUCCAAUAGCCGGGUAAAGAGUUAGAGCCUUUUUAGUAAGACAGUGUAUCACCUGAGCCUUCAGCGCAUCGCAGAGAUAGCUCAAAUGAAAAUUGUCAAUUUCCAGUAUUGCUCCGCGAUAGUGGCGCAUCACGCAAAACUUCCAGUUCAUAGACAAGGUGGCAACUCAAUAGCUCUGCAUCGUACCACCGUGCAAUUUCCCAUUUGUACUUUCCAGUGACUUGGUGUGAUAGUGGCGUGUCGCGCCAAGGAUGAAAAUCAGGAAAUUUUCUCAAAAAUUAAAGACGCAUCCAAGGGUUAAAAGGGUCAAUUUUCUACCCCUAUUUAAACCCAAUAACAUGUGAUUUAUCCAUUCUUCACCCAAAAUAUACUAGUUUCUCUCAAGUUUCUUUCAAGAACAAGUUAGGGUUUCUAUGGAGGGUUCAAAUUCAAGAAGGUUUCACCGUCAGUCUUCACGUAAUCACAAACUAAGGUAUGCAUAGUGUUCAUUCAUGGACUCCUUUCAUCCAUGAAGCUCGAGAAUCUCUUUUCUAAGUCUAAGUUUAUGGAUUUCUUUAUGAAUUUCAUGUUGGUUUAGUUUUUUUUAUGUUGAGAAUGAUCAAUUGAAUUCAAAUCCAUGUUGGGUGAUCAAUUUUAUAUGGAAUUGAUUUGUAUAGAUGUAUAUUCAUGUGAACCUAUAAAUAAACCCUAGGAUGAUGAAAUUAAAGAUGAAUCGUGAUGAUUAAUUGUUGUAUAAUGUUGUCUACAUUUGCGAUGCCUACCAUCUGUAUGAUUAAAUGCCUAGAUGAAGGAAUAAUGCCCAACUAGUAUGAUAUCAUGAAAUCCCCAUAUAUGUACAAGCUUAUGCAAAUCACAUGUUUGAUGAAGUUCUUUAAUAUAUGAAUUAUGAAUUGUGUUGUUGGUCAUGUGUUCAAGUAAGCCAUGCUAUGUCAGUUUCUUCUCAUCGAGUCUUGGGGGUACUUGUACCUGAACAUUUAGUUGUGCGCCUAGAGCCAUGUCAUGUUUUCAUGAUCUUCUCAGACAAGCUAAGAUCCAUAGAACUCAGUCAAUCAUGUGACUAAAGAAAUCUCAAAAAUCUCAGUAAUUUCAGUAGCUCAGUAAUCUUAGUAAUUUCAGUAUUCUCAGUCAGUCCUCAGAACUCAGUACAUUUUGUCAGUCAAUGAAACUCAGUAAAUUCAAUUUAGCUCUACUAGACAAUACCACUAGUAUCAGUUCAGUUCAGUUAAUCAGCUCAGUUUAGUUAAUUAGUUCAGUGUCUUUCAGAUGGGAGUACAAUUCAGCACCGAGCGAGCCUAGGGAUGGGGACUCACCCUCUAGAUAGGACUGGAAACCUAGAAGCAAUCCCUAAGUUCUAGAACUACUUAGCUUGUGUAGGUACGAGAUGUCAACUGUUAGAUAGGACUGACAUACUCAAGGAUCACCCGUUAGCGCAUUUAAAUAUAUAGGACUGAUCCCAGGGGUCACCUGCUAUAUUAGGACUGACUCCACAGCAGUUGUCUUCACCAGUGGCAUCAUACUGACACCUUUCCAGCUGGGGUUACAGGUUAGACCCCAGUUAGCUUAGUAUGGGGCAUGUCGGUUAGAUGAAUACAUCCCACAGUUUUAGUUACAGAAUCAGGACUGUCACACACAGUCAAUUUAGCUCAGUAGUAGAGAUUUAGGAAUGUCAGAUACAGUCAAUCCUUAUCAUUAUAAAUAGACCCCAGGGUUACCUACCAGACAGGACUGAUCUCAAUUAUGGUCAAUCAAUACCCGUAUUAUCAGAUGUAGAGAUCACCCAAUAGAUGGGACUAAUCUCAGAUACAGUACAGAAAUCAGCUAGUUCUAUCAAAUUCAAGACUGUCAGAUACAGACACUCAUGUUAUCAAUUAUAUCAGUUAUCAGAACUGAUAUUAUUAGCAUUCAGCUUUAGAACUGUCAGAUACAGUCAACCAAACCAGUUUUUUUUAAUCAGAACUGUCAGAAAUAGUUAUUCACGUAUCAGUAAUAUAGUAUCAGUCUCUUAGAUAUCAGCAACCUGUUAUUAGUAAACUCAGUAUUUAGAACUUAGCAUUUAGUCCUAUCACGAUGUCAGUUACAGUUACGUAUGCAUGCAUAUAUUCUCACGUUCAUGUUAGUCAGUCAGUUAGUAUUGUUCAUGCGUAUGAACCUAUUGCAUUCAACCUACCUCACUUGCAUACCAGUAUAUUUAAAGUACUGAUGCAUUUGCGCUAUGGUGUCUUAUACCAUAGGUUUAGAAGCACGAUCUCCAGAGCAUCAGUAACAUCCCAAUUUAGCAGUCAGAGUCAGAUGUGAGUCCUCAUUCUUCGAGGACAUGUUGAUUACAUUAAUAUUUCAGUUUUCAGUUUAUUUCAGUAGAUAGAGUUAGUCAGGGACAUGUCUCAUCAACUUCUUAUUCAAUUUAGUUUAGAGGCUUUCAGAUUAUAGCAUGUCAGAUAGUUAUUUCAGAUUUGCUUUGGUAUUGUUAUACCAUUUUCAGACAUUAUUUUAUCAGAUGUUUAUCAAGUUUGAACCUUAUGGCCUUUCAGUACAUGUUUCUGCAUUUAUACAGUUUAUUAUGCAAUGAUUAAGUACAGAUAUCAGUCAUGGGUUAGCUUGUGGUCCCUCGGGAUCAUGGGUACCGUGUGGUAUUCCAGGUACCAGAUUUGGGGUGUUACAGCGGUUUAUACCACUACCUCAAAUGUGAGAUAGAGAGGUUGUUUCUGAUAAACUCCCAGCUCUAAAAAAAAUAAUCUAUACAAGGAAUAGUAAAAGGACAAGAUAUAAUAUGAAUCAACACAUCCAAUAAUACCAUAUACAAGAUACACCAACUAAUGUAACAAAAGAUACAACAUCCUAAACUCACACUAACCUUCUACCCUAAUCUGUCUCCUCUACAACUUCCUAUCUAGGGUCGUGUCCUCAAUAAGUUGUAGCUACUCCAUGUCAUGUAUAAUCACCUCCCUUUAAUUAUUAUUUGGUCUACCUCUACCUCACUUGAAUCCAUCCCUAUCCAACCUCUCACAACUCUUUACUAGGGAAUCCGUUCCCUUUCUCAUAUCAUGACUUAACCAUCUCAACCUCGCUUCCCUCAUCUUGGCUUCCACUAAAGCCACUCCCACCUUAUCUUGAAUAUCUUUACUUCUAAUCCUAUCUUUCCUAGUAUAUCGACAAAUACACAGAAGCAUUCUCAUCUCUAUCACCUUCAUCUUUUAGGAGUGGGCCUUCUUAACAGGCCAAAACUCCACUCCAGACAACAAAGCCGAUCUAACCACCACUCUGUAAAACUUGCCUUUAACCUUAGGAUUUACCUUAUUAUUGUAAAAGAUUUUUUAGGCAAGCCUCUAUUUCAUCCACCCUAUCCCAAUUUGAUGAGUGACAUCCUCGUCAAUCUGUUCAUUCUCCUGAAUCAUAAACCUUAGGUGUUAAAACUAUCUCUCUUAUUAAUAGAAUGAGUAUCAAGCUUAAAAAACACAUCGAGAUCAUGGGACACCUCGCUAAACUUACACUCCAAAUAUUCUUUCUUGGACCUACUCAACAUAAACCCUUUAGACACAAGGGUUUGCCUUCAAGCCUCAAAUUUAGCAUUAACUUCACUACAUAUCUCAUCAAUCAAAACCACAUCAUCUGCAAAAAUCAAGCAAUAAGACACCUCACCUUGAAUUUUACGCAUUAAAAAAUCCAUCACCAAGGCUAAAAGAAAUGGACUGAGCAUUAAUCCUUGAUAUAACCCUAUUAAGAUAGGAAAGUGCUCUGAGUCCCCUCUCCCGAUCCUAACCCGAUUCUUGGCUUUAUCGUACAUAUCCUUAAUCACCCUAACAUAUACCAUAGGUACACCUCUAGCCUCCAAACAUGUCCAAAUAACCUCCAUGGGAACUCUAUAAUAGGCCUUCUCUAAGUCGAUAAACACCAUGUGCGAAUCCUUCUUCCUUUUCCUAUACUACUCUAACAGUCUCCUAAAUAGAUGAAUGGCUUCAGUAAUCGAGCAUCCUUGAAUAAAUCCAAACUGGUUUUCAAAAAUAGUCACAAUCCUCUGCAACCUCAACUCUAACGCCCUCUCCCAAACCUUCAUAGUGUAACUCAACAACUUGAUACCCCUAUAAUUAUUACAGUCCUGAAUGUCAUCUUUAUUAAUAUACAACGUAAUCAUCGUACUCUACUUCCAAGACUCAAACAUCCUCACCAUCUUGAAAAUAGUGUUAAAUAUUUGAGUCAGCUACUUCAUACCUUCCCCUCUUGUGCACUUCUAAAAAUCCACCAAAAUAUUAUUUGGCUCGUCACUCUACCUCUACAUAUUCUAUGAAUAGCCUCCGUAACCUUCUCAACCUUAAUGUGCCUACAAUUACCAUAAUCGCAAAACCUCCAACACAAUGCUAGUAUCCCUUUCUUCAUUUAAGUUCUUAUAGAAGUACGAUUACUAUCCCUUUCUAAUACGACCCUCCUCCACUAAAACUUUGUCGUCCAUAUCCUUAAUAUACUUCACCUGAUCAAGGUCUUGACUCUUCUGUUCCCUAACCUUGGCUAGCCUGUAAAACUUUUUAUCCCACCUUAACUAUAGAAUAUUGUGUAUAAACUUUAGAAAGCUGCUUCCUUAUCCCUUAUGUCUGCUAACUUUGUCUCUCGCGUAGCAAUAUUAUAUGUCUCCCUAUUCUUCUAUUUAUCCUCUUCAUCCUUACUCUUUGCCAACUUUGCGUAUGUUUUCUUCUUAGCCUCCACAUUCUACGUUACCUCUUUGUUCCAAUACCAAUCCACUUGGUGCUUACCAGAGUGGCCUCAAGAAACAUCCAACACCUAUCUAGUUGUCUCUCUGAUGCAACUGGCAGUCUAUCCUACAUACUAUCAGCAUCCCCUCCAAUCUCUCAAUCUUUCCUCGCCAUCAAGUUAUCCGCUAUAUCAAGUUGAUACAAGAUGAAACUACAUAAAUGAAAAUGACAUAAAAACAAAGGAAACACACUAAAUAUGAAAUCACAAAAAUAAGAAAAUAAGGAAAUGGAACAAUAAAGUAAAAGAUAGAUAGAUUGACAUAAAUCGAUAAUGAGUAGACAACCAAAGGUAUAUUAAACCCUAAGACCUACCUAUCAAUUAUCGAUAACACCAACCUCUUACGAGGACACAAAUGGAAAUGGAUUCUUCAAUACCCACAUUUCUCAACAACUAAAGAAACUCCCAAUAAGUUUCAAUAAUAACACUCUCAAGUGUCAACUUACAUUCAAAAUCAUCUUCCUAAAAAUGAAGAAGGUCCUAGCUAUUUAAAGGUCAAAAGGCCUUCAUUAUAACUUGGGCCCAAAAGUCACCCUAAAUGCAACUUAGGCCUAAAAGUGACCCAAGAGCCAAACCAAUGCAAUGGGCACCCAUACUCUCCCAAAGCCCAAGACAUCAUCCAAAUGUGUGUCGCCCAUUUCUUCCUCAAAGGAUAUCACCAAAUAUAGCUUCUUUCCAAGCUAUCCACCAUUCACGUAUUUGAUCCCCUAAAAUGACCAAGUCUUGGAUCUGUAGAUGUGAUCCUUAAAGCAUCGAUCCCAAUAGAGUGGAGACCAUUGAUCUUGUAUCAUCCUUCCUUUCUUGAAGAGGAUUCGUCUUUGAAUCCAACUCCUUUAUCAACCUGUCGUUGCACCUUUCAAGUUUGGAAUCCUUUGGUAAGAAUUUUGUUAAGCCUUUAAGCUCAUUUUCAUAAGGCAUUCUCCUUGCAUCCUCCUUUUAGAUUGUUUGUUCAUGAACCUACAUAAAUAAAGGAGUAAUACUAGGUAAAAUGCUAGCAUUAUGGUUAGCAAGCAACAAAGGAUCCAUGUUGGAAUUGUCUUUUUCAAUUUGGGAAGACUCAUUGCUUAAUUGGACUUUGAUUAGUUAAACAAUGUCAUGUUGAGCUUGGCUUGUCUUUUUUUGGGUUGAGGAAACAUGUUCUUAAGGUCUUGGGGUACAAUUUUGAAGGUUAAGCCCCGGUGUUAGGUUAAUGAGUCGUUUCUCCAUGUUUCCCAAUGUAUCUUCAAUUUGUGUCAGGGAUCCAUUUAUUUUAUCCACAGUUCGCUACAUCCCUAUGAGAACUUCCAUAAGGGAAUCAAUGGUUGCUCCACCCGUAUCCUCUUAGAAUAUAUUGUAGAAAAGAGAGGAAGUAACUAUUGAUGAUGCAUUUAAAAAGUAAGGACUUGACUCAAUGACAUUGACAAAGAAAGAAACGAUAAGAACUCAACGAAAGAAUAAAAGACAAAACAAAGACUUGAAGGACUUGAAAUCAAAGUUAAACUAAGAAAACAAUAGAUAAAAGAGAGAAAACACAAGAAUUAAGACACGAAAGAAUAAUGAAUCAAGAACUAAUUGAACAACUAAGUAGAUUACGGUUUAGUUAUUAAUUAGUUUUAAGAAUCAAAGAAAUGAAAGGAGGAAUUAAGUGAUGAAAUUAAUGGUUUGAACCUAAUUUAAUGGAGUUUUUGAAGUGUUGAUAUGUGCUUUAGAGCUUGAACUGGUGUUGGAGAAGUGUUGAAAUGCGUUUGGGUGCGUUUAGGGGUUGUUUUGCAUUAGAACAUGCUAAAGUGGAUGUAGGGCAGACCGGGUGCACAUGGGAAGCACCACCAAUGUAGGAGCUACUGUUUUGGGCUUCCUUGGACCUACUUUAGUAGGUCAGGCGCAUCUCCAUGGUAGAUGCAAGGCAGAUGGGCUGAAAUCAGCUUGUACAAGGCCAAAAAUGCCCUCUUGUGGUUCCCCUUUGUUCUCUUCUUUAGAAUAUUCUCUUGGAUCUUCAGAAAGGUGCUUCUACAAACACUUUUGUACAGAUUUUUCUUCACUUUUGAUGAUCAAACAAACACUUUUUGAAUACAAUUCCUCUUGAAGAUUUGAAUUUCUCCAAGAGCACUUAAGAACACAAAAAACUUCAAAAAUCUCCAACUCUUAAAUCGUUGAUUGGAACGAGAUGAAAUUUUGAACCAAGGCUAUUUUCAACCUUCUAAACACAUUCCAAGCAUAAUUUUGUUCAAAUUCUCAAACAAAAAUUCCAUAUUUUAACUCCACUUUCAACCGUAAAACUUGAGUUUCUCAAUAAUGGUAGACCCUCCUAUUCACCUCCGAUUGAGCUGAAAUUCAAGGUUUAGACUCUAGUAGUAUUAGAGAACAAGAAUCUAACACCAAAACACAAGAAAAACAACAAAAUCAAUGACUUAAAAUUUGAAAUAAAGAUAAAAACAUAAAAGUGAAAUUUUUUUAGGAUUUUUUAUUUUCCAACAUGACACACAAGAUUGACUUUAUGGGAAUGAAAUAAAUCUAGGCUCUGAUACCAAAUGAUACAAGACGAAAGUACAAAAAUGGAAAUGACAUGAAACAAAUGGAACACACUAAAUAUGAAAUCACAAAAACAAGGAAACAUGGAAAUGGAAUGAUAAAGUAAAAGAUAGAUACAAAAAAAAAAAAUCCAGUGUAUUCCCACAUAGUGAGGUCUGGGGAGGGUAAGAUGUACGCAGUCCAUACCUCUACCUCUAAAGAAGUAGAAAGGUUGUUUCCGAUAGACCCCCGNNNNNNNNNNNNNNNNNNNNNNNNNNNNNNNNNNNNNNNNNNNNNNNNNNNNNNNNNNNNNNNNNNNNNNNNNNNNNNNNNNNNNNNNNNNNNNNNNNNNNNNNNNNNNNNNNNNNNNNNNNNNNNNNNNNNNNNNNNNNNNNNNNNNNNNNNNNNNNNNNNNNNNNNNNNNNNNNNNNNAAACUACCCGUAGCCUUCUGCCCUAAUUCGCGUCCUCCAGAUCUUCCUAUCUAGGGUCAUGUCCUUAGUGAGCUGUAACUGCUCCAUGUCCCUCCUAAUCACCUCUCCCUAAUACUUCUUCGGCCUACCCCUACCCUGCCUAAAACCAUCCAAAGUUAGCCUCUCACACCUACGAAUGGGGGCAUCCAUGCCCCUCCUCAUCACGUGUCCAAACCAUCUCAAUCGGACUUUCUGCAUCUUAUUCUCCACUGGAGUUACCCCAACCUUCUUCCUGAUAGUCUCAUUCCGAACUCUAUCCUCCCUAGUCAGCCCACACAUCUAACGCAACAUCCGUAUUUUCGCCACCUUCAUUUUUUGAAUAUGGGAGUUCUUAACUGUCCAACACUCCGCUUCAUACAACAUGGCCGAGCGGACUACCACCCUGUAGAAUUUGCCUUUAAGCUUGGGCGGCACCUUCUUAUCACACAAAACCCCUAAAGCGAGCUUCCACUUCAUCCAUCCCGCCCCAAUAUGGUGUGAGACAUCCUCAUCAAUCUCACCGUUACCCUGAAUCACAGACCCGAGAUACUUGAAACUAUCCCUCUUACAUACCACCUGUGAUUCUAACUUCACUACCACCUCAUUCUCCAGCCUCACGUCAUUAAACUUGCAUUUCAAAUACUUUAUCUUGCUCCUACUCAACCGAAACCCUUUAAGCUUAAGGUUUUGUCUCCACACCUCUAAUUUAUCAUUCACACCCCCCCACGUAUCAUCAAUCAAAACUACAUCACUUGCAAAAAUCAUACACCAAGGAAUUUCUCCUUGAAUACGCCAGGUCAAUACAUCUAUCACCAAAGCAAACAAAAAGGGACUAAGAGUAGAUCCCUAAUGCAAUCCUGUCAUGAUAGUGAAAUGCUCUGAGUCUCCUUCCGUCGUCCUCACCUGAGUUUUAGCUCCAUCAUACAUGUCCUUAAUUGCUCUGAUAUAUGCCACCGGGACUCCACUCAUCUCCAAGCAUCUCCAAAGCACUUCCCUGGGGAAUUUGUCGUAUGCCUUCUCCAAGUCGAUAAACACCAUGUGCAGGUCUUUCUUCCUUUCCCUAUACUAUUCCACCAGCCUCCGUAAUAGGUGAAUUGCCUCCGUCGUCGAGCGGCUAGGUAUAAAUCCAAACUGGUUCUCCAAAAUAGACACUAUCCAUCUCAGCCUCACCUUGACCACUCUCUCCCAAAUCUUUAUAGAGUGACUUAAUAACUUAAUACCCAUAUACUUAUUGCAACUCUGAAUGUCCCCCUUGUUCUUAUAAAGAGGAAUCAUAGUACUCCACCUCCAAGCCUCAAGCAUUUUCUCCAUCUUGAAAAUUUCAUUAAAUAAUCCAGUCAACCACCUUAAACCAGCCUCGCCAGAAAACUUCUAAAAAUCCAUCGGUAUCUCAUCGGGCCCCGUCGCCCUACCCCUUCGCAUCCUGUGAAUAGCCUCUCUAACCUCCUCUACCUUAAAAUGUCUAUAAUAACUAAAAUCUCGACACUCCUCUGAGUGCUCCAGCUCCCCUAACACAAUAGCUCUAUUCCCUUCGUUAUUCAAGAGCCUUUGAAAAUACGACUGCCAUUUAUUCUUAAUGUGGCCGUCCUCCACCAACACUGUACCGUCCUCCAACUUAAUGCACUUCACCUGGUCAAGGUCAUGACCCUUCCUCUCCCUAGCCUUAGCGAGUCUAAAUAAUUUUUUUCCCCUCCUUUCUCCUGUAACCCCACAUACAAGCUCUCAAAAGUUGUCGUCUUAGCCACCGUAACUGCUAACUUAGCCUCCUUCCUAGCUAAUUUGUACUCUUUCUUGUUUACCCGCUUCUCUUAUUUAUCCUUACUCUCAACCAACUUAGCAUACGCCCCUUUCUUGGUUUCCACUUUCUUCUUAACCUCUUCAUUCCACUACAAAUCCCCCCAAUGAUGCCCGGACAAGCCCCUAGAAAUACCCAACACCUCACUAGCAUUCUCCCUGAUGCACCUAGCCACCCUAUACCACAUACUAUCCACAUGCCCACUACACUCCCAUACCUCCAUUCUCGCUAACUUCUCCCCUAUCUCCUACGUAUUCACUGGCGUUAAGCCGCCUCACUUAGAUCUAGGUCUACACUCCUUACUCCUUCUCUUCCUAUCCUUCUUUAUACCCAAAUCCAUAACCAAGAGCCUAUGCUGGGUCGAAAGAUUCUCACUCGGAAUGACCUUACAAUCCUUAUACAACACCCUAUCCCCUUUCUUAAGCAAUAAAAAGUCAAUUUGAGUCUUGGCUAUUGCACUUCAGAAGGUGAUCAGGUGAUCGUCCUUCUUUGGGAAGCCCGAGUUCACCACCACCAGCCCAAAGGACCUCACAAAAUCCAGUAGAGUGGACCCCUCUUCAUUUCUUUCCCCAAAACCAAAACCACCAUGCACAUCACUAAAGUCUCCCGGUAAAGCCCCUAUGUGCCCAUUGAAAGCUCCUGCUACAACAAUCUUCUUCGAGCUAGGCACGCCUCUCACCACCUCAUCCAAAGCCUCCCAAAACUGCAUCUUCUCCUCCCCAUCCAAGCUCACUUAUGGUGCAUAAGCACUACGUUCAGGGUAAACCCCCCAAUGACUAACUUAAUAGUCAUCAACCUAUCGCUGAUCCUCUUUACCUCUACUACCUAACCUCUAAGCUCUUCAUCUACUAAGAUGCCAACUCUAUUUCUACGCCUCUCACUCCCAAAGUACCAAAGCUUGUAACCAUCCAUAUCCCUAGCCUUAGACCCUACCCACUUUGUCUCUUGAACAAACGCAAUAUUAAUCCGCCUUUUUCUAAGAAUCUUCACAAGCUCUAUGGACUUACCCUGAAGAGUCCCUAUAUUCUAAGACCCGACUCUCAGCCUACCAUCUCUAUCAACACGUCUUCCUCUAUCGCCCCUGAGGCCAAACCUUGGCCUCCCUCCCACUCCCCUUUUUUUCUCUUCCCCCGCCCCCACAAUAGCCCCCUGCCCCAACCCCCUCGGACAUAACCCUAUCCAACCAUCAACGCCCACAGCCACUACUACAAGAAAAUAUAAGAAAAUAUAAACAAUGGUAGUAACAAAGUAGUAGCAGGAAAUACAAGGCUCACACAAAUUAAAAGAAAUAAUCAAGAAAUAAAACUAAACUCAAAUAGGGAGAAAAAACAAAACCGAGGUAAGGACAAAACAAACAAUAAGAAAAAUAGAGCACACUAAUGGCCUGGCACCAAGGAAAAGACAAGGAUAUGAAGAAAUCAAACUAUAUAAAGUUACAAAAGAACCAAAGUUCGGAUGUCAGAUGCCUCCGUGCUACUGAUCCGGCAAGGUUAGUGUUAAAAAGUGUUUGUCGGAAUAAGGUCGACGGGAAAGAAGCCGCUAGUUAUAUCACCGAAAUAUCCCCAGAUAUUUGCCGAAGCUUCUUCAAAGACAUUAGAAUCUGGAUAUCAUCGAACAUCGGCCUACCUGUUAGGCCACUGAUGAGUACCUCCCCCGUUACCUGAGUCGAACCGGCAGGAACCCUAGCCCACCAGCGAUAGCUGCAAUGGGAUAAGAAAGGGGGUGGGGGUGGGGGAGAUGAGAAUAAGAAACUGGGAGAGAGAGAUUUGAAGAGUGAGAGAGAAAGAGGGAGAUAGGGUAGAUCUUGUACGCUUCUGGAACUUCUGCGUCGUCGCCGGCGUUAGAGUUUGCCUAUCAGUCGAGGUGGUAACAUUAAAUUAAACGUUAGAGAGAGAAGAAAGAGGUUAGAGAGAGAAAGUUAGGUCCUCAACCAAAGGGUAUAUUAAACCCUAAGACCUUCCUAUCAAUUACCAAUAAAACCAACCUCUUACGAGGACACAAAUAGAAAUAGAUUUUCGAGCACCCACAUUUCUCAACAACUAAAUAAACUCCCAACAAGUUUCAGUAAAAACAAUCUUAAGUUUCUUUGUUUUGAUCCUCUUAACCUCUACCACUUGCUUUCUAAGCUCAUCAUCUACUAGGAUACUUACACCAUUCCUGUUCCUCACGCUUCCUGAGUCCCACAACUUAUAACCAUCCACUACCCUCGUAUUAGUACCUACCCAAUUGGUUUCUUGGAGACAAGCUAUAUUAAUAUGCCUUUUACUAAGAAUUUUCACUAGCUAUAUUGACUUCUCUGAUAAAAACCCUAUGUUCCACAACCCUACUCUCAACCUAAAGUUACACUUAUCCCUUUUACCCUUCCUACCCCCUUAUUCUGCCCCAGCCCCUGCCCUGGCCUACAACCCCAACCCAAGCCUUGUCCGAAGACAUGACCCUAAGAUAACACCAUCUACCACAGCCAUCAGAAACUGCACCAACCAAUAACACUAAGAACACACAGCCUAGAUAAUAAUUCAAACCAUAAAAAGGUACUAUCAAGCCCACGCUAUAGAACUAUUAGGAACAACAUAAAUGACUAAAACACUAGUAGAAUUAACAACACCCUAAAUAAUAGCCACUACUAUGAAAUAUAGAACUAAACAAAUAAAUUGCCACCUAUAAGCAAGAUAGUCAUCCAAGGCACAAUGAAAAAUGGGAUCAAAAUAAGAAUAAUACAUAAGAUAAACAAUAACAGCUGCUACAACCAAAAAAUCUAUACAUAAGACACUAGAAGAGAUAGAGCAAGUGCACCUGAUCGAAGCUACGACAAAAAUUGGUCACCAAUUUACUUGGUUGAGUCUAUGGAUUCUGACAAGUGUUGACAAAAAUUAGUCACCGGAAUCGUGUUGUUGCUAUCGAAGAAGGAAUCCCAGAUCUAGAAUUGUAGUACCUAUAAGAGGGUAAAAAAAAGAAAGAGAGAAAAGAGAGAUGCUUGGAAAUGGGUUGCUGGGAAUGAGGCACUGGAAAAUGCACCUAUAUUAACACUGAUAUGAAGAAGUCACCAGUAGAGAUAAGGUCGCUGGUAGAGAAGAAGUCACCGACAGCGAGAGUCACCAAUAAAGAGAAGAAAGAUUUCAAAGAGAGUCGACGGCAGAAAGUAUGACGUUUAUCAAUUAGACAAGUUGGAUAUUAUAACUGACAUGCCUUUUUGUAAAAGUUAAAAUAACCUACAAUGGCAAGUAGUUUCAAGGGUAUAGGAUGCGUUAAACCCAUAUUCCCCUUUUAGUGCUAGAUACUACUCCAAAAAUUAUAGUCACGACCUGAUUUAUGAUUCAUGAUGGUCCUACUAAAUCCAGCCAGUAGGUAAGCCAAUACCUUAACCCAAAGUUAACAUAAUGGGUUAAUUUGAUAGGGAAAUACCCUGCAUAGGCCAAAUUUAAUGAACACAAGUCAUAAAUAAACAAAGUGUUUUAAAUUGACAAAUAGUCAUCAUAAGAUACCAAUUCUAUGACUUGGUAGAGCCACUACAAGAGCAUCUAAUGUCAAUAAUACAACCCAAAAGACUUAUAAUAUUGUCAAUACAUCUAUCUUGAUACUAAAUACUGAAUAACAAUAAGAUAGAUGGAAAUAGGUGACUCAAAACUCCAAGAUCUCACCCUAUCUCCAAAAGAUCAACUCUAUACGAACAAUACUCAACAGGUAUAGCUAGUACUCAAAUUUACACCAAAAGGUACAAAAGUAUAGUAUGAGUACUGAAACAAUAGGUAUUCAGUAAGCAUCAUUGGCCAAUUGAGCUAAGUCAUGGUAUAAAAAUAAUAUAAUGGAAGAUAAAAUAACUAGGUCAAGGUACAGAAUCAAACCCGAAUCUUCUCCAUUAUCAUUGUGCACAAUUAGUACAUAACUAAAACAAUAAUAAUAAUAAUAAUAAUAAUAUAAUGUAAAGAAUCAAGAUCAUGCAAACAUAACUAUAAAAUUGGCUCCCAUAUGCCAAUUGGUGCAAAAAGUAAAGAACUUAUCACAACAUCCCAUACUACUGGAGAGUACACUCAAGAGAAAAUAAAGCAAACAUUCAACAUUAUAUUUAACCUGCAUCAUCAUUCAACCAUCACUCCAACUUUUAUCAUUAUACGGCAUUGUACCACCACUUGGCAAUUUACCAAUAUUAUACCUACUAUAUGUAGUUUUGAUGAUGACCAGCUAACUGCAAGGGACCAGGUCCCUCGAUGUACAAGUUACAAUACAACUGGCACGUGUUGUAUGCACAGUUUUGUCCUUUUGAGUAUUAAACUUGCAGGUGCUAUUUUGUACUGAUUAGGAAAGAUGGUCCAAUGAUUUUUCAUCCCUAUCAUCACUCAGCUAUAUAAGUAAAGAGACACCUCUUCAUUAAAUGAGGUUUUGCACAAAUCUAAAACGUGAAGUAAAACAAAAAACUCCAUUUUCAAGAUUGCUCAAGCAUUGCUCAUGUUCUUUUCUUUGUAAUAUGCUUAAAGAAUGAGUAAGUAUUCUUGAGUGAUGAUUUGUAACUAAACUACUCAUGCUAUAAGAGUAGUAUUUUUCACUUUGAGUAGAAAGUGCUUAGGCAGAGUUGCUUAAGUGUGAGGCUGAUUAGAGUCAAUCAGUGAAGAAAUCCUUAGUAGAGUUACCAAGAUGAGUUUGUAGUAGAGUUAUUACAAGAGAAGGAAGCCAAGAGGUAGGAUGAAAUCUAGACUGUAAUCAAGAGGUUGAUUAUAGUGGAUUUCUUUGGGGUUUGUGAGGGUAAGCUGUGGUUUUUCCCUUCCAGGGUUUCCACGUAAAAAUUUAUGUGUUUUUACUCUUUCUGCAUUAUUUGUUACUUUCUAGUUAUUUUUGUGUAUUUUGCCUGUGAUUACUUUUUAGGGGUCUGGUCCCUCACUAUGUGGUGCAACCCUAAGAGUCCCUACAAUAACAUAAUCCACUAUUCAACUACAACUUAUUUAUUAUCACAACCUUAGAUAUCAAUUGACUCCACUUAUCUACUAAGCAUAAAUUACUUACGAGGUCUUUCUUCAUGAUUACUCAACACUUAAACAUUUCAUCAUGUCAUAGUGUAUACCCAAACAUGAACAAAAAAAAAAUAUUUAGUCAUCAAUAGCAUAAUAAACAAGGUAAUCAUGUCUCAUAUUUACCAACAAUAUCAUCAAGUACAAAGAUUUUUCACCAUCACCUCAAUAACACUUUUCAAGAGUCUAAUAGGCAUAAAUAUUCACCAAAGCUAACAUGUUUCAUAGCCUAAGGUGGGUUAGGAGUCCACUUUAAUCCUCGAGUUCCAAUUUUUUCUAUUUCUACUUGUACUAGGCUUAUGAUAUUGAAUUAUAAUUUUAAGAUGUCAACAAGCCUUAAUAUUCCCUAAGAUAGGGAGUUUUCCUAAAAGGUGAGGAACUAGGUUAAUUAUGCCUAAUAUGAUUAACUUAAGUCAUUCAUCUACUAAGCAUGAAGGAUAAAGUCUAAUUCACCUAAAUCUCAAGGGAACAAGCUAAAGGAUUCAAGCUUAUGGUGUCAAAAGAGCCUAAACAGCUCAACUAACCCCAAGACUAGUAAUUCAUCAAACCAAGACCUAAAACCCAUCCCAAUCAAACAUAAUAUCAUAAUUAUACUAUGAAAUAGUUUAAUCUAACAAGGGUUAAACCUAGCCUACCUCAACCCAAAAGAAUGCUCAACAAUUCUCUAAACCAUCGCAUUUCCCUUUUUAUAAGCCUCUUCAAGAUGCCAAGCUAUCAAAAACGCAUUUCACUCAUCAAUAUAAGAAUAUCGAUACCAAUAUUGCACCAUUAUGCUUUGGGUCCAAAAAUCAUGCCAAAACCCUAUGUGGGUCCCACUCAUAAAAAUCAUGUUUUAGAGACUAGCCCAACAUGAUAUCAAGCUCAUGGAAUCAAAACCCUCAAAAAUAGGUGAAAACCAAGCUAAUUUGGGCUAAAAUAAAGCCCUAAAGGAUUUGGGGCUUUGGUCAAAAAUUCCAAAAAUUCAAGCAUGAUUUUGAAGGAUUCUUACCUUAAAUCUAAAGAUAUUUGCGAAAAUAUAUGUUAAUCAAGCUCCUAAGUCAUACCCAAGACACAAUUCUAAGUUAUCACACUCUUUUAGGGUUCUUGGCUCUCAAGGAUGAGUGGAAAAUGACCAAAACGUGGCCUAAGGGGUCAUUUUAUACCCAUGCCAGGUGUUUAGGAAUGACUAUCGCACAAAAGGGUAUGAAAUCACACUACUUGAGUGUAGGAGCAGGCAUGUCAUUGCCAUCCUCCCUUGUACAAUCUCAGUACUUGCUGUCAGCACAGCUGACAGUUAAAACUUGGAGAUUUUCCAACUUUUCACUAAUGCCUCAGGAUUCAUUCAGAAUCUGAUUUAUGCAAACGAACUAUGUUACCACACUAAAUUCGAUGUUCCAUACACAAUGGCAAAGUUGGAUUUUCCAUUUGAGGUAAUUUCAACCAACUAUUGGUCCCACACCCAUAAUUUAAAUUUUCCAACUUUUCGACCAAUAGGUCAAAAUGAGCUUAGGUGCAUCGGGACCCAAACCAAAGGUCUACCUAUCCUAAAAUUGAUUUUUUGAGUUGUUGGUAAAGUCAAAAUUUGUAUCCAAGAUUGUUUUACUAAAGUUUUCACUUGGUGGCCAUUUGGAACCAGCGAAUACUUCUAAACAAAUAAUUGGAUUUAAAAAACAAAUGAACUACUCAGUAACUGAACUGUCAGCUCCAACAAGUCAUAAAUGACAGAGGUAGCUAUGGAAAAGCUCUAACAACAAUAAUAAGAGGAAAUAAAGAAAAUGACCUAAAGGGUCAUUAUAAUAUCCACUACUAAAGGAACUUUUGUCCCUGAAAGUGAAAGAUUAAUAAAUACCUGAAGUCUCAAACAGGUGAGGAUACUAGGACCACAUCUCGCUCUCGAUCUCCCAAGUGGCCUUCUCCAUUUGGGCAAUGUCUCCACUGAACCUUAACUAUAGAAAUCUCCCUUGUGUGCAACCGCCUCACAUCACUCACCAAAAUAAACAAUGGCUCCUCUUUAAAGGUCAAACGCUCAUCCAACUAAACUAAGUCCCAUCUAAGCACAUAAGACGAAUCGAGAAAUAUCACCUCAACAUAGAGACAUGGAAAGCCAAAUAAACUGUGGAAUAAUCUUGAGGCAAAGAUAACUCAUAGGUGACCUUACUAAGUAUGUGAAAAAUGUCAAAAGGUACAACAUAUAUCGGACUGAUCUUACCUUUCUCCUAAAACUUAUCAUACCCUUCAUAGGUGAUAGGCAGAGGAAUACAUUUUUACGAACCUCAAAUCUCAAGCCACGAAGCCUACGGUCUGCAUAUGCCUUAUACCUACUCUGAGCCACUCUAUACCUAUCCUAAAUCACCCUAACUCUAUCCAAUAACUCUAGAAGCAUACCCAUACUACAGGGCCUAACCUCAGAGGUCUCAAGCCAUCCAAUCAGACAAUGACAUCUCCUACCUUACAAAGCCUUAGAAGGCUCCAUCUUAAUACUCAAACAAUAGUUAUUAAUAUACAUGAACUCUGCCAAGUCUAAGUAUUAUUCCCACUGGCAUUCAAAAUCCAUAACGCAGUCUUGGAGCAUAUUCUAAGUCACCUGAAUAGUCUAUGCAGAAUGAGAUGAAAGAUUAUACUCAAAUCCACCUGACUGCCCAGCUCCUCCUAAAAUGCUCUCCAAAACCUCAAAGUGAACACAAAACCAUGAUUUGAAAUAAUAAAAUGGGUCCCCCAUGCAAACAAACUAUCUCUCGAACAUAGAUUUGGCCUAAUCUCUCAACAUUGAAAGUCAUCUAAAUUGGAAUGAAAUAUGCUAACUUGGUAAAAUGACCCACAAUAAUCCAUAUACUAAUGAAACCACUGGAAGAACGAGGCAAACCGCUAAUGAAGUCCAUACUAAUUUGUUCCCAUUUCUACUAAUUAAUGGGAAACCUUUGAGUCAAACCACCUGGUCGCUGAUGCUUGGCCUUGACUUGCUGAUAAUAGAGGAAAUAAGCUAUAAAGUCUACCACAUUUCCACUAAUAGUGUUGUCUCAAAUCUCUAAACAGCUUGGCUGUGAUAGGGUGGAUAAAAUAUCUAGAACUAUGAGUCUUAAUUAAAAUUAACUGAAUCAAGUUUAAAUCUGAGAAAUAUAAAUACGGCAAUCAAAUCUCAAAACACCCUCAGAACAAUGGUGUGUCUCUCAGACUCGCCACUCAAUACUUGAUCUCGAAGAAAGCAAAGCUUACCAUCCUCAAACUGAUGAUCUCAAAUCUGCUCAAAGAGUGAGGACCUUAACUCCACACUAGCCAAAAUCCUCCUAGGAUCUAAAAUAUUAAGGUAAACCAUCAAGUUAACCAAGGAUUGAAUAUCUCGUGCUAAUGGCCUUGAAAUGCUGAAAUACAAGCUAAACUGUCCAUACUCACUGCCUUACGACUCAAGGCAUCUGCUACCAUAUUUGUCUUGCCUUGCUGAUAUAAGAUGGAUAUAUCAUAGUCCUUAAGCAACUCCAUCCAUCUAUGUUGUCGAGCAUUAAGCUCUCUCUGGGUUAUUAGUUAUUGAAUACUAUGAUGAUUAGUGAAAAUCUCAUAAUGCAUACCAUACAAAUAAUGCCUCCAAAUCUUAAGCAUGAAAACUAUCGUCGCCAACUCUAAAUCAUGUGUGAGGUAGUUGCACUUAUGUACCUUAAGCUGUCUAGAAGCAUAAGCAAUAACAACUCUGUUGUAUUAAUACACAACCUAGCCUAACACCAAACAUCUCACAAAACCCGAUGAAUCCCCUACCUCAAUAGGAAGAGAUAACACAGAAGUUGAAGUAAAAAAGUCCAUGAUCUUUCCAAAGCUCAACUCACACUCCUCGAACCAUCAGAAAGGAACCUCCUUUCGAGUUAAUCGGGUCAUAGAGAUUGAAAUAGUAGCAACACCCUCAAUGAAGCAUCUAUAAUAACCGGCCAAACUAAUGAAGCUAUGAACCUUAAUAGGAGAUUUAGAUCUAGCCCAAUCAUUCAUUGCCUUAAUCUUGGCAGGGUCUACUAUAAUUCCUUUUUUAGACACCACAUGUCUAAGAAAUGUCACUGACUCAAGCCAAAACUCACACUUGGAGAAGUUGGAAAAAAGAAAAUAAUCCUUCAAAGUCUGGAGCACGAUUCUUAAAUAUUGAACAUUUUCCACUCUACUACUUGGAUAUACAAGGAUGUCGUCGAUGAACACAAUCAUAAAAAAAUACAAAUAAGGGCUUAACUAGUGACUACAUCAAGGGAUCUUUCCUACUCCUAGCGAGAUGAUGUAGCAUAAAACUAGUUCUAAUACUGAUUUUCACUAGUAUUGGAAGUUAUGCUCUACAACAGAAGUAGGUGGCCCGACUGAGCUACUAAAGUAGUGGGCUGAGCCUAAUCGCGAACAUCUCUGUUGCCCCUAUUUGUGAAGAUCCAGUCCCUCAUAUGGUCCAUCUUUCCACAUAUAUAGCACCCUAUUCUACCAGCCAAAUACUCACCUCAAUAAUUUCCACCAUAUUUCUUGCAGAGUGGAUAACUAGAUCCCUCAAUGCUAUCCUAGGAUUUAGAAGUCGGUGCUCUACCACCAUACUCAUACUUAUUUCUAGGUGUAGGGGCACUGGCUGCGGACAGUGAAGUGCUAAAGAAUGGCCCUAAAAUUAAGAAUAAUUUUCCCUCCUAAUCUCUACUGCCUAUACUCAAACUAAUCGAUCCUAACCCUUUUAUUCUCAUUCUUUACUUCAUUUAAGCAUGAGUCAAAUAAGCAAUAUCCAUAUCCUCAAUCAACAUGGCAUUCCCAUACUUCUUGACUACCAAAUCAGACACACUAGUGAUAAUAUUACUCAUACGAGCUCUAAAAUCUGGAAACAAUGCUAGUACAAACUUACCUAGCUGAGUGAACUUAGGAGAAUACUCAUUCAUCAACAUAGAGCCUUGUCUCGAGUUUAUAAACUCAUCUACCUUAGACUCUCUCAUAUCCCUAGUAAAGAACCUAUCUAGAAAGUCAUUUGAAAUGCAUCUCAACUUAUAGAAGCUUUAUUCUUACCCCUACUUUUCUUUCAUAUAGUAACCCAGUCAUAAGCAGCAUCUUUCAAUUGAUAAGAACCCAAUUCAACACUAUUCUCUAUAGUAACAUGCAUAAUCUGGGUAAUAUUUUUUAUCUCAUCAAUGAAAAACUAAGGAUCUUCAUUCAGCUUUGACCCAAAGAACUUAGGUAGGUUUAUUUUCUCAAAAUCCUGAACAAUAGUUGCAACUAAGUUACUAUUCUUCUGAAGUGAGAUUGAUGAUGGUUGAUUACCUUGAGCAUUUGUAUUCACAUCUUGAGAAAACACUUGGAAAGAAUCCUGAAACUCAGCUUGAGAGAUAUUUUAGUUCUAAAGGUCUUUAGGUGUGGUUGGGACUCGUUGAUCCUCAUUUUUAUGUGCAUAAGCUUGAUGUGCUAUGAAUUUAUAGCACAAACGAUGCUUAAAAUUAGAUAAUAUGCAUGUAAUUAAGGCUAUUUUGUUGGUUUUUAUGUGUUUGUAGAGUGAUUUUGCAAGAAACUAGGUUUUGGAUGCUAAAUGAAAGAAAAGGAAGAACAUUUGAGUUUUUAGAUACUUACCGAGGCAUUUUGGGGCAUAAGUGCCACUUACUGAGUGUAGGUGAAAAAAAUAGGUGCCAGAACUUGAAGUCCAGAGGAUCAGAAGUAGGAAAAAAAUAUGUUGUCACUUACCAAGGGCACCUAUGGUCUGUAUAUACUAUAUACAAUCCAUAGGUGACCUAAGUAAGUGUCAAAGGGUCAAAUCUAAAGAGUUUCAUGAUAGAGAAGGAGGUAUAGCACAUAUCAAGGACCAUAUGUGGUUCGUAUGUAGUACAUAUGAUCUGUAGGUGGCCUUUGUAAGUGUCCACUGACCUCAACUUUUUUUGGAUCAUUUCAAUAUUGUUACCUACGAUUUCCAAUGUAACAUAAACCUACUUCGAUGAUGUUUUUAGUCCUUAUUAAGCAUGUUUAGUUAAGUUUUCCUAUUUUGGUUAGGAUUUGAAUUCUAGGGUUUCUUGUAAUCUAUAAAUACCCUUUACACUUUGUUUAGUAAGAGGAUGCUAAUUUAGGCCCUUUGUGGCAAAGUUCACAUUUUUUACUAACAUCUUAUUGUUCUUAGUAUGUUCUUGGUUUGUUAUUCAAUUUAAGACUUUGGGAUUUCUUCUUUCAUUACUAUGAGAUUGAUUCUAUAAGUUUGUCUGUAGAUUCCAUGAUUGAUCUCACAACUAUGAGCGGCUAAUUUUCUUAGCUAGGGUUGUGGGAACCCUGGUGGAUUAAUGAAGUAGAGAAAGUUCUAAGUUGUUAUAUGUAAAGAUUCUUGCAUGUAUUAGAUUUUCUUUGUUCUUAAUGAUAUCGUAACGGGAGCACAUAUUAAGAUCCCACCUAGAAUAUCACUACUUACUCUAUAAGAGGAAUAGUGACUAGGAAAAAGAGAUCACAAUGGUGAUUUAAGGUUAACUGGUGAAAUAAGCUUACAUGUACUAUUUUCUUAAGAUGGUGAACUUUUAUCUAAUAUCUUGAGACUUAAAAGGUAAAAGUUAAACUGAAUCUAAGAUAAGGGUUAGUAAGGUGACACCCUGAGACUCAAAAGGUAAAGAGUGAGAUCCGACAAUAAGUCCACAAGAUAGUUGAUGGUACAUAACUUAUCAGAUUCUAUAUGCAAGAUCGAAAUAGUUUGAUAGUGCAUGAUAACUCUGCAAAGUUGAGAAGCCAGGUGGAAUAUAAGCCUAGUCUUUAUCUUAGAUUAUUUACAAUAAAAAACAACCAAUUCUCGCCCCUUUUACUAUUUCAGCAAAUCCUUUCUUUUUACUUUUCUGCACUGCCCAGUGAUUUAAACAAGUUUGAGAAUGAUUUCUAACGUAUUCUUUAUGGCAUCGACCCCAACCUAGUUGGGUUACUAUAUUUUGAUAGCGAGUGCUUUGUCCUUCUAAGGAGGGGUAGUUUGGGCAUUACCAAGUUUUAGCAUCGUUACAAGGUAAUACGAUUGUAGAUUGACUGAUUGGAGUUAUUGACAUUGUUAGGGUUUUCUUUUCUAUUCUUCUUCAGGCAUACACUACAAUGUGCCUACUCUUCUUGAUAUGACAAUUUGGCCAAAUGAAGUAUUGAGUGAUGAAGACUUCUUGAUUAUUAAUCCCUAUCUUUUUGAUAUGGUAUGUUAUUACAGGAGUAUGGUAGAUAUAGUUUGUAAGCACAAAGAUAGCCUAUUGGAAACACUAACACAUAUUUAAAAAGUUGAUAGGUUUGGCAUAAAUAUUUAUCAGUUACCACUUACUAGUAGAUUUGGAUGUAAAAGUUGUUACAUCUAACACCCAACAACUUAGUUAUAGCUGGUGUGAGACUGGAAAAUUCUGAGAAGCCAACUUGAAGAGCUAAAAUUAGAGGAGCCUAAGAUUUCUCAUACUCUUAUGGAUAGUAUCACUCCUAAGGAGAGCAUACUAGAGUUAUGUAGGGAUGUAAAUAAGACUUUGGUUCCUGAAGUGGGGCAUAUUGGACCUCAUUCAAAAUAUUUCUCCACAUUAUGUUUGGAUAUUCAAAUCUGGUUCGGUCCAUCUAAACUUGAAGAGGAGUGCAAUAAGGAGGAAAUAUAUGUCUACAUUCUUGAAUUUAUUGAGCUAUAAUCAUAAAACUAUAUUCCUCAUGUAAGGGCCAAGAAGUAUAAUAUGUCAUAUCUAUUUAUUUGGUCUUUUAUUUUUAUACCUCUGCCCCAUGAGAAUAAUGAGAUACCAGAAAAAUAAUUAAGGGUGUAAUUUAUAAGUUCAAAGUAGAAAGAGAAAAACUAGAAGCCAACUCUUGGGCUACCUUAAUGAAUGAGUAAUCAAGGUACCCAUGGACUUGUUGGGGAAGUCAGAGUACCCAACCAAGCCCCAUCAUGAUGCGACAUUAAAACAGGCACUGCUUGGGAGGCAACCCAAGGUAUUUUGUUGUUUGUAUUUGUGAUAUUAUGAUUAACGUUGAAUCUGCGCACCUAUGGUGCCACAGGUAUGUUUCUAACUCUCUUACUUUGUAGUGUCCCAAUGCAUUAGGGACAGUACAUGAUUUUAGGUUGAGGGUGGGAUUGUUUAUGGGUCUUGAUAUCCUCUUAGGGUUUUGUUGUCGUGCCUCUUUUCCUUGGAGUCCUAUUCCAAGUAGAGUCGCCAUGUUUAGGUGUGUUGUGUUUUGUUUUAUGAUGUUCUAUGUUUAACUAGCAGAGAAAUUAGUAUUCAAGGAAGUUGAUAUAAAGUGUUGAAACUGAUACCACUUAACUAUGUGAUAUGUAUAUAUAUGUGUGAAUAUUGUGAAUCUAGUUAUGGCAUUAGGAUUAGGGAUAUUAUAAUCACUGCUAAUAAUUGCAUGAACCGGACAAGUAGUAGCUUAUGAUGUAACCCUAUGCCAUGUGUGUGAGAGAUACUACUUAGUUCUCUUUGUGUGUUCAAUCUAGAACUUGCUCAGUUAGUCUUGGCUAAUUUGAAAGAUAGUCGGUUAGGAAAAGAUCAUAGGCCAUUUUUUAAAUUAGUCUAUUUUAGCCAAAAUAACCUUCCAUGUGUGAAUUAGUAUCCCUUGAUCCUGAUUUUUAAGCCAUGUAUACACCUUUCACCUUUUCAUUUGUGUUACAAUGAACCUAUGUUGGCUCUGGUCCUCCUUGGACAUUAUGCACCUUAACUCAGGAAAAUUGCCUAAGUUAAGGGUCGUCAUCAUAGGGGUACAUAAUGUAAAAUGGGUAGAAUAAGAGAAAAAGAUAGUAAGGCUGGGUGUGGUAGAAAAAAGAAAAGAAAAGACAAAUGAGAAAAAAUAAAAAGAAAGGAACAAGAGAAAAUAAUAAAGAAACCACACCCAACCUGAAUAUGCAAUAAAAGAAUAAAAAGGGAGAAAUAAGGGUGGAAUAAAAAGAUAUUGGUAGAUAAGUGGACCCCAAAGUUAGUGUAGUGCCAAGGAAGCUUAGUCACUUGAUAGAUCCAUAUGUACCAUACCAACCCUCAAGCCUACAUUACAAGUGGAAUAAAGUCCUAUAGUGAUCCUAACUAAUGUAAAAAAAAUAAAGGCAAGCCUAUGAUAUUUGAUGCGAAUUAGUGGGACUUCUCUUGUGAGAGUGAGUGUCUCUUGACUGUCCUUGAAUUAACAUGUAUGAUUUCAUAUGAGUGAGUGGGACUUCUUUGUUGUGAGGGCACAUGGGUUGUAUUGCUAGCUGCUUACUUGUUUGGGUAGUGUAACUUGUAUAUAUGCAUGAUUGUAUGGUGUUAAUGUAAUACCAGCUUGGUUAUAUUGUGUCACAGUGUUGUGUUUCAUGAAUACGCACAAUUGGUUUUAAAGUAUUGAACUUGUAGAGGGUAAUGAUCUUGAGCUUAAAUUUGAUAAUUGAUUUCCAUAGAUAUCUUAGGUUUCUCUUGGUUAAGCAUCAUCUUAUUGUUUUGUUAUGUUUUGUUGCCUGAGGACAUGCAACGUUCCAAGUUGAGGGUCUUUAUGUGCUAUGAAUUUAUAGCACUUACAAUGCAUACACUUUUAGAAUAUGCAUUUACUUAAGGUUAUCUUGUUGGAUUUUAUGUGAUUUUAGAGUGAUUUUGCAGGAAACUAGGUUUUGGAGGCUAAAUGGAAGAAAAGGAAGAAAAUUAGAGUUUUUGGCUACUUAUCAAGCCAUUUCUGGGAAAAGUGCCACUUACCAAGCAUAGGUGACCAAAGUAGGUGCCAGAAAUUGAAUUCUAGAGGCUCGGAAGCAAGAAAAAAAAGACUCAAUCAUUUACCUAGGGCACCUAUGGUUUGUAUGCGCUACAUACGGUUAUAGGUGACCUAAGUAAGUGUCAGAGGGUCAAAUCCAGAGAGUUCCAAGAUAGAGCAGGAGGUAUGGAACUUACCAGGGACCACAUAUGGUCCGUAUGUAGUACAUAUGAUUCGUAGGUGGCCUUUCUAAGUGGCCACCGACCUCAACUUUUCUGGAUCAUUUUGAAAUUGUUCCCUAUGGUUCCCAUGUAACCUAAAACUACUCCUAUGAUUCUUUUAGUCCUUAUUAAGUGCAUUUAGUCAAGUUUUCCUAUUUUAGUUAGGAUUUGAAUUCUAGGGUUUCUUGUAAUCUAUAAAUACCCAUUAUACUUGGUUUAGUAAGGGGAUGCUAGUUUAGGCCCUUAAAUUAUUCACAAACAUUUUAUUGUUCUUAGUUUGUUCUUGGUUUGUUAUUCAAUUUAAGACUUUGGGAUUUCUUCUUUCAUUAAUAUGAGAUUGAUUGUAUAAUUUUGUAUAUGGAUUCUAUGAUUGAUCUCAUAACUAUGAGCGGCUAAUUUCCUUAGCUAGGGUUGUGGGAACCCUAGUGGAUUAAGAAGUAGAGGAAGUGCCAAGUCGUUCUAAAUAAAGACUCUUGCAUGUAUAGUGUUUUCUUCGUUCUUAUAGAUGGAUGGAUGGAUGGAUGAAUGGAUAGAUGGAUGGAUGGAUGGAUGGACGGAUAGAUAGAUGGAUAGAUAGAGAGAGAGAGAGAGAAAGAAAGAGAGAGAGAUACAUAUACAUAUAGAUAUAUAGAUAUAUACAUUUGUACAAAUAUGUAUAGAUAUAGAUAUAUAGAUAUAUACAUUUAUACAUAUUUAUACAUAUAUAUCGAUAUACAUAUAUAUAUAUAUAUAUACAUGUACAUAUAUAUACAUAUAUACAUGUAUACAUGUAUACAUAUAUACAUAUAUACAUAUACAUAAACAUAUACAUAUACAUAUACAUAUAUGUGUAUUAAUUUAAAUAGAAAUUGUAUAUUUAUUAUGUCUACAUAUUAAUUAAUUAUACACAAUCAAAUAUUCAAAAUACAAAUAAUCUUAAUCAUCUAGCAUUUAUAUUUAGCAACAUCUUAAUCAUUUAGAUGUGCAUUCAGAUUCAGACAUCUUUGAACAUGUUUGACUAAGCUUAUUUUUUUCCUAAAUUACUUUUUUCUAGAAGUGUUCAAACUUUUGAGAGAAAUAAGUGCUUUUAGGGAUAAACAAAAGCUAUUUGCAGAAACUGAUAAAGUAGUUUCUUUCUAAAAGCAUUUAUUUGAAAAACACUUUUAAGAAAGAUACACUUAAAAGCACUUUCAUAAAGUCUGGUCAAACAUCAAUUAUUACUUUUGAAAAUAAAUUAUUGGCGAAACACAAACUAUUUCUCUCUAAAAAGCACUUUUAGAAUAAACACACUUUUAAAAAAUAAAAAAGACUCAAAUAUGCCAUCAAAUUAUUAGAAAUGACUCAUCUAUGCUAUUCAUUAGACGUUUGCCUUAUUGUCAAGAUCCAAUUUUUCAAGUCAUGAUGGCACCUUAUAAUGCCCAAAAUACCCCUCCUUAGAAGGAUAAGGUGAUUGAUGUCAAAAUAUAGUAGCCCAACUAGGUUGGGGUUGAUCCCACAGGGAAUACGUCAAAAAUUCUUUUCGAACUUGUUGAAAUCACCAGGCAGUGUUGAAAAGUAAAAGAGGGGAUUUGUUGAAAUAGUAAAAAGGACAAGAAUUGGUUAUUUUUGGUUGUAAACAAUCUAAGACGAACACUAGGCUUGUGUUCCCUUGGCUUCUCAAUUUCAUAUAUUUAUCAUACAUUGUCAAACUAUUUUGAUACCUUACAUGCAGAAUCUGAUAAGUUAUGUACCAUCAACUAUCUUGUCGACUUAUUGACAAAUUUCACCUUUUAUCUUUUGAGUCUCAGGGUGUCGCCUUAAUAACCCUUAUCUUGGAUCACAGUUUAACUAUUACCUUUUUGGUCUCAAGUUAUUAGAUAAAAAUUAACCGUCUUUAGAAGAUAGUACAGGUAAGAUUAUUUUGGCAGUUAACCCCAAAUCACUGUUGUGGUCUUCUAUUCCUAGUCACUACUUCUCUUGUGGAGUAACUAAUGAUAUAAUAGGAGGAAUCCUAAUGUGUACACCCAUUAAGGAAUCAAUAAGAAUGAAGAAAACCCAAUACAUGCAAGAAUCUUUGUUUAGAACGACUUGGCACUUCCUCUACUUUGUUAAUUCGUCAGGGUUCCCACAACCCUAGCUAAGAAAAUUAGCCACUCAUAGUUAUGAGAUUAAUCAUGGAAUUCACAGAUAAAAUUACAAAAUCAAUCUCAAAAUAAGGAAAGAAGAAAUCCCAAAGUCUUAAAUUGAAUAACAAAACUAAUAACAAACUAAGAAUAAUAAGAUCCCAAGAUUACAAGUCAAUCUUGAAAUCAAAAGAUGUUUGUAACCUUAGCCCCAAAGGUCCUAUGCUAUAAAACCCUCUCAAUAUGAGAAUUAAUAAACUAAACAAAUCUUAAAAGGUAUUUAUAUAUUAUAAGAACCCCAAGAACUCAAAUCCUAGAUAAAAUAGGAAAACUUGAUUAACCGUACAUAAUAAGGACUAAAAAUAUCAUAGGAGUGUAUUUAGGUUACAUGGAAACCCUAGGAAUCAAAGCCCAAACGAAAAAAGGAAAAACAAGAUUGGUGUACACUUACUUAGGCCACAUAUGGACCGUAUGUACUACAUACGGUCCGCAUGUAGACCUAGGUAAGUGCCAGAAAUUUGUCUUCAGCUUCUGCACUUUUUAGAUCUUAGAUUCUGUCACAUGCCUUUGUAAUAUACAGACUGUAUAUGGACAUAGGUAAGUGUAAUUUCCCCUCCAUCAGAUAGAUAAUUGAAUUAACUUUCCAAUGAGACCAAUUUUGCCUUAAUCUGAUAUUAGGGUGAAAAGUGAUGGCCAAAUUACUGAAGCACUGUCAGAACUGCCAUUAACCACGACCCUUUCUUUUUUUCUGUUUUUAAGCCUCUGGACUUCAAGUUAUGGUAUAUACUUUGGUCACAUCCGCCUAGAAAGUGCCACAUAUGUGCAAAACCGCCCAAGUAAGUAUCCAAAAUCUUCAUCUUUCAUCUUUUUCUUGAGUUUAGCAUCCAAAACUUAAUUUCCUGCAAAUCAUACCCAAAACACAUCAUAUCUAACAAAACAACCUAAGAAACUUACAUAUCUUCAUAAUUUUAAGCGUCGAAAAUGCUUUAAAUUUAUAAAAUAUCAAUACCCUCAACUUAGAAUAUUUGCAUGUCCUCAGGCACCAAAACAAAACAUGACGCUUAUCUGCGAGAAUUUAAGGCAUCCAAGGCAGCCAAUCAACAUUUUAGAUUCAAAUUCAUUAUCCCCUCUUAUAUCACAGUUAAAACCAUGUGUAUACAUGAAGCACACUACUAUUACAUAAAGAAAUCAAGUUAUGGCAAUUACAUUAGCAACAAACAAUGAUGCAUAUAUACAAGUUACAUUUACCCAAACAAGUAUGUGAUUAGAAAUACACCCCAUAUGCCCUCACAUCAAAAAAGUCCCUCUCACUCAUAUAGGAAAUCGACCAUAUCAAUACAGGGACAGUCAAGAGAGACUCACACUCACAAGAGAAAUUCAACUAAUGACAUCAAUUACCAUAGGCUUGCUCUUAUUUUCUUUACCUAAGUUUUCAGACAGUCAAAUUAAGAUCACUAUAGGACUUUAUUCGGCUUUUAAUGUAGGCUUAGCGGGCUGGUAUAGUAUAUAUGGAUAUAUCAAGUGACUAAGCCUCCUUGGAGCUACACUAACUUUGGGUCCACACUUUAACCAAUUUCCUUUUUAUUUCCACCCUUAUUUCUCCCUUUUUACUUUAAUGCACAUUCAGGUUAGUUGUGGUUUCUCUUAUUCAUUUUUUUUCUUUCUUCCAUACCCGCCCUACUUUCUUUUUCUUUUAUUUUUCUUUCUUCACACCCACUUUACAUUAUUCACCCCUAUGAUAGCCACCCUCAAUUUAGGCAAUUUACCUGAGUUGAGGUGCACAAUGUCCAAGGAUGACUAGGGCCAAAACGGGGUCAUUGUAAUACAAAUGGGAAGGUGAAAGGUCAAAACAAAUAAAUAGGCUAUAAGAAUCAAAACAUGGAUCAAGGGAUACAACUUCACACUAGAAAGGUCAUUUAGGCUACAAAUGGACUUAUAUCAGAAAUGGCAUACGAUCCUUUCGUAACCAUCCUAAAACCUAAGCAAGACUAAUCGGGCAAGUUUUAGAUUUAAAACACAAAGGAAACUAGGUAGCAUCUCACACACAUAUGGCACAAAGUCACAUCACAAGAUAAUACCUAUCCGAUUCAUGCACAAGUUAGUUAAGAUUAUCAUAUCCCUAAUCUAAUGCCAUAAAAAGAUUCACAAUAGUCAUGUAAUAUACAAUCACACAAUUCAAAAACAAGCAAUUAAAAGGGGUAUCAUUUUCUCAAGAAAUGAUCAAAAAAAAAAUAUGUCAACUACCCUAGAUACUCAUUUUUCUCCUACUUAAACACAAAAUAUCACAAAACAAAACACAAUAUGCCUAAACAUGCAGGCUUUACUAAGAACAGUACUGUGGGAAAAGAGGCACGGCAACAAAAACCAUAAGAGGACAUCAAGACCCACAAGCUGCCCUACCCUCAACUUAAAAUCAAGCAUUGUCCUUAAUGCAUUAUACUGCUAAAAAACAAGAGAGUUAGAAACAUACUUGUGGCACCAUAGGUGCAAAUAUCCGACAUCAAUCACAUCAAUGUGAAUACAACAACAAAAUAACUUAGGUUGUCUAUCAAGAAACACCUGAAUUUAUGUCACAGCAUGACGGGGUUUGGUUGGUACUCAGACUUCCCCAACAAGCCCAUGGGUACCUUGAUUACUCAGAAUUUGUCAAGGUAACCCAAGAGUUGGCCUCCAAUUUUCUCUUUCCACUUUGAACUCAUGAAUUUCACCCCUAAUUGUUUUACUGAUUUCCCAUUAUGCUCAAAGGGUGGUGGUAUACAAAUAAAGAAAACACGUAAUAGAUAAGGUAUGUUGUACUUCUUAACCCUUAUGAAAGGAAUGUAAUUCUUUGAUUCUAGCUCAGCAAAUUUAAGAAUGUAGACAUAUAUUUCCUCUUUCUUGCACCCUUCUUCAAGUUUAAAUGGCUUGAUCAAGAUUUGACUUUCCAGACACAAUAUGGAAAAACACUUCAAACGAGGUCCAAUAUGCCCUAACUCAAGAAUUGAAGUCUUAUUUACAUCCCAGAUAACUCUAGUAUGCUCUCUUUAAGAGUGGCAUUAUCCAUAAGAGUAUGAGUAAUUUUAGACUCCUCCAAUUUUAGCUUCUUAAGUUGGCUUUUCAGAAACUUUUUAGUCUUACACCACCCAUAACUAAGUUGUUGGGCAUUACACACAGUAGCUUUUGCUUUUAACUCUACUUGUAGGUGGUGAAUAUCUAACACAAACCUUUCAACCUUUUGAAUAAGCUCAUAAUUAUUGUGUACAAGGUGUCAGUGUUUCCAAUAGGCUAUCCCUGUGUUCACACACUAUAUUUACCACACUCCUACAAUAAUACACCAUAUCAAAAAGAAAAGGAUCAAUAAGUCUUCAUCAGUCAAAAAUUCCUCUAGCCAAGUUUUCAUCUCAAGAAGAGGUAUAGGAAAACAAACAAAACAAAAAUAUAAAAUCCGAUAACUCCAAUAACUUCAAUCAAGAACUCUGAAAUCGUAUUCCCUGGCAAUAGCGCCAGAAUUUCAUAAUGGACAAACUACCCCUCCUUAGAAGGAUAAAGUGGUCACUGUCAAAAUAUAGUAACCCAACUAAGUUGUGGUCAAUCCUACAGGGAAUACGUCAAAAAUCCUUUUCAAACUUGUUGAAAUCACUAGCAAAUACAGAAAAGUAAAUAGGGGGACUUACAAAAAUAGUAAAAGGGAUGAGAAUUGGUUGCAUUUGGUUAUAAAUAAUCAAAGACAAACACUAGGAAUGUGUUACCCAAUGCUUCUCAAUUCCGCAAUUUAUCAUACAUUGUCAAACUAUUUUGAUAUUUUGUAGACUCAUCGAUGAAUUUUACUUUUUACCUUUUGAGUCUCGGGUGAGCCUUACUAACACUUAUCCUAGAUUCCAAUUUAACUAUUAGCUUUUGGUUCUUAAGUUAUUAGAUGAAAAUAAAUUGUAUUAAGAAAAUAAUACAAGUAAGCUUAUUUUGGCAGUUAACCCCAAAUCACUGUUGUCGUCUUCUUUUCCUAGUCACUACUCCUUUUGUGAAGUAAGUAGUGAUAUCCUAGGUGGGGUAUUAAUGUGUGCGUCCACUAAGACAUCAAUAAGAACGAAGAAAACUCAAUACAUGCAAGAAUCUUUAUCUAUAAAAACAUAGCACUUCAUUAAUCCACUAGGUUCCUACAACCCUAGCUAAAGGAAUCUGCUGCACAUAGUUAUGAGAUCAAUCAUGGAAUCCACAGACAAAAUUACAAAAUCAGUCUUACAAUAAAGAAAAAAGAAAUCCUAAAGUCUUAAAUUUAAUAAUAAAACCAAGAACAAACUAAGAACAAUAAGAUCCUAAGACCACAAGUCAAUCUUGGAAUCAAAAGAUGUUUGUAACCUUAGCCCUAGGGCCUAUGAUAGAACACCCUCCCAAUAUGUGAAUAAAUAUACUAACAAAUACUAAAGGGUAUUUAUAGAUUAUAAAAAAUCCUAGAACUCAAAUCCUAAAUAAAAAUAGAAAAACAUAACUAACUGUACAUAAUAAGGACUAAAAACAUCAUAGGAGUGUAUUUAGGUUUCAUGGAAACCCUAGGAGUCAAAGCCUGAACAAAAAAAGGAAAAACGAGGUCGGUGGCCACAUACGGCCUAUAUGUACUACAUACGGUCCGUAUGUGAACCUAGGUAAAUGCCAAAAAUUUUUCUUCAGUUUCUGCACUCUCUAGAUCUUAGAUUUUGGGACAUAGCUUGGUCACAUACCGUCCAUAUGUGGACAUAGGUAAGUGCAAAGUCCUCACCAACAUAUAGAUAAUUAAAUUAUCUUUCCAACGAUAUCAAUUUUCCCUUAAUCCGAAAUUGGGGUGAAAAGUUAUGGUCAAAUUACUGAAGCACUGUCAGAGUUGCCAUUGACCACGACCCUUUCUUUUUUUUUUUUGCUUUUGAACCUCUGGACCUCAAGUUCUGGUACAUACUUUGGUCACAUCCGCCCGGUAUGUUCCAUAUACACCCAAAAAUGCCCAAAUAAGUAUCCAAAAACUUCAUUUUUCAUCAUUUUCUUGAUUUUAGCAUCCGAAACAUAAUUUCCUGCAAAUCAUACCCAAAACAUAUCAUAUCUAACAAAACAACCUAAGAAACUUGCAUAUUUUCAUAGUUUAAGUGUCGAAAAUGCUAUAAAUUUAUAGAACAUCAGCGCCUAUUAUAACCCACCAGCAGACAAGCCAAACCCGUUAUCCGAAACAACUAGUAAUAAACAACUCAAAUAGAUGAAGGAAAGAAUGUGGAAUAUCUGAAAUACAAGAUCAAUUACACAAUAUAAUCCCAAGACCUGGUGGUAUUAGUACAAGAGCUUCUACUUAAUAAGAUUUCAAGUGAAAUACAAUUUAAUACACCGAUACAACUUAUCUCUGAGUAUAACAUAGAGACUAGUCUAGUAAAUAAGAGAGAGAUGAGUAAUACUCCGAACGUUAGGAGCUCACUCUAAGUCUCCGAACCAUGGCUGCUCUAAACGAUGCACACAUCAAUGGUGAUAACCCGUACUUAUGAUCUGAAGGCUGCAGAAUUAUAGUGUGAAUACCAAAUACGUGGUACUCAGUAGGCAACUGUCGACUGAGCUUCAAAGAUAAUGCAGAUAUAUGUAACAUAUAAACAGAAUGGAAAAAUACACCCAAAUGUAUAGGAACCAUAUAAAACAACCAAUGACAUAAUAAGGAUAAACUAUCAUAUUCAUGUCCAAGAGACUAACGUAUUAAAGCUAAGGAAGUAGUAAGAAUACACUAUCCUAUUCUAGCCAAACUUAGAAACAUCAAUACUGUACCAAAUAUCACUGGCCAAUAUGCAAGUAAGAGUGGAAAGAAGAUACAUAUAAGUAUACAAGGCUAAGGAAUGAGUAUAUGAUCAGAGUAAAUGAAGGAAAAGAGGUAUAUACGGUAAUACCAUAGCAAAAUAUAGCUAAGUAUGCACAUGCACUUAUAUAUAUAUAUACAUAUAUAUAUGUAUAUAUAUGUAUAUGUAUAUGUAAUGCCCAGGAAAUACACCCUAGACGUCACACGGUGCUCAAGACUACAAGUAGUCCCAAGUUAAUGCUUUAAGCCUUCUAACAACUUUGGAGCUUAUAAUAAAGAUAACUUGACAUAUGAAAUCUCGAAAUAACUAAAUUAAUGUCUUAACUCAAAAUCUUAAACUUAGAAAUCCUAAAAUCAGCACUUUGAAUCUAAAAUAAAAAAGUCAGACAAGCCUCUACCUCUAACUAGAGAGCCACUGGGAUAAGCCUCGGCUGACUCGAACUAACCAAAAACAAAAUGACUAAAAUACUUUAUCAAUAAUAAUGUCUGAUAAAAUGGAUCCUCAAACUAUGAGGACUCACCAAGCAUUGGGAUAUAGGUGGAGAUACCCGUAAUUAAUCACGCUGCUGGAACUGAGCACCAGAACCUACAUUAUGAAAUAAUGUAGCACAUAAACGUAUAUGUGGAUCAGUACUUCUAGAAUGUACUGAGCACGUGGGGGUGAAUGCAUAAGUAAAUCAAUAACUCAAUGUGCACUUAUAUUUUCAAAUAAUGCAUGUUAAGUGUAAAUGAAUCACCUUGGGCUUGAAUUAAGCAAAAGUUGUAAAAUUAUAAACAUGCGUAAUGAAGCAAAAUGAUAAACUUUGUGAGCCAUAACACUUGGUUCUAAAAGUUUUACUCUUAUUCUUUCUUAGGGAAGUUCUUCUAACUGACAUAAACUAUGUGAGAUAUCAUAGAGUCCAACGACUUGCCCACGUUAGGGAGAGUUGUCCUACCCUUGCCAUCGGAAUAGGACUUUAACUUAAGUGAUCACUAUCUGUAACUUAAUCCAUAUUGUGAAUAAGCUUAACCUACGUUGGCUCUCCGUUAUGGGUCAUGUGACCUUGGAUGCAUACCCAACUCGGUGCUAAAUACUACUCUCGUAUUACUAAAUGCUCAUACUUUAGGAAAUCCACCUUAAAAUAGCAUAAGGGUUUAUAAUGAUGACGUAGCCCGAACUGGGGCAUUGUCGUAAUGGGAAUCCCAAGUCCAACUAGGACCAGGGACCGCCCCCUUAACCCAACCCAACCACUGUAUACCACCUUGGAUGAGCUAAAUUUUGAACAUAUAACAAGAUUCCGUAAUGCUCUCAUGAAGACUCUGGGAUAGGGUCACAAUCAUAACCGACCCAAUCGAUUCUAACCAUACCAGCCAACCAUCCAUUCUAUACCAAACUAUUUAGAAAGUAUCAAACAUAAUAUGAUAAUCAAACCCAAAAUGUAAUAUAAUAGAACAACCAACUACAUUGUCCAAUGAUGUCAUCCCCAACACCAAUGUCAAUGCUAAGGAUGACUCCAAUAUCGAUCCUACCCAUACCAACCCCAGAAAUACCACAAGACCUUUAUCCAAAAGAACACAAAUAUUCUGUAGGGAUAUGCCCCCAACCAUGGCCAAAACCAAUAUCUGGAAAGAAAGUAAAAUAUCUAAGAAUGUCCAACAUGAACUGAUGCCUUCCAAAAGGAUGGAAGCUCACUAUUUCAGUCCAAUAAGUUAUCCCAAAAUCAAGUACUAUGAAGAAAGAGUUGAAUAAUCGUUUCCUACAUAGCGUGAGUAUAUAGCCGCUAGUAGACGGGUUAGUGGGUGAACACUAGCAUGAAACUCGGGAUAAGGAUAAAGUAAUGCCACUUAUCAAAACUAAGUGAAAAUCAUCCAAUGCAAAAAAGGGUCGGGUUUAAUAUGACAUUUAAAACCUUUACCUAGGUUGUGCAUCUUAGCCGUCCUACCACCCACAGGCCAUAUGGGUUCAGCUCCCCCUGCUGAAACGGUCCCAGUAGGUAUAGAUGCACGACCAGGAAAUAUCCCUAGGAUAACAAGAAUAUCCCUCAAAUAUAAAUGUGACACUCAUAUGUGGACAUCGAAGACCCCUCAUAUUAGCAAAUAUAAUUUUUUGAUUUUGAUCCCCCCGGGAUCACCACAUUCUGUGGCUUAGCUUACACUCUUCGCUAUUAAUGCCUAAUUAAAACCGUUAACAAAUAAUCCAAUUAUCCAUUUAUUAACCAAGGCUAUUCAAUAAACCAGUGGUAUCGUCAUGCCACCAUACUUGCAAGCAUUAUCCAUAGCCAAACUAUUUAGAUUAAGAGGAUAUUUAAGUGCCCUAUCGAACCUCUUGAGAGACUACCAUGUUCUCCACAAGCAUAACCAAUUAGCCUUAAGCCUUUGUAAACCACUUGAAAACAUUUAAGGUUUCAUGCAUAAGCCGAAAAUAAGCAAGAGUUCCAUUAAAUAAGCCAAUGCAAUGAACAUAUCUUUAUAAGCAUUUUAUCAAACACCUUGGGGGAUAAUAUAACCAAAAUUAAAUUCCAUUACCAUUAAACCAUUACUAUGUAAUUCAAAUUGUCCAAAACCACCGUUAAUGCAUAGAAAACAUAAUUAAAACCAUACGAAAUCAUAACUAAGCAUUUAAUAUCAAAACCCCCAAAUCAAUAGUUGAAAGUCAUAAUCAUGCAAGAGAAAAACCAUGAAAUCAACCAUGUAACCAUGACUUUAAUAUAAAUUACAAUUAGGGAAGAGAAUCAUACCUUAUGCCAAGAAUAUUGAUGGAAAGAAUUAACCAAGACAAGCCCCAAAGUAAUCGCUUAGUUGAAACCCUAGCUCUUUGUCCUAAAAGCUCUUGAGAGAAUUAUGAUAUGUUUAGGAAGAGUUUCCAAGUGUUUAAAAAUAAAAUAAUAGGGAAAAUAACCUCCUAACUGUAUUAGAAGUCGUGGGUAUAUAUUAGGGUAAGUAGGAAAAUGUCCAAAAUACCCCCACUUAAAUCUCAUAAAAAAACAAACACAAGGUCACAACUGACCCCCUUACGAGUCGUAACAUCCCUUACGGUUGAUACCCACCCGAUCAUGACCAGACCUCAACUAUGGAUCAAACACUAUCCAGUAUAUGACUCAUCCACCCAAGUCGUAACCUCAGCAUAUAAUCAUACCCAUAAUCCUUAUCCCUAGCAGAAUGCAACACCAGGAGAAUCAAACAUUGUCUACCUUAUAAGUUACCUGUACAACUCGUACCAAACCAUAUGACACUCACCCCUAAGUCGUAUCCAUUGCAAUAAUCAAAACCAUCCCUCUAAUUAACAUUGAUCAGCUUACGAUGGGAAUUCGCCAGUCAUACCCCAGCAUACGGCUCGUACCAUGAGUCGUAUUAGGUUCGAAGAACGGGAUUAUAGAAAAUUUUCUAAGGGUCCAAACUCGUGAUGCUUCAGUCUCCCCAAGUAGGAACAUUUGUCCCCGAAUGACGAAUAAAGUAGUGGUAACCACACACAGGGUCAUUUGCAUUAUCAAACAUCAAUCCCACCUCUUGAUGUCUCUACUCUUACCUUUACAAAACGAAAAACAAAGAUGCAAGAGAUGCAACUCUUCUUUUAACAUACUCAGAAAAUAAAGAUGUGUUCAAGAACACAUAUCUUUCGCAUGAAUAUCAAGAGCAGAAAACAAAAGUAGAUACUCGAACUUUACAUCCUCCCCCACUUCCUACAUGGACUUUUCCACCUUGUAGUUCUGCUAUAGAACCUUGACUAAAGCCAUAUCCAUGGUCCGUGACAGACGAACCUGCCUAUCCAAUAUCUCAAUCGGGACCUCUUAAUAAGACAAAGAAUCUGAGAUAUCCAACACCUUCAAAGGAACAAUUGAAGACGGAUCACGAACACCCUUCCUCAACAUAGAAACAUGGAAUACUAAUGAAUCAAACUCAAGCUAGAUGGCAACUCCAACUUAUAUGAAACAUUGCCCACUCUCCGCAAAAUCUCAUAAGGUCCAACGUAUCGAGGACUAAACUUUCCCUUUUUACCAAACCGCACUACUCCCUUCAUAGGAGACACAUUAAGAAAAACUUUAUCCCCAACUGCAAACUCCAAUUCUCCACGCUUAGCAUCCGCGUAGGACUUUUGACAACUCUGGAAGCCUUGAGACUAUCCCAAAUUACCUUUAGCAUUUCCAAAGCUUGACAAACCAAAUCCAAACCAAAUAAAUCAACCUCGUCGAGCUCAAACCAACCAAUAGAAGAUCUAUACCUUCUACCAUACAAUGCCUCAAAAAUAGCCAUACCAAUACUUUUAUGAUAGCUAUUGUUGUAAGAAAACUCUACCAAAGGUAGAUGCUCCACCCAACUGCCACCAUAAUCAAUCACAUAGUCUCGAAGCAUAUUUUCCAAUGUCUGAAUAGUUCUUUCUACCUGCCCAUCCGACUGUGGAUGGAAACUAGUAUGCAGACUCACCUUAGUCCCUAACCCUUUUUGGAAAGACUGCCAGAAGUAGGACGUAAACUGCAUACCGUGAUUAGAAAUAAUUAAAAUAGGCACCCCAUCCAGUUUCACAAUCUCUUAAAGUUAAAGCUUUGCAUAAUCCUCCCCCAAAAAUUUAGUCCGCACAGGCAAGAAUUGUUCAGACUUUGUCAUCCUAUCCACGAUGACCCAAAUUGAAUCAAAUUGGUUUUGAAACCAAGAAAGACUGGUAAUGAAAUCCAUAUUGAUCUUACCCCACUUCCAUUCAAGCAACUCAAUUUCCUGAUACAAAAAACCAGGCUUCAUAUGCUCAACCUUAACUUAUUGAUACACUAUGCAUUUGGACACAAAAUCAACCAUGUCCUGCUUUAUUCUACUCCACCAAUAGAUCUCCUUAAGAUCAUGGUACAUCUUAUUAGAACCAGGAUGGACAAUAUAGCGCGAAUUAUACGCCUCAUCCAAGAUCCUUUACCACAAACUGUUUACAUCAGGAACACACAACCUCUUUUGGUACCACAAAGUACCAUCGCUGGUAAUCUCAAAAUCUGUCACCUUUCUCCCACCAAUACUACCUUUGAUUUUCAUCAAGGUAGGAUCAAACACUUAUUUCUCUUUAAUCUUUGCACCAAGAGAUGAUCUAACCACUUCUUGAACCAUCACACUACCAUCCUUGGAAUCCAUGAGAUGAACCCUAAAAUUUGCCAAACGGUGAAUAUCCUUCUCCAAUUCUCACUUUCCUUCCUCUAUAUGAGCCAAACUACCCAUGGACAACCUACUAAGAGCAUCAGCAACCACGUUAGCAUUACCUGAGUGGUAGUAAAGACUCAUAUUAUAGUCCUUGAGAAACUCAAGCCAUCUCCUCUGCCUGAGAUUAAGCUCUUUCCAUAAGAACACAUACUGUAAACUCUUGUGAUCAGAAAAGAUAUCUAUGUGAAGACUAUACAAAUAAUGCCACCAUAUAUUCAAAGUAAACACAACGUCCAGUAGCUCCAAAUCAUAAGUAGGAUAGUUCCUCUCAUACACCUUUAACUGCCUGGAAGCAUAGUCUAUCACCUUCUCAUGUUGCAUCAACUCACAACCAAGACCAACCCGAGAUGCAUCACAAUAAACCACAAACCCAUCAUUGCCUUUUGAUAAGGUCAGAACUGGAGCCAAAGUCAACUUAUCCUUUAACUUCUCAAAACUCCCCUCACACGCAUCUGACCAAGAAACUUAACCUUCUUCUGAGUUAACUUAGUCAAAGGAGUAGCUAUCAAUAAAAAACUCUCCAAAAAUUGCCUAUAGUACUCUACUUAACCUAAGAAGCUCUGAAUAUCAGAUGGAGUUGUAGGUCUAGGCAACUUCUUCACCACAGCCACCUUCUGUGGAUCCACCAUGAUCCCUUCACUAAAAAUGACAUGACCCAAGAAAGACACUACAUUCAACCAAAACUUGCACUUAGAGAACUUAGUAAACAACUAUUAUUCCUUUAAGGUUUGCAACACCACACGAAGGUGAUUAGCAUAACCCACCUUACUCUCUGAAUAUACCAAAAUAUCAUCAAUAAACACAAGGACUAAGAGGUAUGAAUACUAUUGAAAUACCCUAUUCAUCAAAUCCAUAAAGGCUACCGAGGCAUUUGUCAAUCCAAAUGACAUCACCAAAAACUCAUAAUGCCCAUACUGAGUGUGAAAAGUUAUCUUAAGGAUAUCCACCUCCUUAAUCUUUAACGGAUGGUACCCAAACCAAAGAUCUGUCUUAGAAAAGAACCUGGCACUUUGGAACUGGUAAAACAGAUCAUCUAUCCAGGGAAGAGGAUAUUUGUUCUUGACUGUUACCUUAUUCAACUGCCUGUAGUCGAUGCACAUAUGAAGAGAACUAUUUACCUUAUUCAACUGCCUGUAGUCGAUGCACAUAUGAAGAGAACCAUCCUUUUUGUGCACGAACAACUCUGGUGCACCCCAUAGAAAAAUGCUAGGACGAAUAAACCCUUUGUCUAAAAGAUCCUUAAUUUGCUCCUUGAGUUCCCUUAACUCAGUCGGGCUAUUAUAUACGGAGGAAUAGAAACUGAAAGAGUGUCCAGAAGCAAAUUUACCAAACUCUAUUUCCCUAUCCAGAGGAACACCUGGAAGAUCAUCCAGAAAGACCUCUGUAACUCCUUAACUAUCAAAACUGACUGCAACGAAGGACCUUCCGAGUUAGAAUCUUAACCCAGACCAAGUGAUAAAGACAACCCUUAGAGAUUAACCUCUGAGCUUUAAGAUUAGAAAUAAAAUUCCUUUUUGGUGCUAAGGAACAACCUUCCAAAUCUAUUUUUGGCUCAUCAGAGAACCUAAAAAUGACCCUACGGGUUCGACAAUCCAAAUUUGCAUAAAAAGAAUGCAACCAAUCUAUGCCUAAGAUUACAUCAAAAUCUACCAUACCCAACUCAAAUAAAUCUGCUGAAGUCUAUCUACCACUCACAGAUACCACACAUCCCCGAUAGACUCACUCGACAAUGAUCGGAUCUCCUAUUGGGAUAGAAACAAAAAAUGGAUCCAACAUAAUCUCCGGAUCAAAACCAAAAAACAUAGCUAUAUAAGGAGUCACAUAAGAAAGGGUAGAACCCGGAUCAAGCAAACAAUAUACGUCAUAAGAUAAAAGUUAUAACGUACCAUUAAUGACAUCAGGCGAUGCCUCAGAUUUUUGAUCAAACGCCAAAGUAUACAACCUAUUCCGACCAUCAUUAAAACCAGGAUCAGUAAUAGAAGCAGAUGCCACACCACCGAGAGUAAGAACAAAAGAUGAAGCCAUCAGAAUCUUAUUCACCCCCAUAGCAACUUUGUUAGAUAAAUAAUCCCUGAGAUGAUGGCUUACAUGGCCACACUUGAGGCAUUUAUCCCUUCCCUCCUCAUAGAAUUAUCGAUGAGGACGGUCACAAAACCGAUAAGGAGGACAUAAAAAAAUAAACUAACCUCUAUUUUUCUGAGACUGGGCUCCUUGUGCUCGAGACUUGUCGCCACCAUAAUAAAUCAUCUCGCUCGACUGUUGGGGGUAAAGAGCACUGGCAAUAGAGAAGGAACCAGACAUAGUACGUCUUUAAGAUAAUCAGACCAAUAUACGACUUAGGUACCUAGACCAAUCACCACAUCAUACGACUUAUGGCAUGAGUUGUAAGAUGAUCAGAGAGUUUAAAAUUGAGGAAAUUUACAAAGGUAAAGGUUCGGAGCAUUUCAAUCUAUGCCACUAGGAUCAUUUAUCCUCAAAGGAGGGGUUUAAGGCAACACAAGAAUGAAUUAACAAAUUACUACCCCUCAAACUUCCCUUUAAUAAUCUCAGAAAACAAAGAUGUUAAGAACAGCACAUACCUUAAGCACGAAUAUCAAGAACAGGGAACAAAUGCGGAUCCUUGGACUUCAUGUCCUCUACCACUUCCCAAGAAGCUUUCUCAACCUUAUGGUUCCUCCAAAGACCUUUAUCGAAGCAACAUCCUUCAUCCACAAACGACGAACUUGUCAAUUCAUGAUCUUAACUGGGACUACCCCAUAAGACAUGGAGUUUGAAAUACCUAACCCAUCCAAAGGAAUAAUCGAUAAAGGAUCACCCACACAUUUCCUCAACAUGGAAACAUAAAACACCGGAUGAAUGGAGCUCAAGCUAGAAGGCAACUCCAACUCAUAGGAAAUAUUACCAACCCUCUUCAAAACCAAGUAUGGACCGACAUAGGGCAUACUAAUAUUUACCUCCUUAACAAACCGCAUCACUCCCUUCUAUGUUAAGGCCUAACUCAGAGUUAAAAGUGUUAGUGAAUGUCAUGGGACCCAAUACUUUACACCACUCAGAUAAUACUGCCCCGCCUAUUACUAUAAUCAUGAAACCUCAGGUCUUAAUUAAGGAGUUAUAGCCGCAUAAUACAAUGGUUGGGUAUUUAUCAACCCUAUCAUUCAAGCCUGCCUUUCUACCCCCGCUUUACAAAUCUUUUACCUAAGAGCUAGAAACUUCAAUCACUAUCAUAAAGGUUUUCACUGCACCUCCCCCUCCUUAGCUAUCUCAUAGAACAAAUUUUAUCUUAUUCUUUCAUUUACUCUUAUAACCUUACCUCUAGUAGUCACCCCUAAGUUUCACAACCAAGGAGAUUUACUCCCUCGUCCAAAACACUACUACACUUCCACAACCACUAUCACCCUAACAUAAGAAGGGUCAUUGAGGAACUUAAGUACUAGCAUCAAAGAUAGGGGGUUUACUUCUUAACUAUUCGUGCUACUCAAGGCGAGACCCACAAAAUGAGACGCAGUACAAUAGGCAUGAGGUACUCUAUAGCAACUACCUGUGAUAUAAAUGGAGGAUCGUUCCAACAUAGACAUAUAAUAGCACAAGUCUUUAGAACUAGGCACCAAGAAAAACAUGACCGUAUAUCUCAUGGAUAAUAUAACGUAAAGACGAGAUUCAUAUUCAGGAGACAAGUUAAAGAUUUCCACUUGAAACUACUAUUUCUUGGAACUAGGCAUAACGUAAUGACAUAGAGCUUGAAUACUUCGAAGCUUGAGUUUCUGAGAACCAUUAUUUCCAUUGGUUCAGGAGAUGAAGUAUGGACAUACAUGGCAUGUAAAAUGUGAACCUUAGGCAUAAGCACUAUUAGAAUACGUGCAACACUAGUAGAGUUCCCUCUUAACCAAAAUAGGAGAGAAUCACUAGAAUAAGAGUAAGUUUAUUCGGACUUUCCCCUGAAGUCCAUCGCUAGGAGAAAAUUUAAGAUUAUCCCUCAAUCUCCAUCUUACUACAUCCAUAAGCAUAAUACUACACUAUAAGAGGUAUCACCAUGGACACGUACUAGGGACCCAUAGAUCUCAUAUACUUAAAAUCUCAUCUAUCUAGAUGCUAUGUGGGGUUAUCAUAGUCUUAAAAAAUCCAUGCCCUAACCAUUCUUUGACUUAGUCCUCAAUCCAUCAGUUAAACCUAGACCUCCAGCCUAUAUAUUAUAAGUUAUCGACUCCUAUAUCCCCUAGGUCAUUAACCUCACCUCUUUCGCACACCUAUCAAGCCUACUAAUCUACCCUCACAAAUCUCGCUUUGCUAUCCUCGAGCUAAUAUACUCCAAUCACCAAAAUUAACAUCUAAGGUUCAAACUUAGUGUCUAUCAACCAUCAUGCACUGCUAGCAGAGUACCCCAUAGGGCGUACAAACCCUUAUCAAAACGAUACUUUGACUAUUCUUUAUACUCCUUUAACUCAACUGAAAUUAGUCUAUAAAGAGGGAAUAAAAAUAGGAUGAGUGUUCAGAAUAAGAUAAAUCCUAAACUCAAUCUCCCUAUCAGGACACCAGGAAGGUCAUCAAGGAAGACCUCCCUAAAUUUAUUCACCACUAGGAUGGAAUGCAAAAAAGGACCCUCCAAGUUAGAAUUUUUAACCCGAACUAGGUGGUAGAGACUCCUUUUGGAGAUUAAUCUCUGGGAUCUAAAAUAUAAUAUAAACCUUUCCUUAGGAGCUAGGGAACCACCCUCUCACUCAAUAAACUGGCUCGUUAGGGAAUUUAAAGAUAACCUUACGGCUCCAACAAUCUAGAGAUGCAUAGCAUGAGUACGACCAAUUCACCCCCAAUAUAACAUCUAAAUCAACUAUGUAUAAUUUAAACAGAUCCACUAAGGUCUACCGACCACCCACAAAUACCACACAACCCCUAUAAACUCUUUUAACCACCACAGAGUCACCCAUGGGGGUUAAAAUAGAAAAAGGCUCUGAAAUGCACUCAAGACCAAAACCAAAAUAUAUAGCCACAAAUAGGGUCACAUAAGAGAGAGUGGAUCCCAGAUUAAGUAAAUAGUGCACAUCACUAGAAAAGAGUUUAAAUAUAACAGUCAUGAUAUCCGAUGAUGCCUUAGAGUCCUGGCGAGAAAUAAGAGCAUAAUUUUGGCCAUGGCCAGUGCCAGUACCAUGAGCAGAAGCAGUACCUUUUGGUAUAGGAAAUAAGAAAGAGGCAACGGGAACCUUGUUAGCCCUAAAUGCAACUCUAGAAGGAUAUCACGUUGUAUAUGACCAAUCUGACCAUAAAUAAAUCAUCAGUGUCUCUUUUUCUCAGACUAGCCAAAGUACAGCCGACCACAAAAUCUAUAAAGGAGGUAGAACGGAGUCGACUAAGCCUCACCAAUUUGUAAUUAGGUACCCCAUGCCCUACAUCCCCUAUUGUGUUAAAAGCGAUGAUCACCUAACCACUUUGGGUAAGGAGCACUAGUCGAACAAGAACCAGAACUUCCCCACUUCUCCUUAGGCUACUUCCCCCCUUUCUACUACUAAAACCUUAAGAAUUAACUUAAUACCAGUAAAAGUUGGAGUACCCAACUCUAUGGACUGGUCAAACCUUGUGGCCUCAGAAAAUUGAGCACUACACUCAGACUGAGAAGCUACCUAAUGAGCCAACAUAUGACUAGAUUAGGGGUGUUAAAUAGGUGGGUUUGGUUGAUAUUGAAGAUAUUAAAUGGUUUGAAUUAAAUAUCGGGUUGGGUCAUAACCCGCCCAAAUUCACUUUGGGUUAAAAUGGGUAAAAAUCAGGUUAGCUCUUGACCUGCCCAAUUUAACCCACUUAAUCUAAAAAGUAUUAACAUAUUAAUAUGUACCUCUUGUAACAAAAAAAUUUGAAUGAGUUUGAAAAGUUGGGUGAGUGGGUAGGGAGUGAGGAUAGGGUAAGAAUAUUUUUUAAAGUUUAAUUUUUUAAAAAAUAAAAAUUCAUUUUUAUGGAGGGCUUGUAGGGUAAGCGGUUGGGUUAGGAGGGGUAGGUUUUAGGAUGGGGUUGAGGCAAAAAAAAUUAAAAAUUAUUUUUAAAAAAAGAAGAAUAUUUUUUUCUUGAAUGAAAAAAAUUUGGAAGCGAACGAGGUGUAGGGGUAAAAAAAUAUACAUUUUGGGGUCGGAGGGGAGAUAUGUCGUAUAGGGGAGGAGGGUGUGGGGAUGUAGGGAGUAGGGAGAGAUGGGGGUUGGGUAGAUUAAUUUUUUUGUUCAAAAAAAUUAUUUAUUUACUUUUGAAAAUUAAAAGAUUUUUAAUUUUUUAGGUUGGGGGUUUGGGGUAGGAAAGGGGGAUGGGGGUGAGGUGGGCUGCGGGGUGAGAUGAGGUGGGGUAAUUUAAAGAGUGGGGCGACACAUUGUCAUUUUUUUUAUCUACUUUCAUUAAGAAAAUAAUUUUUCUAUUAAACGGGUGAAGUAGAGAUUGAUUGGGUUCAUUUGAACCAACUUUGAAAAUGGGUUGUGACUUAAUGGGUUGAAAUUUACCCAAUAGCAAAUUAUCUUGAACCCAACCCAUUAAGUUUUGGGCGGGUAGGGCGGGUCAACUCAAUUUGGGUUCAUUUUGACACCCAUAGAAUAGGCUGAUGAAGCUUAGUAUUUAUAACAUCAGUUUGAGGAGCUCAUAGAGGACUAGAAGGAAUAGGGGAACUUCAGAAGAGUAAUCAUAAAGCGGACCCCUAGACCAGGUUUGGACCCCAUAAGUAGGAUGUGUCUCAUCAAUAGUGUCCCCAAGUGGAAUAGAGAAGUUUCCAUAAGGUUCAGAUUGUUUGGGAGGCAUGAUCUGAAAGGCGAACAGACAGGAAUUAAAGAAAUCCAAGACCUUAGACUCCAUAUCUUGAAGUAAGUCAACAAGUAAGAGAAAUAUUUCUAAAUGCCUCGUAGCCUCUCCCUUAUAAGUAUUGCAUGCUACAAACCCAUAAAAAGACUCUACUUGACAUGGCUUGGUGGACACCUCAUGACACCAAAACCUAGGCUCCGAUACUAAUCUGACAUGACCUAAACCAGGGCCUAGACGUGUCGGGCAUAUCACUUACAACAAGGACCAGAGACCAUCCCCUAUACCUAAUCCAACCAACUAAUAUACUACUCGUGUCGAAUAAAUUUCGAAUAUAUAAACAAGAUAGAGUAUUUAGAAUUCAAUGACUUUAGGAUAUGCCUAAAAUAGAUACCAACCCAACCAAGUCAUAUUGUCUAAACCAAACCAAAAAAAACAUAAUAUACCCAAGUCCACAGUUGUCCAUACAAAGCCUCUAAAUAAUUUCAAAGAAUAUUUACUCGGGAUAUGCCCCCGACCAUAGCCAAAAACCAAUGUCAAGGGAAUAGUAAAGACAUAAGAUAAACCAUAACAUGAAAUUGUCAUUUCGAAGAAUGAAAGCUCACUACUUUAGUCUGUCUCGAGUUGUUCCCGAAUUACCAAGUCACUAAACAGGAGGUGUAAAUGUAUGAUCGGUUCCUGCAUCGCGUGAGGAUACAUCACCCAAAGAUGGUUAGCAUAGUGAAUGCUACCAUGUACUUAGGGAUAAUGAUAAAAUAAUGACAUUAUUCAAAACCAAGUCAAAUAACCAUAGAAAUCACAUAUAUACAUAUAUAUCAUGACGGGAAAGAAAACCGGGUUUAGCAUGCAUUUAAAACCUUAACCUGGGUUAUGUAGCUUUGCCGUCCUAAAACCAUCCACGAGCUACAUGGGUUCAGUUGCUCCAGUUGAAAGGGCCCCAGUGCAUGUUACCCAUAUAACCAGAGAAAAUAAUCUGAGAUAACUAUUACAUCUCCCAAAAUAUAAAGUCUGACAUCAUGCACACAGUCACCAUAAUAAAAUCUCACAUCGGCAAACAUGAGAUCCCAGUAUUGGUCCCACUGGGACCUCCACCUUCUAUGAAUUUGCUACGCACACCCCUUUAAGACCAUAUUAAAAUAAUUUACACAUUCCAAUCAUUUACCAAGGAGUCUUUUAUCAGGCAUUAAUCAUUGGUAUCCUUAUACAAAAAAUUAGAGCAAGCAAGGCUAUGCUUUUAUGCCAUACCAAAGCAAUUAAACCAAUUUGACUCCAAAGUUACCAAUUAAACUAAUACCAUUACCACCAACGACUUUCCAAACCAUUUAAAACCAACUAAACCAAUUUAAGUUCCAUUACCUUUUAUGCAAUGCAAAGAUUUUAAGAAUAGUCGAACUAUGUGCAAAAUUAUUCGCAUUGGCAUAUUAACAAAUAGGUUGAGGGCACAUAUAUUUCAAAACCAUAACCUAGUAAUUUGGGGGAAUCCAAAGUACCUCCAAAUCCAUUUACCAUUACCAUGCAUUCCACAAUGUCAAAAUGAUAUUAAAAACAUGAAAGAAACAUCAUUAAACCAUUAGAAAUAUUAUUCAACCAUGAACAUCCAAAAACCCCAACCAUUAUUUCAAACCAUAACAAUAUCAUGAAAAUCAUACAUCAAACACAUGGUCUUUGUAAAAUAACAAUGAAGGAGGAGUCACAUACCUGAGUUACGAAAAUUUAUGGAAAGAUUUUAAUCUGUACGCCUCUAAAUGACCACCUUGAAAAAACCCUAGCCUAAUCUUAUUGAGAGGUUUUUAGAGAGAGAUUAAAGAGUGUUAUAAGACGUAAGGUCUUAAGGGCUUGGGGUGGAAAAUGUCCAAAGUACCCCCAGCUUAAAGUGCAGCAAACUCAUAUAAGGUUAUGAGUUGCCCCCCACCUUGUCACCAUAACCUACGACUAUUACCAUCAAGUCAUCACCAAGACAGAAGGUUGGGCACCACACUAUCUCCAACUGAUGACUCUCUUGCUCCACUCCUUACUAGACCAUAUAACUAGUAAAGUCUAGUCAUAUCCAUGAUAGAACACCAAGAGUUAGAUGUUGGACAAUAUACGAUUGGACUAAACUCUCUCGUCACAUCAUCAUAUAACUUAUAUGGAGUCUCUCGCAACCAGGUCAGAACUUGGCCAACAACACAUUAACCAAUGUACAACUUAGGUCCCUAGACCCGUUAUCACACCAUAUGACUCAUAGCGUGAGUCAUAAGAUGAUCAGAGAGUUCAAAACUGAGGAAAUUUACAAGGGUAAAGGUUAGGGGUGUUUCACCCAUACCUAUAAUUCCAUUUUUCAUAAAAUCUGCUCAAUAGUCAAAAUAAGUCUAGAUGCCUUAGAAUCUGAACCAAGGGUCCCCUACCCUAAAUCGAUGUUCCGAAUUCAACGGUAAAGUUAGAUUUUAAUCUAAUGCUGUUUUUUAAACACCCUUGGUUUUGACCUUUAGAAAUUUCUUGAGCUUUGAGCUUACUAUCUUGUUAACGACUUAAAUAUACGAGUCAUCUGGUGUGGGUAUGAGUCAAGUGACCCAAAUUAUAAGGUGUCCAGUGGAUGGUGGUUGGGGUUCUGUUAUGAUAACAACUUGGUAUUAUAAGUCAUUAGGGGUGGUACGAGUCGUUAGGAUGAUCCUUAAUCAAAUCAGUAACUUAGUGGCUUGACUUUAUUCUGGGUACAAUUGGCUCACUAGGAGCCAUGAGGAUAGAAUACGAGUUGUGAGGUAAAGUCAUAGGUUGUCCAAUGUCUAAUCCCUUUGGGUUCUAUCUAUGAUAUGACUAGACCAUACAAGUCAUAUGGCAUGGUAACGAGUGGGAUCAUGGGUUGAUGUGGUGGACAAUGUAUGGUUGUUAAACUUACUAUCUCGGUGAUGACUCAAGAGUAUAAGUUGUAUGUUGUGUUCACUAGUCAAGGGGUUGACUAGUAACCACCUGCGAAUUUUUUUACAUCUUUAAGUUGAGGCAUUCUCGAUAUUUCCCACUUUAACUCCCUUUGAUACCAUGACUUAAAUCAUCUUUUAGGACUUUAUUUAUACAUUAUUCCCAAUCACACACUCUUGAAACCUCUUUCAAACUCUUUUCUCAAGCAAAAACCUAGGGUUUCAUCAAGAUAAUCAAUUAAGGCUUUCAAGGGUGGUUUCUCUCAGUACUUCUUGGUGUCUAAGGCAUAUUACUCCUCCUUCAUUGUUAUUUUACUAAAAGCUCAAGUUUUAAUGUAUGAUUUUCAUGGUAUUGGUAUGAUUUUGAAAUAAAGGUUAGGGUUUUUUAUGUUAAUGGUUGAAUAAAGCUUCUUAUGGUUUAAAUAUGGUUUUUCCUUAUUUUAGCAUAACUUGAAUAUUAUGGGAUGCAUGUUAAUAGUAAAUGUAUUUUAGGGUACUAUAGAUUCCCUAAAUUACUUGGUCAUGGUCUUGAAACUUAUGUGCCCUUAACCUGUUGGUGAAACUGCAUAUGAAUAUGAUUUUGUCAUAUAGUUUGACCAUUCUUGGAAUCUUUACAAUGCAUAAAUGGUAAUGUAACUUGAAUUGGUUUGCUUUGAUUUUAAAUGGUUUUGAGAAGGCCUUAGUGGCUAUGGUCAUAGAUUAAUUGGAAACAGUAGAGUCUAAUUUUGGUUUAAUGGUUCUAUAUGGCAUAAGGGAAUAGACUUGCAAACUUUAAUUCUGGUGUGAUAAUACCAACGGUUAAUGACUAAUUAAAGGGCUCCAUGGAAAAUGGUUAGGAAUGUAUAAAUGGUUUUAAUAUAGGCUUAAAGGGGGUUGUGUGGCAAAGUCAUGGAAGGUGAAGUUCCCGGGGAGGACUAAUACUGGAAACUCAUGUUUGCUGAUUUGAGGUUUGGUCUUGAUGACCUAUGUACAUGGUUCAUACUAUUGAUAUAUAUUUGUAUCGUGGAUUAACGUGGGGUCAGGUCAUUCACAUGUCUUCCUUGAUACCUCUAGUUCAACCGAGGCAUUUCAGCAUGGGAGCUAAAUCUAUAUAGCUAUGUGUGGAGGUUCCUAAUGGCAAAGCUGCACAACAUAGGUUAAGGUUUUAAAUUGCAUGCUAAACCUUUUUCCUUAUCCCAGCAUGAUAUAUAUUUAUAUAUGUGACUAUAUAUGGUUAUUUGAUUUGGUUUUGAAUGAUGGCAUUAUUUUACCUUUAUCUUUGAGUUAUAUGCUAGUGUUCACUCUGCUAACCAUCUUCGGUGCUGUAUCACCACAUGAUGUCAGAAUCGGCCAUACUAUUAUCCUUCCUACUCAGUGACUUGGAUUUAGGGAUAACUUUGAGUCAGACUGAAGUGGUGAGCUUUCAUAUUUCAAAAGACUCCAUUUCAUGUUAUGGACUUCUUUUCAUUAUUGUUAUUUCUUUGGUUUUAGUUUUGACUAUGGUUGGGGCAAGUCUCGAUCGAUUAUUCUUUGAUUUUGGUUAGAGGCUUUGUCAGACUACCAUGGACAUGGGUGAUGUCGGUAUUAGUGUUAGCAUUGGUAUUGGUAUUGGCAUUGGGAUUAGUAUUGGUUGGACACUUGGUUUUGACUGUUUGGUUUUAGUUAUAGGCUUCAGCUAAUGUCUUUAAAUUAUUAUUAUUUUAUCUUAUUGUAUAUUCUGAAUUCAUUCAACAUAGGAUGUAGGGUGGUUAACAGUGGGGUAUUAGGGGUAGUCCAUAGUCCUGGUUGGACUUGAGAUACCCGACACUAUAGGCCCUGGUUCGGGUCAUGUUAGAUUAGUAUCAGAGCUCUAGGUUCAUGGUCAAUUAGGAGUCCAUAAAUCUAUAUCGAGUAGAGUCUCUUUUAAGGGCGUGUAGCGCGCCACACUCAUAAGGAAGAAAGUACAAGGCAUUUAGGAAUAUUUCUCUUUUUUGUGUUAUAUUUUCAGGCAGUAGAGCCUAAGGUCCUGAAAUCUUCACUAAUUCCCUUUUGUUUGUUUCUUAGAUUAUGCCUCCCAGAUGAUCUAAAGCUCAUAAAAACUCCUCUGUCCCACCCGAGGAUAAUAUUGAUGGGACAUAUUUUUUUUAUGAGGUCCAAACUCGGUCUAGGGGUCCAGUCUCUGAUUGCCCUCCUAGAGCUCCACUGGUUCUCUCCAGUCCUUCUCGAGCUUCUCAUGUUGAUGUGAUGAAUGUUGAGUUUUACCAGUCUAUUCAUGUGUUUACUCAGUUGAUAGCUACUCAUCUUGAGCGUGGUACUUCUGUUACUCCAUCUUCUGAGUUUAUAAGGGUUAGCCAAUUUAUGAGUUUAAAUCCUCCAGCCUUUGCUGGAGUUGAGGUCGAGAAGGAUCCUCAAAGUUUCUUUGAUGAGAUAGACAAGAUCUUUCAUGCGAUGCAUGCCACUAAUGUAGGGGGCAAGGAGUUCGCUGCAUACCAAUUGAAAGAUGUGGCUUAUUAGUGGAACGAAAAAUGGAACCAGCCAAGGAGUGACGAUGCCGAGUUAGCUCUAUGGGGUGAUUUUUCUAAUACUUUCCUAGAUUGCUUCUUUUCUUAAGAGAUGAAAGAAGUGAAGGUGGAAGAUUUUGUUAAUUUGAAGCAAGGCAAUAUGUCAGUCAAAUAGGAUGCCUUGAAGUUUCACCAGUUAUCUUAGUAUGCUCCGGAGAUGGUUUCUAACGUGAGGGCUAAAAAGAGAAAGUUUGCUUCCGAGUUAUCCUGAGACUUGAUUUUGGAAAGUUAGGCUUCCAUAUUGAACAAGGACAUGGAUAUUUCCAGUUUGGUUAUGUACAUACAGUAGGAUGGGGAAGAGAAAAAGAAGCAGGCAGAGAUAGGGAAAAGGCAGAGCAAGAAGUUUAGAUUUUUUUAGUAGGGUAGUGGCUAGCAGCAGAGUGGCAGUUAUGGUAAAAAGUGACCCAAAAAGAAGUAGGGUAAUUUGGGAUCUUACAUGACGGCUAGUGCUCUCUACCUAAAGCCAUCAGGUGACAGCAUUUUUAUGGUGGCGAUAAUUAUAGGGCAUAGGGUGCCCAGUCUUAGGCUAGUGGGGCCCAAUCAGCUUCAUCUUAUCCUCCCUACAGAUUUUGAGGUAGAUUGUAUCAAGGUGACUGUGAUGAAGAAAAGGACAAGUAUUUCAAUUGGGAUCAACUAGGGUACAUAAUUAGAAAUUGUCCUGUUAGUAAGGUUGCUUCUGGGGAAAACAAGGGUGUUGUUGCCUCUUCUUCAGCUCCAACACCAAAGAGUGCACCAUCUGGCUCCAACACUGGUCGGAACCAACUCUAUGCUCUUACUACUCAUCAGGAGUUUGAGGUGCCACUGGUUUUGUUACCGAUAUAUUGAUACUUUUUUCCCUUGAUGUGUACUGUUUACUUGAUCUCAGGUUUACUCUCUCUUAUGUGACCCUAUUUGUGGUUGUGUAUUUUGGUUUUGGUCCUAAUUGUAUUUCGAACCCUUUUCCUAUUUCUACCUCGGUGGGUGACUCUGUGGUGGCUAAAAGAGUUUAUAGAGGUUGUGUGGUAUCGGUGGAUGGCCAGGAAAUCUUGGUAGAUCUGUUUGAAUUAGACAUGGUGGAUUUUGAUAUCAUAUUAGGGAUGGAUUGAUUGCACUCGUGCUAUACAUCUUUAGAAUGCCGGACCCGUAAGGUCAUUUUUAAAUUCCCUAAUAAGAUGGUUAUUGAAUGGGAAGGUAGUUCCCUAAAUCCUAAAGAGAGGUUCAUAUCAUAUCUUAGAGCUCAGAGAUUAACCUCCAAGGGGUGUCUCUAUCAUUUAGUUUGGGUUAAAGAUCCUAACUCGGAGGGUCCUUCUUUACAUUUCAUCCUAGAGAUGAAUGAAUUUCCUGAGGUCGGCCCUGAUGACCUUUAUAGUGUUCCUCUCGAUAGGGAGAUUGAUUUUAGGAUAGAUCUUAUUUUGAACACUCAUUCUAUUUCUAUUUCCCGUAUAGAAUGGCUCCAGCUGAGUCAAAGGAGAUUAAGAAGCAACUAAAGAAUCCUUUAGACAAGGGUUUUAUCUGUCCUAGUGUAUCUUCAUAGGGUGAACUAGUGUUAUUCAUGCAUAAGAAGGAUGGUUCCCUUCGGAUGUGUAUUAAUUACUGGCAAUUGAAUAAGGUAAUGGUAAAGAAUAAAUACCCCCUUCCAAGGAUAGAUGAUUUGUUUGAUCACUUCAAGGUGCUAAUUUUUUAUCUAAGAUUGAUCUUCGACUGGGGUAUCAUCAGUUAAAGAUUAGGGAAGUAAAUAUCCGUAAAACUAUCUUUCGAACCUAAUAUGGGCAUUUCGAGUUCUUAGUCAUGUAUUUUGGCUUGACUAAUGCCUCGACAGCAUUCAUAGACUUGAUGAAUAGAGUUUUUCGUUAUUUUUUAGAUUUGUUCGUCAUUGUAUUCAUAAACAAUAUUCUGGUGUACUCUAAGAGCGAGGUGGAUCAUGUUGAUCACCUUCGCAUUAUGUUAUAGACCCUGAAAGAUCAGCAGUUGUAUGCCAAAUUUUUAAAAUGUGAGUUCUGGUUGAACGUUGUCACUUUUUUGGGUCAUGUCAUUUCUAGUAAAGGGAUCAUAGUGGAUCCACAGAAAGUUGUAGUGGUUAAAAAAUAGCCUAGACGCAUGACUCUAAUCAUAUAUUUGGAGCUUCUUGGGUUUAGCCAGUUAUUAUAGAAGGUUUAUGAAAAAUUUCUCUUCUAUAGUUACCCCAAUGACUAAGUUGACUCAGAAGAAAGUGAAGGUCUUAUGGUAUGAUGCUUCUGAGGGUAUUUUUAAAAAGCUGAAGAAUAAACUGACUUCGGCUCCAGUCUUGACUUUGCCUGAAGGCACUGAUGGGUUUUUGGUCUAUUAUAAUGCAUCCCGUGUAGGGAUUGGUUACGUCCUGAUGCAGCAUGGAAAAGUGAUAACUUAUGCCUCCAAAUAAGGUGCAUGAGAAGAAUUAUCCAACUUAUGACUUGGAAUUGUUGGUUGUGGUAUUCGCAUUGAAAGCUGGCAUCACUAUUUGUAUGGAGUGCCUAUGGAUAUCUUUUCUGAUCAUAAGAGCCUCUAAUGUGUGUUUGCCCAGAAAUAGCUGAACCUCAGGCAAAGGAGAUGGAUUAAGCUGCUCAAAAAUUAUGACAUAAGUCUUCACUACCAUCCAGGUAAAGCUAACAUAGUUGUUGAUGCUCUUAGCAGGUUAUCUAUGGGGAGUCUAGCUCAUAUAGAUGAAGAGAAGCAGGAGUUGGCGAGAUAUAUUCACCAUUUGGCUAACCUUGGAGUUCGUCUCUUAGACUCUGAAGAUAGUGAUCUAUUUGUGUAGAAGGUGGUACAGCCAUCUUUUGGUAUGGAAAUAAAGGAGAAAUAAGUGUUGGAUCCUGUCUUGAUGAGGAUUAAGGAUAAUGUAGGUGGGCAGAAGGUGAUGGCCUUUGAGAUUAGUGGUGAUGGUACCUUGCGGUACUAAGGGAGGUUAUGUGUUCCUGAUAUAGAUGGAUUGCGAAAGGAUCUUUCUUGAUUGAGGCACAUAAGUCGCGCUACGCUGUUCAUCUCGAUUCGAUGAAAAUGUAUCAUGACCUUAAGCUGAUGUACUGGCGAAAUAAUAUGAUGCGGGAUGUAGCUAGUUUUUUAUCUAAGUGCAUGGUGUGACAACAAGUAAAACUUUAGCACUUGAGGCCCAAAGGAUUGUAUUAAGAAAUUGAGUUACCUGUGUGGAAGUGGGGGUGAUCAAUAUAGACUUCGUUACCGGUCUUCCUCGAUCUCUGAAUCAAUUUGAUUUGGGUUGGGUCAUCGUGGAUAGGAUGACAAAGUCUGCUCAUUUCUUACCAGUAAGGACUAAUUUUUCGACAGAGUAUUAUGCGAGGUUGUACCUCUAAAAGAGUAUGAAUUUGUAUGGGGUACCUAUUUCUAUCAUCUCGGAUUGUGGUAGGCAGUUUUCAUCGCACUUCUGGCAAUUAUUUUAGAAAGGUUUGGGAACUAAGGUGAUUCUUAAUAUUGCUUUCGACCAGCAGUCGGAUGGGCAAGCGAAAAGAACUAUUUAGACAUUGGAAGAUAUGCUUUGAGCUUGCGUGAUUGACUAUGGUGGUCGUUGGGUUGAGCAAUUAUCUCUUAUAGAGUUUAUGUACAAUAACAUCCACUACUCUAGCAUUGGGAUGGCUCUAUUUGAGACCUUGUGUGGUAGGACGUGUAAGUCUCCUAUUGAGUGGUUUGAGGUUGGUGAGGCGGAGAAGUUUGGUUCGAAUUUAGUUCAUCAAGCCAUGAAUUAAGUAAAGGUGAUUCGGGAUAGGCUUAAAGCCACCUAAAUUUUCCAAAAGUCCUAUACGGAUGUGAGGUGUAGGAAGUUAGAGUUUGAGGCUGGGGAUAGGGUAUUUUUGAAGGUGUCUCCAUGAAGGGAGUGAUGCAGUUUGGGAAAAAGGGAAAGCUUAGUUCCUAGUAUGUUGGUCCGUACUUGGUUUUGAGAAGGGUUGGUAAUGUUGCAUAUGAAUUGCAGUUGCCUUCUAGUUUGAGCUCCAUUCACCCGAUGUUCCAUGUCUUAAUGUUAAUAAAGUAGGUGGGUGAUUCAUCGCAAAUUAUGUUUAUCAAGGAUAUUGGUAUUUUGGAUUCCUUGUCUUAUGAGGAGGUCUCGGUUGAAAUCUUUGAUCGGCAAAUUUAUCGGUUGUGGAUGAAGGACAUAGCUUCGGUAAAGGUUUUAUUGAGGAACCAUAAGGUUGAAAAGGCUAAUUGGGAAGCUAAAGAGGACAUGAAAUCCAAGUAUCCAUUCGUGUUUUCUGCUCUGGAAGAUCAUGCGUAAGGUAUGUGUUAUUCUUAACACCUUUGUUUUCUAACUUAGUUAAAAGUAAGAGUAGAGGCGUUUGGGGUUUUGAUCGUUCUAGUCAAUGUCUUGUCCCAUCAUUCGGGAAUGAAUGAUCCAAGUAGGGGAGGAUUAAAACACCUUAAGUUUUGACCCUUGGAAAUUUCCUAAGCUUUGAGCUCACAAUCCUGUUGAUGACUUAACCAUACGAGUCAUAUGGUGUGGGUACGAGUCAAGGGACCCAAAUCGUGAGGUGUCUAGUAGAUGAUGGUUGGGGUUCUAUUAUGGUAAUGAAUUGGUGGUACGAGUCGUUAGAGGUGGUGAUGAGUCGUUAGCACGAUCCUUAAUCAAAUCAAUAACUUAGUGGCUUGACUUUACUUUGAGUACAAGUGGCUCACUAAGAGACGUGAGGAUAGGUUACGAGUUGUGAGGUGAAGUCGUAGGUUGGCCAGUGUCUAAUCCCUUUGGGUUCUGUCUUGGAUAUGACUAGACCAUACGAGUCGUAUGAUCUGGUAAGGAGUAAGAUCAUGGGGUCAUGUGGUGGACAGUGUAUGGGUGUUCAACUUACUGUCUUGAUGACGAAUCAAGGGUACGAGUCUAUGUUGUGGUCACAAGUCAAGGGGUCAACUCAUAACCACCUGCAGUUUUUUUACAGAUUUAAGUUGAGGGCAUUCUGGAUAUUUCCCACUUUAACUCCCUUUGAUACCACGACUUAAAACAUCUUUUGGGACUUCAUUAACAUAUUAUUCCCAAUCAAACACUCUUAAAAUCUCUCUCAAACUCUCUGCUUAAGCAUAAAUCUACAGUUUCAUCAAGAUAAUAAAUUAAGGCUUUCAAGGGUGGGAUCUCUCUGUACUUCUUGGUGUCUAAGGCAUGUUACUCCUCCUUCAUUGUUAUUUUACUAAAAGCUCAUGUUUUAAUGUAUGAUUUUUAUGGUAUUGUUGUUUUAAUAGUGGGGUAUUGGGUGUGGUCUCGGAUCCUGGUUGGACUUGUGAUACCCGACACGACUAGACCCUGAUUCGGAUCGUGUCAGUUUCGACCAAAUAUACGUCCUACACCCAUAUUACCAAUUUUUCAACUUUCCGAUCAAUAGGUCGAAAUGAGCUCGGGUGCAUCGAGACCCGAAUCAAAGGUCUACCUAGCCUAAAAUCGAUAUCUCAGAGUUAUUGGCGCAGUCAAAAUUUGCAUCCGAGAUUGUUUUACUAAAGUUUUUACUCAGUGGCCAUUUAGAACCACCGAAGACUUGUAAAUAAGGAAUUGAUUCUAAAAAUCAAACGAACUGGUCGGUAGCUAGACUGUCAAUUCCAGCAAGUCAUAUAUAACUUGGGGCAGCUAUGGAGAAGAUAUAACAACGGAAAUAAACAAAAAUAUGAAAAAUGAACGAAAAGGUCAUUACACUCAUCUAUACCACUGUCGUUACAUAAAGGUUCAUUCGUGUCAUUAUUUUUGUAAUGGGUGAUUUUACCAAAUCAUUUUCCACAUAGCCUCUUAUUAGAUAUCCACAUCACCAAAACUAAUUCAACCAAUAUUACUUAAAAUUUAAAUAAAUUCAAUCCAUUAAAAUAAAACCCAAUACAAUUAAUGGUAUAAUUUUUAUUAUUAAUGAGCCUAAUUUUUAUUUUAAUGUUGUGGAUCGAAUUUUAAUUUAAUGAGUUUAAUUUUUAUAUUGAUUUUAAAUAAUAUUGAUUGAUUUGGAUUUGGUAACGUAGACCUAUAAUAAAAGGUCACGUGAAAAAAUGAUUUCGCAAAACCACAAUUACGAGAUAAUAGCAUAAAUAGACCUUUUUGUAAUGGCAGUGACAUAGAUAAGCCAAACUUUUAAAAGUGGUGGCAUAGAUGAGUUAUUUCUAGUAGUAUUCUUUCCCUUAAAAUAAGGCGAGUUUGAAAGCUUGACCAAAUAAGCCAUUAAUAUAUAUAUAUGUGUGUGUGUGUAUGUAAUUUUAUUCUAUCAUCUCCAAUAACUACUCCUAAGAAAUUAAUACUAUUUUUACAUAAUUUCAUUUUCUUUCUGUUUAUUAUUAUUCCAUUAUCUACAAAUAAUUUAAAAACUUGAUGUAAAUGUCCCAAAUGUUCUCUCAUAUUAUUACUAAAAAACUGUUGUUAUUCUCUCAGGGUGUGAUUAAAGAAGAUAUUGCUAAAAUACAUAUAUAUGUGUGUGUAAUUUGAGGAGCUUAGGGUCAAGUUCUCAAAAUGACAAUUAAGUUUCUCAAAGUCCAUUUAUUAUUAUUUAAAGGAGUUUUCAAAAUAUCAACUAAGCUCCUCAAAGUUUCACUUAUUACGAUUUGUAGAUUUCUCCAAAAUUACUUAUAUUUAUUUAUAAUUUAUGUUAAAAGAAUACUAUAAAUUACAAUAAUUAAUUCUAAAAUAUUUAAAGGGCAUAGUAAAAAAAGAACUGAUUCUCAAAAUUAAACCAGUACUGCAUAACUUGAGAUAAUUAUUUGAAAAUGAUAUAAAAUGUAUUAUAAAGCAUAAUACAUAACAAGUAUUUUAAAGACAUAUAAAAAAUGAAAUGAGAGGAGCUCAGGGUCAACUUUUGAAACUUACAAAUAAACUUCUCAAAGUCCCACUUUUUAUUGUUUGAUUUUGAGGAGUGAGAGGAGCUUAGGGUCAAUUUUUAAAAAUGACAACUAAGCUCCUCAAAGUCUCACUUACUACUAUUUGAAAAGCUUAGGAUUAGUUUGUGAAAUGAUUAUUUCGCCCUUUUACUUCUCCAAAAUUACUUAUAUUUCUUUGAAAUUUAUGUAAAAAUAUAAUAAAUCACAAUGAUUAACUUUAAAAUAUUUUGAAAGACAUAAUAAAAAAUCAGUUGGCUCCCGAAAUUCUAUCGAUACCACAUAAAUUGGAACAAUUAUUUUGAAGUGAUAUAAAAAUGCUAUAAACUAAAAUAAUUAAUAAUUUACAAAUAUUUGAAAGACAUAAAAUGUUCGAUUAACUCUUAAAAUUCUAUCAGAGUUAUAUAAAUUGAGACAUAAUAAGAAGUAACAUAUAUUAUUUAUAAAUUAUAUAAACAAUACUAUAAAUUACAAUAAUUAACAAUAUAAAAUUUUUGAAACGUGAGAACAUAAAGUAGCUUAGGGUCAGAAGGUAAUUGACUGAUUCGCCUUUCUAUUUUUAUUUUUAGUUUGUGGAAAUCCAAUUCAUAUAAUUUAACCAAAACAACCGAUAAUUUCUCUCUUCAUUAUUAACUGGGCCUACUUUUUGAAAUUUGAGCAUUUCAAAGAUGUAAAGAGAGAAUUAUAUUAUUUUCAUUCAACAUGAUGUUUUUCUCUUACACAUCAAAAAAAACAAAAAACUAAAUAAAGAAAAUAAUUCAACAUUUUCACGAAAAUUAAAUACUUCUAUUAAAUAAAGAAAAUAAUUAUGUAAAAGUAAUUUAAAUUAAAAUACUAAACCAAUAAAAGUAUGUAAAAGGUAUAAAAAAAAAUUGAUUAACUCUUAACAUUCUAUCAGUGUCACAUAUAAAGGUACUAUAAAUUACAAUAGUUAACAAUUUAAAAUAUUAAAAAGACAUAUUAAAAAUUUGGUCGAUCCUCCAAAUCUUAUCAAUGCCAGGUAAAUUAGAGUAAAGGAAGUAACAUAUAUUAUUUGAAAAUUAUGUAGAAAGUACUAUAAAUUAUAAUAAUUAACAACUUAAAUAUGUAAAAAGUAUAUUAAAAUUAGUUGACUCUCCAAUUCUAUCAGUACCACAUAAAGUGAGACAGAGAGAGUAUCAUAUAUUAUCGAAAAAUUAUGUAAAAAAAAUACUAUAAAUCACAAUAAUUAACAACUUAAAAAUUAAACGAAACAUUUCGAUCGACUCUUAAAAUUCUAUCUAUGUAACAUAAAUUGAAACAUAAUAGAAAUUAUGUAAGAAAUACAAUAAAUCGUAACACUAAUUAAUAACUUAAAUUUUUUUAAAUCAUACAAAAUUAAUUGGUGAUUUAAAUUUCAUUUGUGUUACAUAAAUUAGGACUAAGUAAACAACAUGGGCUCGGAGAGUUAGGGAUCGUUUGAUUGUGAAUAAGUUACUUCGGGAUAAUUAAUCCUGGGAUUAAUUAUUCCACCAUGUAUAUGAAAUACUUAUUGUAUCACUAAGAUAUAAAUGAUGGAAUAAAUAACCUCUAAUAACUUCAACUAAACAUGGUAUGUAAAAUAAUCCUAUACUUUAUUCUGAGACUAUGAUAACUUAUGUGUCACACCAAAACAUGUGUAAAGCUUGGAGGCUAAUUUUUUUUUAAAUGGUUUCCAACAAUAGUAGUAGUUUAUAUUUUAAAUCCAGAAAAUUACAUGGUAUAGCCCCAAUAGUGGAGGGCUUUGGAUUUUUAACCCCAAUAAGAAAAGUCUUUAGAGACUAGCCUUCCUUCCUUUUAAGUAUAAUAUAAGUAUAAUUUUACCUCUCAACACCUCAAAUAUUUUUAAACUUUCCAUACUCAUUUAUCUCUCAAAUUCUAUUUUUAUUUUUAUUAUUUUAACUUUUUUAUUUUUCUUUUAAUUUUAUUUUCAUGUUUUAAUUCAUUUGUCUCAACCUUUAUUUUUCGCUUUUUUUUUCUCAAACAUUAUCUAUUUCAUCAUUUUUUUUCUUUUUUUUUAAUUCAUUUGUCUCAACCUUUAUUUUUCUUUUAUUUUUGGUCUUUAUCAUUUCUCUUUUUUUCCCUCAUUUUUCUUAAACUUUAUUUUUAUUUUUUUCAUCUCAUUUUUGUUUUUCUCAAUUUUUUAAUUCUUCAUUUUUUUCUUAAUCUUUAUUUUUUCUUGUUUUUUUCUCAAUCUCUUUUUUUAUUUCUCUAUUUUAUUUGAUCGUUUUUUUCUUUUUUCUCAACUUCUAUUAUAUUUAGUUAAUAAAUAAAAAAUUGGAUAAUCCGCAAAGAGAUAUUCUUUUUUUGACGUCAAAACAAAUUUAAAGGCGUGCAUUAUUGUUAAGAAGCUCCUUGGGAUAAGUUUUGCCGCAAAGGCAAAAAUUAUAGAACAACUCAUAAAUCAAAGCACAAUGCGGUAGCGUCAAGUCUUGCUUAUGGAGCAUAACUUGUUGUUUGAAAAAUCCUUGAGUUAAGUCUUACUUCUAAGGCAAGAGUUAUAGAAUAUCUCAUAAAUAAAAAAAACAAUGUGGUAGUGUCAACACUUGUCCAUUGGGUAUAACUUGUUCUUUUGGGAGGUUCUUAGGCUAAGUUUUGUCUUAGAGGCAAGACUAAUAGAACAUCACAUAAAUCAAGACACAAUAUGAUAGUAUCAACUCUUAUUCAUGGGGCGUAACUUGUUGGCUAAGUCUUGCCUCUAAGGCAAGAGUUAUAGAAUAUCUCAUAGAUCAAGGCACGAUGUGGUAGUAUCAACUCUUAUCCAUGGGGCGUAACUUACUGUUUGAAAGUCCUUAGACUAAUACAAGCCUCUAAGGUAAGAGUUAUAAAACAUCUCACAAAUCAAGAUAUAAUGUGGCAGUGUUAACUAUUACCCAUUGGGCAUAACUUAUUGUUUAAAAGUCCUUAAUUUAUAAAAAAUCUCAUAAAUCAAGACACAGUGUGGUAGUCUCAAAUCUUGUCCGUAGAGGGUAACUUGUAAUUUAAAAGUCCUUGGGCUAAGUCUUGCCUCUAAAACAAGGGUUAUAGAACAUCUCAUAAAUCAAGACAGAGUGUGGUAGUCUCAAAUCUUGUCCAUGGAGGGUAACUUGUUAUUUAAAAGUCCUUGGGCUAAGUCUUGCCUCUAAAACAAGGGUUAUAGAACAUCCCAUAAAUCAAGAUACAGUGUGGUAGUCUCAAAUCUUGUCUGUGGAGGGUAACUUGUUAUUUAAAAGUCCUUGGGCUAAGUCUUGCCUCUAAAACAAGGGUUAUAGAACAUCUCAUAAAUCAAAACAUAAUGUGAUAGUGUCAAGUCUUACCCAUGGGGAGAAACUUGUUACUUGAAAGUCCCUGGUAUAAAUCUUGCCUCUAAGGGAAGAGUUAAUAAACAUCUCAUAAAUUAAUACACAGUAUGGUGGUAUCAAUUCUUGUGCAUGGGGCAUAACUUGUAGUUUGAUAGUCCUUAGGUUGAGUCUUACCUCUAAGACAAGAGUUAUAGAGCAUUUCAUAAGUAAAAAACACAAUGUGUUAGUGUUGACUCUUGCCCAAUAUACACUUGUUUGAAAAUUCUUGGGAUAAGUCGUGCCUCUAAGGUGAGAGUUAUAGAACAUCUCAUAAAUAAAGAUAUAACAUGGUAGUGUUAACUCUUACCCGUGAGGCAUAAUUUGUCAUUUGAAAGUCUUUGAGCUAAGUCUUGUCUGUAAGCCAAGAGUUGUAGAACAUCUCAUAAAUAAAGACAUAACGUGGUAGAGUCAAUUCUUGCCGGUGGGACAUAAUUUGUUCUUGAAAGUCCUUGAGCUAAGUUUUUCCUCUAAGGUAAGAGUUGCAAAACAUCUCAUAAAUAAAGACAUAACGUGGUCGAGUCAACUCUUGCCCGUGGGACAUAAUUUAUAGUUUGAAAGUCUUUGAGCUAAGUCUUGCCUCUAAGAUAAUAGUUGUAGAAUAUCUCAUAAAUGAAAAUAUAACGUGGUAGAGUCAACUCUUGCCGGUGGGACAUAAUUUGUUUUUGAAAGUCCUUGAGCUAAGUUUUUCCUCUAAGGUAAGAGUUAUAAAAUAUCUCAUAAAUCAAAUAACAAUGUGGUUGUGUCAACUCUUGCGCAUGAAAUAUAACUUGUUGUUUGAAAGUCACAAGUGUUGCCUCUACAAUGUAGCAAUGUUAACUCUUGUUCAUGAAACAUAGCUUGUAAUUUGAAAAUCAUAAGUCUUGCCUUUAUAAUGUGAUAGUGUCAACUCUUACUAAUGAAAUGUAACUUGAUUAGAGGAAAUCGAAGAAAAGAAUAAAAAUAAUAAAAAAUUACAGAAAAAAUAAAGAAAAAUAUUAAAAAAUAAAAAUAAAAUAAAAUGUAGAAGUUGAAAGAGAAUGAGAAAAAACUAAAGGUUGAUAAAAAUAUAAAAAAGAUAAAACAAAAAUAGAGGCCAAGAAAAAUUUAAAAAAAAAAAGAAAAGAAAAAUAAAAAUCAAAGAAAAAUCAAAAAAGUUUUUCUUUUUAUAGAAGUAGAUGUUGAGAGGAAUAAAGGAAAAAAGUAAGGAUUGAGAAAAAUUAAAAAGAACAAACAGAAGAGGAAAGAAAAAAUUAAAAAUUAAAGUAAAAUAAAAAAUAAAAAAAAGGAGAAAUUGAGAGGAAAAAAGAAAACAAAUAAGGAUUGAAAAUAAUUAAAAAUAAAAUUAAAAAAAUAUAUCUAAAAAUAUAUCAACUAAUAGCUGAAGUUCAGCUGAAGGUUGGUUUUAUAAUUUUUUUUUUACUUUGGAGUCAAAAGUCAUUUAUUUUGGGGCUACCUACCCAAGAAGGUAGUCCAGUUUCCCCUUGGUAUCUUAAAAGAGCGGAGCAGAAAGUGUUUUCUUUCUCAAAUUUAAAAUUAGUUAAUGAGUGAGCAUUGUUUCUUGUUUACAUGAAUUUCCGGCGAUGAAUAGGGCUGCUUUAAUAAGCUCUCAGGGCAACACUUUUCAGCUAAGGGCCGCCUCUCUUUUUCAUUCUUCCCCAAUGUUGGAACGCAGAAGACGCACUCAUUGGGAUUCUGUUAGUGUCUCUUUCUAUUACAUAUAUAUAAUUUCGUUUAUUUAUUUGGUUUAUCUCGAGUUUUCAGUUUGUCGGACUCAUUGGUUUUGCGAUGUAUGAAAUUUCUAUGUGCAACAAGUUUGGUUUUGGAAGUGGAAAUUCAUGUUAGUUGUUUGCAUAAACAUAAUAUAUUGUAUUUAUUAUAGAGAAGAAAGCAAACGUUGCACAGCAAGCCCAUGAAUUGGUGAUUUCUGGAUUUUCAUUUGUGGCAAUCGAAAGAACUAUUGUAAAGUUUGAUGAAGUUUGCUCUUUUUCCUUGUUGUGCAGGGGAGUGGUGCUUAUAAAGGCUCUUCAAGGGUGAGCCAUUGGCGCUAUGUUGCUUCAAUAAACCUUGUUCAAGGAAUUUUUCUGAUAGACAUGUUUGAUUUACUAUUUAAUGCUGCAAAAUAGGUUUCUCCCUUUGGUUUGGUUAAUGAGGACUAAAAUCCAGUAAAAUACCUACCCCAUCUGGUAGUUUGCCAAGGUUAGCUUCUUAAGUUACAUACAAUUAGGAAAUGAAGAGGAUUAAGGAAGAGGCUAACCUUGUUGUUUCUGUUUCUUCUUGACAUGGAAUUCUGCAAAAUCCCUAGAGUUUAACACAAUGAACUAGCAAAAGCUUGUGCAUUUUCUAAUAAAUUGGUAAAAACUUAGAAAUAUACUUGAAAUAAAUAAAAGUUAAAACAAAAAGAAAUUGAGAAUGCUUAAUUUUUGUCCUAAGUUGUUAGUUUUUCAUGUAUCACACAGUUUCUUGAGUAGUUUAACAUUCCAUGAAUGCAUGGCUGGUUACUUAGAGCAUUUUGUGUCUCUGAUUCCUGUUUAACCUCGGAACCAUUGAACUAUUAAUUUACAACAAAUCGCUUGAUUUAUGUCUUUUCAUGUCAUUGUACAACAACAUAUCCAGUGUAAUCUCACAAAUACGUUCUGGGAGGGUGAUGUAUACACAACCUUACCUAUAUCUUGUGAAGGUAGAGAGGCCAUGUCACGACCCGAACUAGGGCCUAGUCGUGACGGGUAUCUUGAGCCCACCAUGGACCGGAGAUCACCCCCUUAGCCUAACCUCAAGAGCACAAUAAUCAUAAAAUAAAGCGGAAGACAAUCAAACCAAUGAUAUUAGUAAUAGGAAUAGAUGAAUCAAAUGACGGUUCAAAGAAUUCAAAUAACAAUCCACCCACACUUGUCCACAAAAGCCUAUAAAAUCAGAAUAACACCAAAGUCGGGACAUGCCCCCGACUGUGAUAAAAAAGAAUCCAAAAGUACUAUGAAAAUAAAGCAAGAAUAGUGAAAUGACAAGGUCUUCCGAAGGAUAGAGGCUCACCACUUCACAACAAUUCAACAAACGUGCUCAACCACCUAACACUGCGCAGGAGCAACAGAAAACCCUUUAGACCCUACAUCAUAAAGCGAUGUUGAGUCCAGGGACGGUCAGUGGAUAAACACUGGCAUGUAACUCAGGGAAUAAGGAUAAAAUAAUGCAAUUACCAAAAUUCAGUCAUAAAUCAUAUGCACCACAUUCAUAUAUAUAUAUAAAUAUAUAUAAUGAUGUAGCUUCUAGGGAGGGACGGUCAGUGGAUAAGCAUUGACAUGUAACUCAGGGAAUAAGGAUAAAAUAAUGCAAUUACCAAAUUCAGUCAUAAACCAUAUGCACGGAGAAGCAGUACAAAGAGAAGACAGGAAAAUACUUAUAUAGAUAGAUAGAUAGAUAAAGAGAGAGAGGAUGUCGGGAUCAGUGUUUUGAAAAGCGAGAGGCGAAAAAAAGCGACGAGGGUUCGCUUCACAGAAGCGAGAAGCGUGAAGCGAAGCGCACUCUUUUUUCCAUUAAAGCGCUAUUUAGUACAAAAUUCAAAAAUAUUAAACAUGCAUAAAUAAAUAACCAAGAGCUCAUUAAAUAACAUAAUCAUUCAAUACUCAAAUUAAAAAGAGAAUAGAUAGUCAUAACAAGCAUUUAAGCAAACUACUAAAAUACUAAAAAUCAAUCUUGCGUCUUAAUCAACCAACACAAAUAGAGAAGAAGAAAAAAAAACAAAGGAAAAAACAAAGUUGGAAGUCAGAUUACCUACAGCAAAAAAAAAGUAAAACAGAACUGGAAAACAGAGAAGAAGAAGAGAAAUAGAGAAGAAGAAGAUGAAAAAGAGUAAUUGAGGAGAAGAGAACAAAAAACUAGAAAACCCUAAUAGGAGAAGAAGAAGAGGAGAAUUAGAGAAGAAGAAGUCGCAUACCUUCAACAGUUCUUCCAGAAAAGUCGCAGCAGCAGCAAUGCAGUCGUAUAGUCACUUAAGGGUUUUAACUAAAAUAAAUUAAAUAAAGUAAUAAAACCCUAAAAAAAAACCUUAAAUAUCCAUUUAAGCGAGCUUUUCUGCGUUUUUUUGCUUCAAUGCUUCUCGCUUCUGGACAUAAAGCGAGAGUUUUUUUCUCGCCCCAACGCUUCAAGUGUAAAAAGCGACCCACUGUCGCUUCGCUAAGCUUCACGCUUUAAGCGGGCGCUUCAGCGCUUUUGGGCCCAGUGCGUGUUAGCCGCACGAAUCGAAGAAAAAAUCGAGGGAAAACUAAAGCCACCAAGGCAAUAGCCGUCUCAAAAUAUAUAUAUCAAGUGUGCACCAAACAUACAGUCAUAUAGACCCCCCAAUGCCGGCAAACGUGGUUUUCAGUGUUCGUCCCCCCGAGACUUACACCUUCACGGUGAGAUGCACAAUUCCCUUUAAGCCCAACUUAAAACAAUUUGCACAUAAAUCAAUCCAUUAACCCAGGAGUCAUUCACUAAGACAUUUACCACAUGCUUGCAAGCUAAAAAAACAAGUUAAACCAUGCAAUUUUUCAUAUUUAAAAUCAAGUUUACAAAGUGAGUUGAAGUUAAUGCAAUUAUCAAGCCAAAAUUCCAUCAAUUUGGGGAACUCGUUCCCCCAUUCCAACUAUUUAUACCAUGCACCAAGUCAGUCCUAAAAACAUUAAUUUGAAGCAUGAAUAAUCAAUUUAGAACAUGAGACAAGUAAUUCAAUUCGUAACAACCAAAACACCUCAACCCAAUUUCAAAACCCACAAUUAAAUCACAUGAAAAUCCAUUCAGUUAAUGCCACAAUGUAAAAUUANNNNNNNNNNNNNNNAAAGAGAAACAUGCCUGAAAUUCACAAGGAACUGAAAACAAUUCAAAGUUUGGAGUCCGGAGGAUGAAUUUACUAUAAAACCCUUGAAUGUUCUUGGAUUUUGAGUUUGAGAGAGGGAAUGUUUGAUCUUUGAAAACUGAAAGAAUGAGGUUAUUUUAUGUUAUUAGGUCGUAUAAGGGGUAAAAAGACUAAAAGCCCCCCACCCUAAGUGAUAAAAACAAAAACUAGAUGAAUUUAAAAUAGCGGCGUGACACGCCAAUAUCGUGGAGGUUAGUCUCCAUGCCACACCAAUAUCGCGGAGGUUAACCUCCAUGACACGGCCUUGUUGCUGAUGCUUACUGCCUCGGGGUCCUAAAAUGAUCCCUACCCCCUUUCAAAAAAUUCUAAAAUUUUCCAAAACACCAUUUUAACAUUCCUAAACAUAAUUCAAGUAAAAAAUCGACAUUACAUAUGCGGGGGUGGGGGUCAAAAUAAAAUGAUCGAAAUUUUAAGGGGUCUUACAUUCGUCCCCGAAUGAUGAGUUAGGACACUUUUAAGCAUGAGAAUAACAAGAAUACAUCAGAAUCAAAUGACAAAUUUAGAAAGUGAUAAGAGGAAAACGAAAAUCUUACUUUAAGCACAUUCAUCCAAUAUGUGGAACAAGAACGGAUACUUGGCCGUCAUAUCUUCCUCAGCUUCCUACGUAGCCUUUUCUACCUUUUGAUUUCUCCACAGAACCUUCAUCGAGGCUACAUCCUUGGUCCUCAAUCUACGAACUUGUCUAUCCAGUAUCUCUACCGAGACCUCCUCAUACAACAAUGAAUUUGUAACACCAACAUCCUCAACAGGCACUAUCAAGGAAGGAUCACCCACACUUUUUUCAGCAUGGACACAUGAAAAGCAGGAUGAAUCGAAGCUAAACUUGCAGGCAAAUCUAACUCAUAAGCGACAUUCCCAAUUCUCCUCAAAAUCUGAUAUGGACCAACGUAACGGGGACUGAGCUUCCCCUUCUUCCCAAACCUUAUGACUCGUUUCAUAGGAGACACCUUCAAGAACACCCAAUUACUUCAAACUCCAAUUCUUUUUGCCUCGCAUCCACAUAAGACUUUUGGCGACUUUGAGUAGUCUUAAGUCUUUCCCUGAUCACUUUAACCUUCUCCAUGGUUUGGUGAACCAAGUUAGGAACAAAUUCUUCAUGGCUUGGUGAACCAAGUUAGGACCAAACAACCUAGUCUCACCAACCUCAAACCACCCAAUAGGAGACCUGCACCUCCUACCAUAAAGAGCCUCAAAAGGAGCCAUUUGGAUGCUAGAAUAGUAACUAUUGUUGUAAGCGAACUCAAUAAGGGGCAAAUGAUCAACCCAACUCCCUUUAAAAUCAAUCACACAGGCCCUUAGCAUAUCCUCCAAAGUUUGAAUAGUACACUCCACUUGCCCAUUAGUUUAAGGGUGGAAAACGGUGCUAAGGUUUACAUGAGUACCCAAACUUUUCUAAAACAAAUGCCAGAAGUGAGAAGAAAACUGCGUACCUCAAUCUUAGAUAAUAGACACUGGCGCACCAUGUCACUUCACAAUCUCCUGAAUGAACAACUUAGCAUAAUCCUCUCCUGAGUAGUUAGUCCUCAUUUACAAGAAGUGAGCAAACUUAGUCAUUCUAUCCACAAUAACCCAAAUAGAAUCAUACUGAUUGCGAGACCGCGGAAGACCCGUAAUGAAAUCCAUAUUGAUCAUCUCCCACUUUUAUAUGGGCAACUUUAUCUCUUGAGACGUGCCACCAGGCCUCAAAAUGUUCAACCUUAACUUGCUGAUAGAGCAACAUUUGACAACAAAAUUUGCCAUAUCUCUCUUCAUAUUGUUCCACAAGUAGAUUUCCUUCACGUCAUAAUACAUCUUAGUCGAACCCGGAUGAACUGUAUAUCUGGACUCAUGAGCCUCAGUCAAAAUCCUUUCCCGCAGCCUAUUAACAUCAAGAACACACAACCUGCCUUGAUACCUCAACAUGCCAUCUUCCCCAAUUUUGAAAGCCAUAACUUCUUGCUGACCACAUCAUCCUUAAUCUGCAUAAGUAUGGAAUCCAAAGCCUGCUUCUCCUUCACCUUAACACCAAGAGAUGAUUUAACCAUUUCUUGAACCAUCACUCCUUUAUCCUCAGAGUCCAAGAGACGAACUCCUAAAUUAGCCAACCUGUGAAUAUCCUUCACUAAUCCUCUCUUCUCCUCUUCAACAUGAGAUAGACUCCUCAUAGACAACCUGGUAAGAGCAUCAACAACUACAUUAGCUUUACCUGGAUAGUAGUGCAAGCUCUUGUUGUAAUCCUUAAGCAAUUUGAGCCAUUGCCUCUGCCUGAGAUUUAACUCCUUCUGCGUAAACAUAUGCUGCAAGCUCUUAUGAUCUGAAUAGAUGUCUACAUGCACUCCAUACAGAUAAUGGCGCCAAAUUUUCUAGGCAAAGACCAUGACCGCCAACUCUACCUACUCUAGAUCGCGAAAUGGGUAAUUUCUCUUAUGAACCUUAAGCUGCCUGAAAGCAUACGAUCUUACUAUGCUAUAUCAAAAUACAACCCAGUCCCACACGGAACGCAUCACAAAACACACUAAAACCAUCAAUACCCUCCGGUAGGAUCAAAACUGGCGCCGAAGUCAACUUAUCCUUCAACUUCUCAAAACUACCUUCACAAGCAUCAGACCACAAAAUCUUAAUCUUUUUCUGAGUUAACUUCGUCAACGGAGCAGCAAUAAACGAGAAACUCUCCACAAAUCUCCUAUAAUACCCAACCAAGUCCAAGAAGCUGUUAAUGUCGGUUGGAGUUGUGGGUCUAGGCCAUUUCUUAACUGCCUCGACUUUCUGUGGAUUCACCUUGAUCCCCUCACUAGAAACAACAUGCUCAAGUCACAACAUUCAGCUAAAACUCACAAUUAGAAAAUUUCGCAUACACACCUCUGGUCUUUAGGAGUCUACAAUACAAUUCGAAGGUAAUUGUCACGAUCCUCCUCACUUUUGGAGUACACCAAGAUGUCAUCAAUGAAGAGUAUAACUGUUGUUCUACAGAAUGCAGAGAAGAACAAAAAAAUACGUUUGAUGAUAAAAAUAUUCUGCUUGUUUAUUCUUUCACAUCUUAGAAAAUAAAUAGGCAAAAGACUCCUAUUCUAUUUCAACUAGGGUACUAAUAAACUCCUAUUGUAUCUCAGCUAACUAACUGAAUUUCAAAUAUAUAAAUACUAGACUAAAAAGAAAUGAUAACAACAAAUAACUCAAUACUUCAAGACUCCUCGUUGAGAUGUUUGCUGGUAACUCCAAGUUGUUCAUGAAGAGUUUCAAAUCUGUAUUUGGGAAGGGCUUUGGUAAAUAUAUCAGCGAGUUGAUCCUCCGAACUACAAUGGACAAGCUUGAUUUCCUUAUUUUUCUCAGCUUCUCUAUUGGCAUGAUACUUGACAAGGAUGUGCUUUGUUUUACUAUGCUUCACUGAAUUUUCAGCAAUUGCAAUUGCAAUUGUUGAGGUGUUAUCACACAUGAUCUUAGUUACAACUUGCGAUUCCAUUCCAAGAUCCUUCAGAAUUUUCUUUAACCAAAUAGCUUGAUUUGCUACCGUAGAUGCUGCCACAUACUCUGCCUUUGCAGUGGAUUACGCCACUAUUUCUUGCUUUUUUGAAUUCCAAGAAAACACACUAGAACCCAAGGAAAAAGCAUAGCCAGUAGUGCUCUUCAUAUCGUCAAUAUGUCCGGCCCAAUCACUAUCAACAAAGCCAAGCAAAACACCUUCUUCAACUGGUCUAAACCAUAUUCCAAGUUGUAAAGUACCUUUUAAAUACCUAAGCACUAUUUUCGCAGCAGCAAAAUGAAUGUCGCUGGGACUCUGCAUAAAUUUUGAAAGCAAACUAGUGACAUACAUUAAAUCAGGCCUUGAAGCCAUUAAGUACAAGAGACUUCCAAUCAAACUUUUAUAUAAUGAAGCGUCACACUUCUCUGCUCCGUCUUCUUUUGAGAAUUUUGUAUUCAAAACCAAUAGUGUAAGAACAGGUUUACAAUUUUUCAUUUUGAACUUUUUCAGAAUCUCCAAAGCAAACUUGUGUUGAUUGAGAAAAAUUUCAGUUUUUGAUUGGCAUACUUCAGCCCCAAAAAAUACUUCAUCUCUAUCAAAUUUUUGACAUUUCAAACUGUUUCUCCAUUUUCACUUUAAACUUCUACAACUCUUCCUCAUCACUGCCUUAACUUCCUUGAACCACAAAACCUUCUGGUUGGUCUACAUUAAUUUCCUCUUCUAGAAAGCCAUUCAAGAACGGCAAAUUUGACAUCUAAAUGCCAAAUUUUCCACUUCAUCUAUGCUGCUAUUGCUAUCAAAAUUCUGGUGGGGUCCAUCCUUGCAACCGGUGCAAAAGUAUCCGAGUAAUCAACUCCAGGCUGUUGAGAAUAACCUUUAACGACCAACCUCGCUUUGUGCUUGUUGAUAGAUCCGUCCGCAUUUAGUUUCACCCUGUACACCCAUUUAACUCCAAUAAUUUGCUUUCGUUCUUCUCAAUCAUGACCAUUUCCUCCUCCAUCGCUUGCUUCCAUUCUUCAACCUUGCAGGCAGCUUAAAAGUUUGAAGGUUCCAGGACAACAAGAUUACAUCUUUCAUAAAUUUCAGCCAAUUGUCUGGUGCCUCCAACAGUAAAAUGUUCAUUUUUCUCUGUUUCCAAGUCUUCACUUGAAUCUUGAAAAGUAGGUUUAACAACCAUCUUUCUGACUUGAGAGAUAUUCCAAUCCCAAUAAGCAUCUUCAUCCACCUUCACAUCUCGACUUACAAAAACUUUCCCAGAUUCAAUAUUGUAGAUUUUAUAGCCCUUUGAGAUAGAGCUACAUCCAACCAAAAUUUCUUUUUCAGCUUUUUCAUCAAGCUUACUUCGUUUGACAGCUGGUACAUGAGUAUAACAGAAAGAACCAAACACCUUUAGAUGCCCAAUUGAUGGCUUUAUACCAUUCCAAGCUUCAACUGGUGUCAUUCCAUCCACAACCCUUGUUGGCAGUCUAUUUUACAGAUAAAUUGAUGUGUUUACCGCCUUCGCCCAAAAAGACUUCGGCAACUUUUUCUCAAAAAUCAUACACCUAGCCAUCUCAAGAACAAACCGAUUUUUUCUUUCAGAUACUCCGUUUUGCUGGGGUGAGUAAGUGACUGUAAGUUGAUGCUUAAUUCCCAUAUCAUCACAAAAUAAAUGAAAUUCACUUGAAGUAUACUCCUUCCCAUUGUCUGUUCGGAGAAUUUUCAACAAGCAUCCACUUUGAGUUUCCCCAAAAGCUUUAAACUUCUUAAAAACAACAAAUACUUCAAGCUUUUGCUUAAGAAAAUAUACCCAGGUCAUUCGAGUAAAAUCGUCUAUAAAAAGAAUAAAAUACUUGCUGUCAUUGAUUGAAAGAGUUUUCAUCGGUCCAAAAAUGUCAGAAUGAACAAGUUGUAACUUCUCACUUGCUCUCCAUGUUGCUGACUUUGGAAAAGGCAAUUUGUGUUGCUUCCCUAGUUGACGACUUUCACGCACAUUUGAUCAUAACUCAAUUUCAGGCAAGUCCUUCACUAAAUCAUGCUUCUGAGCAUAUUGAAUUGAUUUCAAGCUAUAAUGGCCAAGUCUUUUGUGCCAUAAUUUUGAAUCCUGCUCACAUCGACUACUUCGACAAACUUGCUCAGAAUUUGAGUUCCAAUUCAAAGGAAAACUACUUAUCAUUUCAACCGUAAUCACUUCUUGGCCGCUAGAUUCAGAAACAAUACAUUUUUUGUCUUCGAACAGUAACAUAUAAUCUUGUUCUUGCAUUUGAUCAAUGCUCAACAGAUUUUGGUCAAGAUCAGGUACCAACAAAACAUCUUGAAUAAAUUUAGUACCUUUGGGAGCUUCAAUUGCCACAAUUCCUUUACCAACAAUCUCCAACUUGGUUUUAUAAACCAACUUAACACUAUCUUUGGCAGAUUCCAAUUUCGUAAAAUAUUCUCGUUUGCUGGUCAUGUGUUGAGUGCAACCACUGUCCAGAAACCAUGUGUUGUCAUCAUCCAAUCUUGUUGCUGCCAUCGCCGUAAACACACUCCUCUUCUUCAACUUCCGAAAUAUUGACUUUUUGAGUUUAUUGGUUGUUCUCCUUCUUCACUCUGCAAAACCUUUCAAUAUGACCAAGCUUAUUGCAAUAUCUACACUGGAGAGGUGGUUUCUUCCCCUUAAACCAACAAUCAUCCUCUUUAUGAUUGUUUUUUCUACAGUACUUGCAUGGAGGAAAGUUUUUUUUCUUUUUGACUCCAUUGCGAGAAUCGCCUUGAUCUUUUCUACUAGAAUUAGUGGAGGUUUCUGAGAUUUUACCUUCCUUUUGCAUCUGCAUCUUCCCUUUGAACUUGGCUUGAAGAGCAGUUUCAGUAGCUUCUUCUAGUCUCAAGGAUCUUCUCUGCUCUUGAGCUUGAAGAGCAUGUACAAGUUCUGAAGGUGACAUUUUUGUGAGAUCCUUCGAAUCUUCGAGUGAGGAGAUCUCUGCUUCAAAUCUUUCCGGCAAACUCACAAGAACCUUCUUCACGAUUCUUGAAUCUGUAAGCUCUUCUCCCAUAAGUCUGAUUUGGUUUACAAUCUUCAUCAACUUGUUGGAGAAUUCUUCAAUAGUUUCUGGAUCAUUCAUUCUGAGAAUUUCAAACUCUCUUCUUAGAUGUAUCACUUUUAUUUGCUUGAUCUUGUCGCUUCCUUGAAAUUCUUCUUUCAACUUGUCCCAGGUCUCCUUUUCAAUCUCACUCGUCAUAACUCUUGCGAAAAUUACUUCCGAAAGUGCUGAUUGUAUGCAAGAGAGAGCUUUAAAUUUUUUUGAAACCUGUUCUCUGUGAUUCUUAAUUUGCGCCAUAGUUGGAUUAUUUGGCAUAGGAUUUGCCUCUCCUCCAGCCUUUAUCACUUCCCACAGAUCAUAUGUUUGCAAAUAGGUUCUCAUCUUGACAACCCAAAUUGGAUAAUUCUCACCAGAAAAAAUUGGGGGUGAAGGAAUUGAGAAAUUGCUGGAAGCUAUAACAAUGUUGGCUUUUACGCAGGUUUUUAUAUUUUUGGGUCUUCUUUAACUCACAAGCCCUUCGAAUCAAGUAGCUCUUGAUACCAAUUGUUGUUCUACAGAAUGCAGAGAAGAAGAAAAAAAUACGUUUGAUGAUAAAAAUAUUCUUCUUGUUUGUUCUUUCACAUCUUAGAAAAUAAAUAGACAAAAGACUCCUAUUCUAUUUCAACUAGGGUACUAAUAAACUCCUAUUCUAUCUCAGCUAACUAACUGAAUUUCAAAUAUAAAAAUACUAAACUAAAAAGAAACGAUAACAACAAAUAACUCAAUACUUCAAUAAUAACAAACCAAUUCAAAAACUGUCUAAAAACCCGAUUCAUGAGAUCCAUGAACGCAUCCGGAGCAUUAGUCAACCCAAAUGACAACCAAAAACUCAUAGUGACCAUAUCGGGUUCGGAAAGCAGUCUUGGGAAUAUCAAUCUCCUUAAUUUUCAACUGAUGAUAGCCCGAACGGAGAUUAAUCUUAGAGAAACACCUAGCACCCUGAAGCUUAAAAAAUGAUCAUCAAUCCUAGGAAGAGGGUACUUAUUUUUCACGAACACCUUAUUCAGCUGACGAUAGUCUGUACACAUUCGAAGAGACCCUCUUUCUUUCGCACGAAAAGAACAGGAGCACCCCACGGAGAGACACUAGGACGAAUGGACCCAUUAUCAAGAAGAUCUUUCAAUUACUCCUUUAGCUCUUUUAGUUCAGCCAGAGUCAUUCUUUAAGGAGGAAUGAAAAUGGGACGGGUAUUCGGCAGAACAUCGAUCCCAAAAUCUAUCUCUUUAUCGGGAGGAAUUCCAGGAAGAUCAUUGGGAAAAACUUCAGGAAAUUCAUUAACCACAGGGACAGAUUGCAAAGAGGGACUCUUAGAGUUAGAAUCUUUAACCCGAACUUGAUGAUACAAACAUUGUUUAGAAAUCAACAUCGGAGUUCUAAAAUAGGAAAUAAACCUCCCUUUAGGUACUAAGGAACUCCCCUCCUAUUCUAAUAUCGUUUCAUUAGGGAAUUAGAAACUGACCUUUCGGGUCCUACAAUCCAGAGAAGCAUAGCACGAAUGGAGCCAAUCCAUCCCCAAGAUAACGUUAAAAUCCACUGUAUCAAGAUCUAUCAAAUCCACUAAUGUCUCCCUAUGAAAGAUGGACACCACACAACUCCUAUAGGUUUUUCUAGCAACUGUGAGUAAAAAUGAAAAAGGGGUCGGAAAUAUUUUCAGGACCAAAGCCAAUGUGUACAGCCACAUAAGGGGUCACAUAAGAUAGGGUAGAACCCAGAUCAAGCAAACAAUAAACAUAACGAGAGAAGAGCUAUAACAUACAAGUAACAACAUCUGGGAUGCCUCAAAUUCCUAAUGGGUAGCAAGUGCAUACAGAUGAUUCCCGCUAGUGCCGGUACUAGAGUAGCGCCCUUUGGCACAGGAGCUGAAGAAGUGGCAACCGAAACUUUAUUAGCCCCAGUGGCAACCCUGGUUGAAGGAUAAUCUCGUUGUAUGUGACCAAGCUGACCAUAAUUAUAACAUCGAUUUCUCCCUUCCUCACAAUAUCCAUGGUGAAGCUGCGCACUAAAACGACAAGGAGGAUAAGGUGAGUCUGACUGAGUUCCACUAGCCUGAGAUUGGGCACCCUGUGCCUUAGGACCACUGCUAGUCUGAAAACAACGAUCACCAGAAGGCUUAGGAUAAGGAGCACUAGCUGUCGAAUACGAAUUUCCCCUAUUCUUCUUCUUACUCCACUGUCUACCAUCUCUCCUAUUGUUCUGCUGACCUGUACCCUGCUCUAAAUAUCUAAACUUCUUAUUCUGCCACUCUCCAUCUCUACCUGAGUCUUUUUCUCAUCCUCAACCCACUGCAUAUAAACCACUAGCCUAGAGAUGUCCAUACCAUUAUUCAACAUAGCAACCUUAUAUUCCAGUACCAAAUCACGGGACAAACCAGAAGCAAAUUUUCUCAUUUGGGACCAACAUUAGACACAAACUUUGGGGCAUAACAAGCCAAUUGUUGAAAUAUCUAAACUUCUUAUUCUGCCACUCUCCAUCUCUACCUGAGUCUUUUUCUCAUCCUCAACCCACUGCAUAUAAACCACCAGCCUAGAGAUGUCCAUACCAUUAUUCAACAUAGCAACCUUACAUUCCAGUACCAAAUCACGGGACACGGGACAAACCAGAAGCAAAUUUUCUCAUUUGGGACCUAACAUUAGACACAAACUUUGGGGCAUAACAAGCCAAUUGUUGAAACUUCAGAGCAUACUUCCCGACACUCAUCUUACCCUGUUUCAGAUUAACAAACUCCUCAGCCUUGAACUUCCCUCAACUCCUGAGGAAAGAAGUGAUCAAGAAGCCCACCAGAAAAGUCACCCCCUGUUCAGCAUUAUCACCCCUCACCACUUUCCAUUCCUUAUACCACUAGCAAGCAACAUCUUUCAACUGAUAGGCAACAAACUCCAAACCCUCCAAAUCAGUAGCAUGCUUCACCUUAAAAUUUUCUCCAUCUCAUCAAUGAACCCCUGCGCAUCAUCCUCAACCUUAGAGCCUGUGAAAGUUGGGGGAUUCAACCUCAUAAACUAUUCAACCCGAGUGACCUCAGAUGAAUGAGCAACAAAACCAACACGAUUUGAUUGACCAACUGUGUAACCAUAUGAAUAGACCGACGGAACUCCGCAUUAGAGAUAUCUCCCUGAAGCUGCUGAUCAUAAGUAUCACCAGGCCGGGAAGCUCGAGGGGGACUAGUAGGGACCCGUGGAACCCCACGUGGAGCGGCACAUCAGGAGCAAGGAUCGUAAAUCGGGUCUGCACUCCAUAAACAGGGCGAGUCCCCUCCAUAUUCUCCUCAGGUAGAACAGAGGUUCCAACGGAGUUUCUACGAACAUCAGAUCUUCAGGGAGGCAUGAUUUGAAAUGCGAGGAGGCCAUGAGUUAGAGAAGUUUCAAGACAACUAGAAUCUAUAGCCCUAAAAUAGAAUACAAGAAAGGAAAACAAUCCUAAAUGCCUUAUAAGUGUGGCGCGCUACACACCCAUAAAAGGGACUCUACUCGACACGGCUUGUGGACACCCAAUGACCCUAAACCGUGCUCUGAUACCAAAGUUGUCACGACCCGAACCAAGGCCUAGCCAUGACAGGUAUCUCGAGCCCACCAUGGACCGGAGACCAGCACUUUAGCCUAACCUCAAGAACACAAUAAUCAUAAAAAUAAAGCGAAAGCCAAUCAAACCAAUGAUAAUUGUAAUCAGGAUAGAUGAAUCAAAUGACGGUUCAAAAAAUUCAAAUAACAAUCCACCCAUACUUGUCCACAAAAGCCUCUAAAAUCAGAAUAACACCUAAGUCGGGAUAUGCCCCCGACUGUGAUAAAAAAGAAUCCAAAAGUACUAUGACAAUAAAGAGAGAAUACUGAAAUGAGCAGGCUCACCACUUCACAGCAACUCAACAUGCGUGCUCAACCACCUAAUGCUAUGCAGGAGCAAUAGAAAACCUUUCAGACCCUACAUCAUGAAACGAUAUAGCGUCCAAGGACGGUCAGUGGGAUAAACACUGGCAUGUAACUCAGGGAAUAAGGAUAAAAUAAUACAAUUACCAAAUUCAGUCAUAAACCAUUUGCUGCACAUUCAUAUACAUAUAUAUAUAUAUAUGUAUAUAUAUUACAUAUAUAUGUGUGUGUAUAUAUAUAUAUAUAUGAUGUCGGGAUAGGGACAAGGGUCAUGAACAUGAGAGUUUAAAUAUUUAACCUGAACUGUAUAGCUCGAUCCGUCCUAAAGGCACCCAUAGGCUAUAUGGGUUCAGCUCCCCCUGCUGAAAGGACCCAGUGCGUGUUAGCCGCAUGAACCGAAGAAAAAUCGAGGGAAAACUAAAGCCACCAAGGCAAUAGCCGUCCCAAAAUAUAUAUAUCAAGUGUGCACCAAGCAAACAGUCAUAUAGACCUCUAACGUCGACAAACGUGAUUUUCAGUGUUCGUCCCCUUGGGACUUACACCUUUACGGUAAGCAGCACAAUUCCCUUUAAGUACAAAUUAAAAUAAUUUGCACAUAAACCAAUACAUUAACAAAUGAGUCAUUCAUUAAGGCAUUUACCACUUGGUAUUGUCAUACCACUUUGCUUGCAAGCUAAAUUAAUUAUGCCAUGCCAAAUCCACAUAACCAAAUCCAAGAGAAACAUGCCUGAAAUACACAAGGAAUUGAAAACAAUUCGAAGUUUGGAGUUCGGAUGAUGAAUUCGCUGUAAAAUCGUUGAAUGUUCUUAGGUUUUGAGUUUGAGAGAGAAAGAAUGAUUUGAUCUUUGAAAACGGAAAGGAAUGGAGUUAUUUUAUGUUAUAAGGUCGUACAAGGGGUAAAAAGACAAAAAUCCCCUCACCCUAAGUAAAAAAACAAAAACUAGAUGAAUUUAAAACAGCGGCGUGGGACGCCAAUACCGUGGAGGUUAGCCUUUGUGCCACGCCAAUAUCGCGGAGGUUAACUUUCGUUGCACGGCCUUGUCGCAAAGGCUUACUACCUUGGGGUCCCAAAAUGACCCCGAACCCUUUCUUAAUAAUUAGAAACUUUCCCAAAACACUCUUUUAACAUCCCUAAACAUAAUUCAAGUCAAAAAUCGACAUUACGCACGUCGGAGUCAAAAAUAAAAUGAUCAAAAUUUUAAGGAGUCUUAUGGGCUGCUUCUGAUAUACUUUCAAGUCAGAUAACACAUCAAAAGUCAAAUAUGUAAAACAAACACAAUAGUGAAAAAGUCAUACUAAAAAACAAUGUAGAUCAAACAAUAGCAACAUGAUACACGACUAACUACGAAAACUAAGAUUUAAGUGCGGAAACUAAAGAUAUAAUGAAGAUAGAUGAGAGAUAGAGAGAGAUAGACAUAAAUAAGAAAAGAAUUAAGAACAAUAUGAUAUAUGAACCCUAAAACCCCUAAUUACUCCAACGUUGAUCAUAAGGGAUUGAAUGCCCUCAAACCCAAACAUUUCUAAGCCAAAGUUCAACACAAGCUCACCAAACUCUCUCAAAGAAGAAGUAUUCAUCAAUAUUCAACAAAAACUCCUUGGAGCGCUUGAAGUUCCCGAGCUUAGCUUCUAGUAAAGGGUCUUGAGCUCACCCAGAUUGUAUUAUCCUCUCUAUCUUUAGAAGAGUUUGACCUCAAAUUCAAGGGGUGAUCGUCUUCUAUCAUGUCAAAGAGUGAAAGACCACACACAUUGAACGUAUUGUGCACUUCAUAUUCCGGAAGAAGGUCAAUCUUUUAGGCAUUGUCGUUUAUCCUCUCAAGUACUUGAAAUGGGCCAUCACCUCGAGGCAUCAGUUUGGCUUUUCUUUUGGUUGGAAACCUAUCUUUCUGGAGGUGCACCCACACCCAAUCACUCUGUUCAAGUACAAGUCGCUUUUGUCCUUUGUUUACUCUUUUGGACACCUUUUGGUUCUUUUUCUCUAGGCGAAUCCUUACUUUCUCAUUCAUCUUCUUCAUGGCUUCCGCCCUCUUGUUCCCAUCUAAGCUAAUCACAACAUCGCUAGAUAAAGGAGUGAGAUCCAAAGUGGUGGGUAGUUUGAAACCAUAAACAUAUUCAAAGGGAGUCAUACCAGUAGUCGAAUGGAUAACACGAUUAUAAGCAAAUUCAACUAAAGGUAGGUGGCUCUCCCAAGAGGACAUUUUUCGUUUAUCUAAGAUACCUAACAUAGAACCCAAGGUUCUAUUUACCACUUCCAUUUGCCCAUUGAUUUGUGGGUGGCAAGACGUUGCGAAAAGGAAUUUGGCGCCAAGCCUACCCCACAAUGACCUCCAAAAGUGACUAAAUUUUCCAACAUGAUUCAUUAACCGCAUAAAGGUCCUAGGAGCAUUGGUGAGCCCAAAUAGCAUAACCAUCCAUUCAUAGAGACCAAAUUUGGUCUUGAAGGCGGUUUUUCGUUCAUCACCGGGAUUCAUUCAGAUUUGAUGAUAUCCACUCCUAAGAUCAACUUUUGAAAACACACAAGAACUAUUCAAUUCAUCCAACAUAUCAUCUAAUCUAGGAAUAGGAUGGCGAUACCUUUCUGUUAUCUUGUUGAUACCUCGACAAUCAACACACAUACGCCACAUCCUAUCUUUCUUUGGCACUAGCAACAUCGGGACUGCACAUAGACUCAUGCUCUCUUUGAUGUAUCGUUUGUUGAGGAGUUCCUCAACUUGCCUUUGGAGCUCUUUAGUGUCCGAUGGAUUGCUUCGAUAAGCCGGUUUGUUGGGCAAUUAAGAACCCGACACAAUCAAUUUGAUGCUCAAUUUCCCAAAGUGGGGGUAAUCCCUGGGGUAUCAAAUUCCUGCAAAAACAAGAGAAAUAGAAUGGGGAAUAGGAAAAGUAGAGUGUUUAGUAUGCAAAGCAUGGGCUAGGAGGAGCAUGGGUGCUCUGUCAUCAAUUUCCUAGCCAACAUCACCAUGGGACUCUUCUCUUUCAACCUCCUCUUCGUCAUUUUUCUCCUUGGUUUGGACUUCUCCCUCACCUUAUUUCUUACCCUUCUCUUUUAAUUCUCUCAUUCUUUGGUGAACCUCAUUCACUUGAGAUGGUGAAACUGGACGGAGAGUGAAUUUUCAAUCAUUCAACUCAAAAGAAUAUCGAUUGGUCCUCCAUGAUUGAACGAUCGUAUUGCCAUGACCUCCCAAGCAAGAUAUGAUAAACUUGCAUGGGUAUCACAUCACAAAGCACCUCAUCAUGAUAAAUUUCGACCUUGAAUCGAAUCACUACUUGUCUAGCCACCUUCAACUCUCCACAUUCAUUUAACCAUUGAAGCUUGUACAGUGUGGCAUGUUUGGUUAUGGGCAACUUCAAGAAAUUAACUAUACUAGCCACAUUAGCACAACUCUCACUAUCAAUGACCAAGGAGCAUACAUUCUCCUUGAGACACUUAGUAUAGAAUAGAUUCUCCCUUUGACUAGGAUCAUAUAUUGUCUUACUAAUCAUUGCUCGUCUCGCGACAAAGUUUGGAACCUCAAACUCUCCAUCUUGAGGCCAAGCAUCCUCAUUAUCUUUCUUUACUUGCUCAUCUUCUUCGGGCCCCUCUCCAUCUUGGGCUUUUUCAUCAUUCUCAUCCUCCAACCCUACCUCUUCUUUGAGGUAAUACAACCUUUCUUCCCUUAGGAUCAUAUUUCUCCAGUUGUCUCUUGCUUAUUUCCCCAUCCUUAGCAUUUUAAAACAUUGAAAACCUUUAGAAUUAGGAGUAGGAUAUUUGUUACCUUCAUUCCUUGGUGGGUACUUUGGAGUGGUCUUCUCUACGAGCAUCUUUCAUAGGACGUGUUGCAGUCCUUGUUCUUGUUCCACCCUGACGAAGAUUGAGCUACCUUUUUGUUCUUACCCGAAGGGUUGGUAGAUAGUACCCUUUGGGUUUGAAAGAUGUCCUUUCUUUGAGAUCCCUUUCAAUUUUCAAGGCCGUUUGGAAGAUUUUUUCUAAGGUUUCAAACUUGUGGAUAGUCAUUGAUAAGGAGAUCUCUUUGUUUCAAUCCAACCUUGAAGCGUAUGAUGGCAUGUUGCAUGUUCUCAUGAUACUCGAGCUUCAAAAUCAGUUGUUGAUAGGACACUAUUGUUUCCUUGCCUCAAGUUGUAUAGCUUGGCAAGUAACUCGUGUCUAUACCUUUCCGACAAGUACUUUAGUCUCAUGAGUCCUUUCAAUUCAUCCCAUGGGGGUGGUUGUCCCUCAUUCAACACAUUUCCAAACCUCUUGGCAUAAUCCCACCAUGUAUUGGCAAACCCCUUAAAGUGGGCUGUGACAUAGCAACUCUUCUUCUUAUCGGUGAGAUCAUUGACUUGGAAGAUCCUUUCACAGGCGAACUCUCACGUUAGAUAAGCCUCGGGAGCACUUUCGCCUUUGAAGGUAGGAAGACUAAUCUUGAUUGAAUUGAUACGCAUAUCUCGAUCCUUAUUACGUUGUUGGUUCCAUUGAUCAUGCCCUUGCCCUUGGGGUCAAUAUCCCAAGUUUUCUCUCCCACAAGGCAUCAGACCAAAUCUUCCUCCUCGACCUCUAUGACCUCCUUGACCCAUUGGCCUAUCCCUCAUGUUCACCCAUACAUCCUCUUCAUCGAAAACUCCAAACUCUGCUUGAGGUUCCUCCCUCCCUUUUUCUUCGACUUGGGUGGGUUGGUUGUGGUUAUGGGGUACUUGGAAUGGGUGAUUUUGGUUUGGUGGAGGCUGGGGUAUUUGAUUUUGUGGGUAGGUAGUGGUUAGUAGGAUCUUGUGUCAGUCUUGGUGGAUUAAACAUUAAACAUGGUGAAGUGUUUCCGAGGUGAUGUUAGCGGAAGUGUUUUAAGCAUCUCCGCUAGAAGAUGUAUGGACGUUUCAAGAGGUGGCUUGGUUGGAGUGUUGACGCCCUUCCAUGUUAUCCGUCCUUCCACCCAAUACCGUCACUUGACUUCAAACCUCACCUAGUUCUUGUUUCAUACUCAAGAUGGUCACCAUUAUAGCUUCCAUGUUCAUUUCUCGUGACGAACUAGGAAUGUCAUCUUCCAGCGCCAUAGUACCUAUUAGAAUAGACACUAAUCACAACAACAGACACGUUAGCGUUAGAGAAAUAACCUCACAACUCUACACACCUUUGUAGGCCUCACACUUGGGUAGCAAAUGUUGAAGGAUGGCUUAUACUCUGGGUGGUAGUCGAGGUGUCAAAUGCUACCCUUGAUCGGAUUGGAUUCUUGUUUGAAAGGCUGAAAUAAAUGCGUAUGAACUUGGAUCACGAACUAACGACAAACGAGAAAAGCUUGAAAGAAGUGGGACGACGAAAGAAUUCGGACUCUAGAACUAAUCAACUAACUUAGUAGGUGAAUUACUAGUUGUUGAGUAGUUUAAGAAUCAAAAUAUGAAUUCAAGAAUCAAGAAAUGAAACUAGAUGGAUUGAACUAGAGCAAAAAUGAGUUUGGGAGGCUUGAGAUGCGUUUUGGACAAGCUAGAGUAGAUUGGGCGCACCUCAGGCACACCUUGGGUGCAGAAGGUACUGGUUUGACCUGCUUUAGCAGGUCAGGCGCACCUUGGGUGCAGAGUGCGUCAGCCCAGCUCGAAUAUGGUCAAAAAUGUCCUACUUAUGGGUCGUCUUUGCCUCUCUUUUGGAAUAUUCCUUGGACCCUUUGGAUAUGCUUUUAGACCGACACUUUUGCUUACUUUUCCUUUCUCUUUCUCGGAUCAAACAACAACUUUGAGAUGAAUUUGUCUCUUGAAGAUUUUAAGGUCUUCAAGAACACUAUGAACACCAAAAUUUUUCAACUAUUGCAUCUUUGCUCCAAAUGCGCUGAAAUUUUAAUCGUAGGUUCCCUUCAACGUAAGGAACACUUUCCUACCAACCAUAACUCUCAAUUCCACACCAAAGCUUGUAGAUCUAAAAAUCCAUUUUCUCUUUUCUUCAAGUUUCAAAACAAUGGUGGGUUUUCUCUUCAAUUUCUUUAUGCCACUCCUUUAACUCAAGUUCCGACUCAAAAUACUAGAUGAAGCUAAAUCUAGUAUUGAAACUUCAAGAAUGACUUAAAACUCAAACUAUUUUUUUUCUUUUUUCUUUUUUGAUUUUCGAAUUUCUUGAUACCUAACCAAGACUAGAAUCGUUAGAAUCGUUAGAAUGAUUCUAAGUGUUGCUCUGCUACCAAAUGACAUGCGGCUAACUACGAAAACUAAGAUUUAAGUGCGGAAACUAAAGAUAUAAUGAAGAUAGAUCAAAGAUAGAUAUAGUUAGACACAAACGAGAAGAAAGAAUUAAGAACAAUAGGAUAUAUGAACCCUAAAACCCCUAAUUACAAUCUCCUUCCUAGUCACACCUAACUCCUACGGUGAUCAAGAGUGGUUGAACGCCCUCAAGUCCACACGUUUCUAAGCCAAAGUUCAACACAAGCUCACUAAACUCUCUCUCAAAGGAGAACUAUUCAUCUAUAUUCAACAAAAACUCGUUGGAGCGCUUGAAGUUCCCGAACUUGGCUUUUAGUGAAGGGUCUUGAGCUCACCCGGAUUGUAUCACAGAAAAUACAAUAUGAUAACUGAAGCAAAGGGAACAACAAGUACUACCAAAAUCAAAGAAUAAGUUAGUAGGAAAGUAAUAAUAACAACACUGAUAAGAAAAUUAGACAAUGCUCGACUACCUGCUAAGUUUCAACCCUAAUACUCAACCUCCAUAUGUUUUAAUCUAGGGUUAUGUCCUCGGUAAGCUACAAGUGUGUCAUAUCCAGUCCAAUCGCCUCUCCCUAUACUUCUUCAACCUACUCCUCGGUAAGCUACAAGUGUGUCAUAUCCAGUCCAAUCGCCUCUCCCCAUACUUCUUCAACCUACUUCUUCCUCUCAUACUCACCAUAGUCAAUCUCUCGCAUUCCUUAUCAGGACAUUUGUACAUCUCUCUUGAACCAUCUCAGCCUUGCUUCCCUCAUCCCAUCCCCUACGGAGACUAUUCCCACCUCAUUGGGGAUAUCUUUAUUCUUAAUUCUGUCUCUCCUAUUAUUCCCUUACAUUCAUCUCAACAUCCCUAUUUCCACUAUUUUUAUCUUCUAGAGAUGCAAGUUUUUGACCGGUUUUGUCCUAUACAACAUAAUUGGUCGUUGUUUUUAAAGUAAAUGUGAAUUGUCUCGUCUUCUCUUGUAAUUGGUUAUUUUAAUCCCAAAUGUGAAAUACAUUUAUCAAAUAGUUAAUGAUCAAGUUGAGGGGCAAAAAGUCUUGUUUGAUGGAUGGAGUGAAUGACGUGAUACUCUAGUAGGAGUUUAUCCCGUAAAUACUUUGUUUUGCCGAUCCAUACGUACCCAUUUUUUUCAUCAUAUACCAAUGUCAAAGUGCAUAACAAAAUUCUACUGAACGGUGUUCUGUCUACAUGUUUUGUUGCUACCGAGUAGCUUUCGCAAUCGUCCGAGUACACUGAAGCUGAAAAUCAGCUACAUGACAUGAAGCUUUAUUUUAUACUAGACCAAAGAGAAUGGCAAUAAUUCUUUGCCCUCUGCUUGUGGAGACUUUUGGCUUUAGGAAACUUAGUUUUCUGGGUGGAGUUUACCUAAGUCUAAUAAAUAUUGUCUUAAUUGGGAAUAUAGGCUUUGAGUUGAUUGAAGCUCAUAGAUUGAAAAUGAAGCUUGUUUAUGGAAGUCAGACGACAGAUCUGUUCAUGUUCCUAAUUGGCAAAAAAUUGUGCUCAUCUUGUGAUUAAACUAUGCAAUAUAGCUCAUUCUGUUGGGAUCACAGAGUUUCAAACUAUAUGAUGCAGUUUCUCUAGGUGUAUAGAAGCUAGAAUUUUUUUUUUUCCUGGUGCUGAGUGAUGUUUGCUUGUGUUAGUUAAGGAUGUUCAUGUUUUUUUUGGGUCAGUUUUUUUCGUUAAAACCAAAAUCAAACCAUUUUUGUCAUUAUUUAAUUACUAAAACCAAAUCAAGUAUAAUUCAAUUCAUCGGUUUGGUUCGGUUCGAAGAGAAAUAAUGGUAUUUUUCUCUUCUAUUUUUUCCCUACAAUUAGAAAAGAAUUUUCCAUCCCUUUCCAACUUAGAUCCGUUAUAAUCCUUUUAUCGUGGUAGCUAUAAUUUUCUUGGAUUAUCGUGGUUUGAUUUUUUCUUUGUAUUUUUUUAGUAAAAUGAAACCAAAUAAUACUGGGGUUUUCAAACAUAAAUCCUAACAAAGCCAAAAUCAAAUAAAAAUUGGUUUCGUUCGAUUUUAUUUUGGAUCAGCUUUUAACCAAACUGUGAACACCCCUAGUCUUAGUCUAUAGAUUUUAUGGGGUAAUACUAGUUUUAUUGCAUCAGAAUCAUUAAAUGAUGCAAUAUAUGGGAGUAUUACCUAAAUUUAAUGAUUCUGAUGCAAUAAAACUAGUACUUGUCCCCUAACUACGUGUGUUGCACGAUUUUUCAAUAUCCAUUUUGUUCCAUCUGUAUCUGUUUCAUCCCAAUACUCAAAGGGUGUUUGGAUUGGCUUAUUAUUUUAAGUAGUUUUUGGCUUUUAUGCUUUUUUUUAUUUUUUGAGGUGUUUGGGAAUGACAAAAAAGUGUUUUUAAGUACUAUUUUUUAGGCUGAAAAAGUACAAAAAUAACUAAAAGCCAAAAGUUGGGUAUUCCCAUUUUUAUGACUUUUAGCUUGUACACUACUUAAAAAUAACCAAUCCAAACACCCCAUCAAUAAUUUGUCUUCUAAAACAAGUUUCUUUGAAGUUCUAUUUCAAAAAAAAAAAUUUCUUUUAAAACAAGUACAAAGUAAAGGUUCUAAUAAGCAUAUAAAAUCCUACUCUUUAGUUACAGUGCAAUGCUUCGUUUAUGAUGUUUUAGGAAUAUUGUUAUAUUGAUUGCCAGCUAUUGUUGCAGAAAUCAAACUUCUACUCAAGAAGAUAUAGGAAGCUUAACUCAAGGCAGGCACUGUUUGAGAGUGUCAAUGGAUUCGCUGAACAGUUUUUUCAGGUCAUUCAUGAGCCAAAUUAGAUUAUUUAUAGCGGAAUUCACAUUCCUUUGAAAUGCUUAUAGUGGUAUAUAUGAUUUUUUUUCAAUUUUUUAUAAUUUGCGGAAUGGUCAUAGGAACUUUUUAAAUGCUAAAAUACAGUCUUGCGUGUCUGAUUGUUGUAACAUGGACAUGGAAGUUUCAUUUAGGAGGGAAAAAGGAAACCCCAAGCCAGGUAGGGCUAGUGUUGGCAAAGGCGAGCUUUAAGCGCGCUUAAGCCCUGAAGCGAGGCACAAAUAUGUUGAGUGCUUUGCCUCGCUUAAUGUGCGCUUUAGUGUCAUCAUCAAGGUUCUAAGAAUACUUUCCCUUGUCAAUAAAUCUCCUUUGAAGAGGAGACACUAAACAAUUGAGAUAGCACUUUAUCAUAUUUUUUAUUUUCAAUUUCUUUGUUCAUAUACUUUGUAAUUUAUGCUUAUAAUCAUUGGUCUUGGACUAGACAUAUAUAUUUGUAUUCUUAACUAUUUGCUCCGUUUUUCGUUAAAGCGCAUGCUUAUAAUCAUUAGUCUUGGACUAGACAUAUGUAUGUGUAUUUUUCACCAUUUGCGCCUGUUUUCGUUAAAGCCCAUGCUUUAUUUGCGGUUUGCGCUUAGAGCCCCCAUGGACCCUAGAGCUUUUUUGCGCUUUUUGCUUCUGAUAACAUUGGGUAGGGAACAGUUACGGAGCUCCGUAUUUUAAGAUGGUUCUCUGCAAGGAAGCUGUUAUAAGUUUGACUAUGGCUUGGGUUGAACUGAUGGGAAUGGUGCAAGGAAGCUGUUAUAAGUUUGACUAUGGCUUGGGUUGAACUGAUGGGAUUGGUGCUUAGCAUAGUCCAGAUCUUUUUUAGUCGUGCAUUACUUUUCGAAUGGUCAGUAAGAAAUGCUUCUGUGAUUAACUUCUCUGUGGCUACAAGUAAAUCCAUGUACUUAUUGAGCUACUAAGGUUUCGCAUUCAAGAUCCAAGGUCCCAAGAAUGAGGAUCUUCGAGGUAAGUUUAUAAAUUAACUAGUGCACAUGAGAGAGUUUAGUCCUAGCUCAAAGAGUUACGUAAUACCAAAUGUCCUUAGAAUUUGUGUUCUUAUUUCUAGAAAAGAGUCCGCAGCAAAUCUAAAGGAAUGUGAAAAUAUCUGCAAAGAUUAGAAUAUACUAUGACUAGUCCAGUUUGUGUUGGAAUUUGUUGGCUUGGUUGGCGGAUACAUAAUUGCGGAAUACUUUUACUUGGCUUAGUACACACCCCAAUAGCAGAUGCGUAUUUAGCUAGUUGAACGAAUCGGCAACUUCAUUGAAUAACUACUAUUUCUAAUUAAAUAAAUUGGAGAAGGGUCAAAAAAAUGCUCUUAGACUACGUGAAAUUGAACAAAAAUGCUCUGUGAUAAUAGCCUGGUCUAAAAAAUCUCCUGAUGUUAAUAGUUUGGUCCAAAAACACCUCUGUUACUAAUAAUAUGGUUCAGAAAAGCCCUGUUAUUGCUUUUGGUUCUAAAAUGCCCUUUUCCUAAUAAACAUAUUAUUUCUUUUAUUUUUAAACACAUUUGUUUCUGAUAAAAUAUUAUUUUUAAAGAACCUUUGUCUUAUUUCUUUUCUUUUAUAAUCCCUUUACCUUAAAAAUGUGCGAAGUAUUUGUUUUCUUAAUUUUGUAAUAUCAAUUAAAAUAAAAUAACCCCAUUUUCUUUUUACAAUGACAAUAUAGGUCGAAUAUAUAAGAUUAUAAUUAUCUCAUCAUUAAUUUUCAUUAAGAUAAAUGAUAAAUUUCUUUUUUUUUCUAAUAAAAUGAAAAAUAUUUUUAUUUCUUAAUCUAUUCAGAAUUCAACAACUACAUACCAGUAUAAUCCCAUAAAGUGGCGUUUCAACAACCACCUUGAUACAAGACUAACUAAGAAAACCGAAAUGAGAAGAGAACACUAAGAUGAAGCCGAGAACACAAUAACAAGAAUCAAACUCAAAACAUACAAUAAAGGAAAGAUAGUUAACUUGACAUAAGAAUCCACAAAGAAAUAAGAACCUAAGGGUGUAUCAAACCCUAAGACCCCUAAGUUUUGUAGAAACAAACACCAAGCUCUUACGUGAACCUCAAGGGAAUCGGAAUCCCCAAGCAACCCACGUUUCUAAACAAGUAACCAACACAAACGAUUCCACGUUUGUCACAAGUGAUUCUAACUUGCAAAACAGUCAUAAGAUUAUUCUCUCAAAAUAUCAUCAAAGUUGCUGAAAAUGAACCUAAUAAGAGAUAUUUAAAGUCUUAGGCUAAACUAUUACAUAAUAAAAUGACCAAAAGACCCUUAGUGAAGUACUACUCUCCAUAGGCGCCUCUUAUGCUCCAAAGUAAUGACAAAAAGGCCCUUAAUGAGGGGCGGCAUUGGAGUGUAAUGAAGCUCUUCUUCACACUUCAACACUUGUUCUCUCGGUUAGGUAGCCCUCAAGCUUGAGUCUUUACGUGUUGGCCUCCAAUGGUGUCAUCGAAAGCUAAGAUGGCCAUUUGACUCGUAUCAUCCUCCCUUUUUUGUAAAGGAUUCAACCUCGAAUCUACACCUUGCAAAACCAAAGAAAGGAAAAACAAGCACAACAUCCUCAUGGCAUGAGGGUUAGGGUUAGUACAAUCAAUCAUAGCAUCAUGCCAAGGUUGCACACACUUCACAUAUAACCAAGCAUCCUUCAAAAUAUUGGAAGAAAAGUCAACAUUCAAAGUGCAAAGGAGUUGCUACGGAGAGCACCAAGAAAUUCUCCUAAGUUAGUCCCAUUAACAAAAUUAUCAAGCAAAUCAUCACAUGUUGGAACAACUAAGGGUAAAAGCAAGGGGUCUUUAGGGAGUAGAAUACCCUUCCAAUCACAAAAACCCGAACACCCUUCCAAGAAAGAAUCAAUUUGUCUAUCCACAUAAGUGUGACAAGAAACAAAGAACAAGAGUUGUUUAUCAAGUGGAAACCAUAGAUUCUUCUUGGAACAACAAUUAGACUUGCCAUCCGAAAUAGGAAGGCCAUACAUUCCAUGCACAUUCAAGUCAUUCCCAACCAUUGUUUGAAAGACAUCAACAUCACCUAUGGUUGGCUUGUCUUCUUUUCCAAGCACCAAGUGGAGUGGAGAAGAACCACCAUAUUCCAAAUAAUCUUCGAGAUCAAAUGGGUGGAGUGUCCAUGGACAUGGGUUUAGAAAACACUUCUUUUCCCCAAGAUAAACACCAAUACAAUCAUUUGUACCCUCUAUACUAGCAUGAUCAUCAACAAAGGCAAUUAGAGGGUCAUUCCUAUUCAAUCGACCAACAUUCUCAACAUCACCAUUCACGAGGUCCUUUAAACAUUUCACAAACAUUCCUAAGUGAUGGGCUAGGUUCACACACAAGUUGGUCCAUAUCAUUUCCAUAAGACAAUGUACCGUCACUCAUCACAAAGGCUUCAACACUUAGUGGACACCAAUUGAUCUUACUAGAAGAGUCAAUUUGUCAUCAUAAGGGUCAACUAGUGUAUCUACGCUUUCAAGUUGUACAUUAUCAUCAUGAAGUAAAAGAGACAUUAGGCUCACUUAAAAGAUAAACUAUCUUUCACACUUAGUUGGCUACUAGCCUCAUUUACUAAAGUGCAAGAGUUAGUUUGAUUACCUUGAAGUGCAUUUGGAGCAUGUCCACUCAAGGGAGCUUGAGAAUUUGGUGGAUUGGAAAGGGUGGAUUUGGGAAAACUUGGAUGCUCUAUCAUGUUAUGCAACCUCUUUGAAAGAGAGUUUCCCAUUCCUUCCAUUCUUCCUUCAAGAGAUUCCAACCGGCUAUUAACACUCAUUAUGGCGGCCAUCAAAGCUCCCAUGGUUACCUUUUCCGAUGCCAUAGUACCUAGCAAAUAAAUACUAAAACAAAAACAAAAGCAACAAACAAGUUAAGGUUAGGAAAACUUAUACCAAUCAAGCUACGGAAGGCACUAAAAUGACAUAAAAACAGUCCACAAACAACAAGGUAAACCGAGGACCAAAUGAGACCUUGUCUCGGCUUCCACAACAAUACUACAAGAACAAGAACAACAAGAUAUCAAGGUUUUCAACACCUAAUUCAACCAACCAACAAACUAACAAAUAGAUUACAACUACACAACAAGCUCUCAGGUUCUCACACACACAAGCCGAGGGUGAGCACUAACAAUAAUAAAAUGGAUAGAUAGAUAGAUAACUUGACAUACAAAUGUAUAAACACUAUGAACCUAAGUGUGUAUCAAACACAAAGACCCAAAGAUUCACAUAAGUGUGUAUCAAACACAAAGACCCAAAGAUUCACACAAGUAACACCAAGCUCUUACGGAGACCUUAAGGGAACCGAAAUUCCAAGCAACCACCGUUUCUACUUGUACCAACACUAGUGAUAUCCACACUUGCAUUAACACCCAAAGAGUAUUCUCACAAUAUUCAUCAAAGUUGUGGACUAAAGACCUAAUAUGUUCUAUUUAUAGUCUAGGUUAAGCUUAUUAUACAAAAUGACCAAAAGGCCCUUAAUGAACCUUUACAAAGGGGCGGCCUUGGAGUGUACAUAUGGACGGCUUUGGAGUGUUGGGACUUGUUCUCCACACUUCAAAGCUUGUUCUCUUGGUUGGGCAGCCACCCGAGCUCGAGUCUUUACGUAUUGACUUCCAAUCAUGUCCUUGAGAGCUAAGAUGCCUCUUUGAUUUGUAUCAUCCUCCCCUUCUUGAAAAGGAUUCGACCUCGGAUCCGAACCUUGCAAAACAAUAGGGUACACAAGAAAACACACAUUCCUCAUGGCAUGAGGGUUAAUGUUAGCAUAAUCAACUAUAGUAUAAAACCAAAGUUACACACACUUCAUAAGCCGAAGAGUCUUAGGGAAUAGGAUACCCUUCCAAUCACAAAAACCCGAAUACCCUAAAGAAGAAACAAUUUGUCUACCCACAUAAGUGUGACGAGAAACAAGAGAGGCUUGGAACAUACCUUUGGAGUGAAAACCAGAGCUUGCUCUUGGCUUGGAACUUGGCACAAUGCUAGUGCCGAAUAUGGUGAAUAACAAGUGCUUGGUUUUGGGUACCAAGUUCUUCCUCUUGAACCCGAAAUGCAUCACCUCCAACAUCCGGGUUCUUCUUCAUCAUGAGGUUAAAGUUCAAGACCUCUCCUUUUUCAGGCCAAACAUCUUCAUGAGGAGCUUUCAUUAUCAACCCGCAAGGCACACUAACAUUUUCUUCUUCCACUACCAUCUUGGCUUCAUCAUCAUUGUCAUCCUCCUUUUGAGGGAUUUCCUCACGAAUAUCAUUUAUUGUCACUUUACCCCUAACAAAGUAAGGAUCACCCUCCACCAACACAAUGUUCCUUCGGUUUGGGCACUCACUAGCUUUGUGACCCCAACCUUGACAUUUAAAACAAACAAUACCUUUAGGAUUAGGAGUAGAAGAUGGGUUACCUUCAAGCCGUGGUGGAUAGCUUUGGAUGGUCCCAUCAAUCGGCCUCAUCUAAGGAAUUGUAUGAGUCUUUAGGCUUGUUCUAUCCGAAGGUCUUCUUGGCAUAAUUGUUUCUUUCAACUUCAAUGACCGCUUCAACAAGGUCCUUAAUUCGGUCAAACUUGAGGACAACUAGUUGAGAAACAACUUCAUAGCACAAGCCACCUUUGAACCCAGCUAGGCAAUGAUUUGGAGGUUUAACAAUAUCAAGGCGAAGGAUCAAGUUUUGAAACUCAUCAUAAUACUCCUCUACACUUCUAUCUCCUUGCUUUAAAUUGUAGAGCCUUGUUAAUUGCUUUUGUUUGUACCUCUCUGUGACAUAUCUCUCUCAUAAGAGCUUUCAAUUCAUCCCGAUUCGGAAGGUCAAGAUUGCUAUUCCUUGCUCUUUGCAACCGCUUUGUCUCCCACCAAGUAGAUGCAUAUCCUUCAAAUUGAGCAAUGGCAUGCGUGGCUUUCUUUUGGGAAGUUAACUCAUUGAGUUGGAAAUUCCGAUUAUAUUGCAACUCCCAAUCAAGAUAGAUUGAGGAGUCACUAGUUCCCUUGAAAGUAGGAAGAGUGAUCUUGAUGGAGUUGAGACCUGUGUCUCUACCCACAUUGCCUCCUUGGUCCCCUAGACCUUCUUGAACAUGAGGUCGGUGUCCCAAGUUGCCUCUACCAUGAGGAGCCGGACCAAACCUUCCCCCUCGGCCCUUAUGCCCUUCGCCAUAAGCUCCUCUUCUAUUGCACACAAAUCCCGCAAAGAAAGUCACUUUAUCUAACUCCUCACCUCCAUAAGAACACUCACGCUCCACAUCAUCAAUUUGGAUAGGUUGGUUUCGGUUUAGUGGUGCUUUCGGCAUUUCAAGGUGGUCUCGGUUUUGUGGAGCUUCUUGGUGGACUUGGUUUCGGUUAUUUGGAUAAGUAGGGAUUUGGUUGACGGGCUCAUGGACUUGUCUAGGUGGGUUGAACAUUUGGUGAAGUGUAUCCGGAGUUAUAGUAGGGGAGGCGUUGGUAGCAUGUCCACUGGAUGAGGUAUGGUAGUUUUUAGGACUUGAAUGGUUGGACACUAGACGGACUUCUAAGGUAUCCAUUCUCCUUGAGAAAGAACCUUCCGUCCCUUCUAUCCGUCCCUCUAUCUUCUCCAUUCGACUACUAAGAUCAUGUUUUACCCCAUUAUGGCUGCUAUCAAGUCAUCCAUAUUUCCUCUCCUGAAGUCUUGGACUACCUUCACCCGAAGCCAUGGUAUUUAACAAAGAAAUGCUACACACAACACAAACAACAAGUUAAGGUUAGCAAAAAUCAACCUCACAAACUCUCAAGCUCACACUUUUACAAGUAUCACUCAAAUGAUCUCACAAGUAUUGGUACACCAUCCAUAUUUCCUCUCCCGAAGUCCUUGGACUACCUUCACCCGAAGCCAUGGUACUUAACAAAGAAAUGCUAAACACAACACAAACAACAAGUUAAGGUUAGCAAAAAUCAACCUCACAAACUCUCAAGCUCACACUUUUCCAAGUAUCACUCAAAUGAUCUCACAAGUAUUGGUACACCAUUUAUACUCCAAUGAGGUUACUUGGUCCCAAUUGCGGCUUAAGGUCGGAAUAGAUUUUUGUUGGCAACGACUCAAAACAAAUAUGUACGUACUUGAAUCAAGAAGCUACAAUGAAUUUCAAAAAGAUAAAAGCCCGCAAAGAAACGUAGACACGAAUUAAACGGACCUAAAACUAACUUACAACCUAAUAGACA
rnacentral:lncRNA from 1 species